rnacentral:lncRNA from 1 species
GAAAAAAUAAGAACACUCUCAUAUUUAAUAUUUCUUACUUUGUAUAUGAAAUGAUAUUUUAGUAAUAUCUCAAUUGAUUUCAUGACUAAUUGACUCAUGAUACGAACUCAACCAAAAAUUUAAUUUAAGUAUAGAUUUAACAAGUACUUAAUAGUAAUAUCCCUAACUAUGUAACUUGAAACCCAAUAAAUCAAACCUAGACCUGCCCAUGGGUCGGGGCCACUAAGCCUAGUCGAAGCCCUACCUGAAAAAUGGGUUUGGGAAAAAAUAAUGCAUGUUUAGAAAACAAGUCGAGCCUUAAGUAAGACUUUUUUGUUUAGGCUCAGCCCAAAUUUGUAAAAAAAAUUGUUGUUUUCUCACUGCCUUACUGUCAUUUCACUAUUAUGUUGCUACUAUUUUAUUAUUAUUGUUUGGAUAUUGUAUAAUUCUUAUUUUAUUGUUAAUUUUGCUACUAUUUUAGAGGCAUUUUCUUGUCAAGUUGCACAUAUUUUAGUGUUUUUUAAGUACAAAUAUUUUUAAUUUAUUUUCAAUUUGUUGAAAAACAUUUGUUUUAAUGUUUUUAGUGUUCUUGAUUAAUUAUAUAUUUUUAAAUGAUAUAAAAAAAUUUUAAUACGGGUGAGCCGGUCUUGACUUGGGUUUUAUCAUUUUUAUUUAGGUUAGCUUGAACAAAAUUUUAGGCUCAUUUUUUAGGUCAAGCCGAACCCGAACCUAUCAAAUAGGUCUAAAAUUUUGUCAAAACCCAACUUGACUCAUGGACAGAUCUAAUCAAACAUACGUAAUUUCCAUUUCUUUAAAAAAAUCUUUCAUUAAAAAUUUUAAUUUUACUAAAUUCAAUUUAAAAAAAAACAAGUUUAAUUUAAUCUCAUUCAUCAUUUCCUUUAUAGAAUAAUAAUUAAUAUAUUAUUAGAAUAUGAGUCUCAGACACUAUAAAUGAAUAGUAAUAAUAAAAUAGAUUAUUAUUGGGUAAAAAUAAUAAUGAAAAAUUUAUAAAUAAAUAUUAAAAAUCUUGUUAAUAUUAAAUAAGAAAAAUAAUAUAACAAUUAUACUACAUUUGAUUGGAGUAUUAUUUUCUUUCACAUGUUUUAGUCAUCUGUUAGAUAUAAAUUAAUCACAAUUGGUAAUUUUUAAGGGUAAUUAUACCAACAGUCAUUCAAAUUUGAUACAGCUGACAAAACAGUAACUUAGGUUUUAAUUCAGUCACUCAACUUUCAAAAAAUGACAAAACUGUCCUUUUAACCAUUUUUUAUUAUAGACAUAACAGAAAAGUGACAUGGCAGUUGACGGCUUCCUUGUUGUCAUUAACCAACCAGUUGGACACUAAGCAACAAUUUAAACAACCCCUUUUAGCAUCACUUUAGGGUUUAGGCAAUAGAAGAAGAAGAAGAAGAAGAGGAAGAAAAAAUAGAAAGUUGCACCAAUUUGGGGACCUAAGUAAUACCAGAAAUCCAUUAGAAUUUCUGGACUUGGCAUCAUGAUGACUGAAGCUCCUCAAAGUUGCAAAGUUCCUUUGCCUUCCUUGACUAGGAAAGUCCCUUUCCAGUAGCCGCUUUAUUUCAAGCUUGGAUUUUGCUUCGCCUAUAUCAAUAGAUGCAAACUUGAGCAGAGUGGAGAUAAAAAUUUGGGUUUGUGGGCAUUGUAUUAAGACCUUGGUUGACUCCAACUCAGUUUAAAUAGGAAAGACACCACGGUAGGGAUCGAGAAUUCGACAGCUUAAGGUUGUAGUCAAUGCAACAAGCAUUUGAAUGCUUAUCAAGGGUCUAAGUAACCUCUUCAUGAGAACAGUCACAUUGGAGGGACGAUAAAUAAAGUUUGCUAAGUAUGGCCAAAAUAAGAAAAAAAAGUACAGAUCUUGGAUAAAUUUGUAUCAGAUUUAGACCUAUCUUCAGGUUUAGUAGACCUAUCUUCAUAUUUAGACCUAUCUUCAGGAUUAGGACCUUGGUUGACUCCAACUCAGUUGAAAUAGUAAAGACAUCGUGGUGGGGAUCGACAAUCCGACAGCUUAAGGUUACAGUCAAUGCAACAAGCAUUAAGAAGGAAAAAAGUACAGAUCUUGAAUAAAUUUGUAUCAGAUUUAGACCUAUCUUCAGGUUUAGUAGAUUUUGACAUCCCAAAUAGAGAAAGGGGUUUAAUCACAAAAAAGAUGUUCUCUCAGUAUUGGAUUUUACAGGAAAUGAAGAAAAAAAUAUCAGAUCUUCCUCAUGAAAUGAGAAAUAAUUUCUUAUUUUUGAAUAAAACCUAGAAAGAUGAAAAGAUGAAAUCUUGAAGUGAGAAAUCUCGCAACAAAGUGAAAUGAAAAUUGCAGAUGAAAAAUACCAAUCAAUUUCUAACCCUUAACCCUGUUAAUCGAUUUUUAAUUUGAUUUUUUAAUCCUUAACCAAUCUUGAACCUGAAAUUGAUUUCUAACCCAACACUCUGGUUUGUUAACUAUUGUUUCUAAUCCACAAUAGCAACAACUAAAGGAAGAAGAAAAAGUAUAUCGGGGAAAAAAACGUUAACGGUUUUACAGUCUCUUCUUCUUCUUCUUCUUCUUCUUCUUCUUCUUCUUCUUCUUCUUCUGUUAUUAGGGUUUUUUUCUAUUUCUUCUUAAAUUGGGAAGGUUUCCACGUGGACAUAUCCAACGUGGGUAGUUCGUUGGCCAUGUUAGCUAGUUAACUGGUCACAUCACUUGUCUCCUUAGGUCUGUAACGGAAAAUAUUAGUAGGUGACUGAUUUGUCACUUUUUGGUAACGUUAGUGACCAGUUUGUCAAUUUUUAAAGUUGAGUGACUGAAUUUAAACCUAAGUGACUGUUUUGUCAACUGCAUCGAAGUUGGAUGAUUGUUGGUGUAAUUUACCCAAUUUUUAACCACUCUGUGACUUGUUUAUGAUAAAAAAGAGCAAAAUUUUUUGCUUAUUUUGAAGGGAUCUUAUUUUUUAAGUUUUUACUCUCUUUUUUAAUUCCUAUAUAAUUUGUACUAAUUAUUUUAAAACAUGUGUUAAAUAAUUUUUUUGUGAAAAUAGAAUGUUGGUAAUGACAAUAAAUCACAAAGAAAAGAGAAAUAAAAAUAAAGAACACAUAGAUUUUUACGUAGAAACCCUUUCGGGAAAAAACCACGAGCAGAGGAGAAGAAAGUUUAUUAUGUCGAAUUUGAAUGAUUUACAAAAGGAGUUUCGACUACAUCUAUUUAUAGGUUGAAAAAAAACUAAUUCUAAUCAAAGUCAAAUAUAUUAUGCUAAUAAAUGCUAAAUAUAUUAUGCUAAUAAAUGCUAAAUAUAUUAUACUCAUAAAUACUAAAUUUUCUAAAAAGAAGAUAUAUUUUGUUUAACUCGACUUGCAAGCAAUCUCUUAGAAUUUGGGUCACACAACUCUAGUAAUCUCCACCUUGACACGAAUUCUCAAUGAACAAUUUCUUCAUCGAGAACUCUCAACAAACAAGUUUUUCACCUCUUCUAUAAAACCCCUUAAAGGUUUAACUUCAACAAAGAACACUAAUCAAGUCUAAGCAAUGCUCAAACUUGGUUAUAGGAAGUGACUUAGUCAUCAUAUCUACAGGAUUUUCAUGAGUACUAAUUUUGCUCACAACAAUAUCAUCACGAGCAAUAAUAUCACGAACAAAAUGAUACCGAACAUCCAUGUGUUUUGUUCUCUCAUGGAGCAUUUGAUCUUUUGUAAGGAAGAUGUCACUCUGACUGUCACAAAAUACUAUAUUGAUUUGAAGGUCUUCAUUGAGAUCACUAAAGAGUCUCUUCAGUGGUUGACAAAGUAACUGUAGUUUGCAAAGUGGCUUUCCAAUUGAUUGCACAACCUCCAAUUAUAAAGACAUAACCUAUGAGAGAUAUUCUUCUAUCAAGGUCUUCAGCAAAAUCAGCAUCAACAUACCCAAUGACUCCAUCUCUAGUUCUUCCAAACUGUUAGGAAACAUCAGCAAUACCUCGUAAGUAUCUUAAAAUCUACUAAAUUGUUUUCCAAUAUUUUUUACCGAGAUUCACCAUGUAUCUGCUAACUGCACUAACUGCAUAUGAUAAAUAUGGACAUGAACAAACCAUAACAUACAUGAGAGAUCCUACUGUACUAGAGUAUGGAACAUGUGACAUGUACUCAAUCUCAUCAUCUGAUUGUGAAGACAAAGCUGAUGAAAGUCUGAAAUGGGCUGCUAAAAGAGUACUAGCAGGCUUAGCAUUCUGCAUAUUGAAUCUGCUAAGAACUUUCUCAAUUACCCCUUUUGACUUAGGUACAAUUUACUUACUUUUCUAUCUCUGAGAAUCUCCAUACCAAGUAUCUUCUUUGUUGGUCCCAAAUUUUUCAUCUUAAAUUCUUCACUUAGUUAGGCUUUGACCUUUCUUAUCUCUCCUUUAUCUUUUGUUGCUAUCAACAUGUCAUCAACAUAAAUGAGUAGAUACACAAAAGAACCAUCACUGUUUUUCUUAAAGUAAACACAACUGUCAAAGCUACUUUUUUUAAAAUCAUGAGAAGUUAUAAAGGAACCAAACCUUUUGUAACACUGUUUUGCUAACUGUUUCAAACUGUAAAGGGAUUUUUUUAGCAAGCAAACAUAGUCCUCUUUUUCUGAGACUGUAAAACCCUCUGGUUGUUACAUGUAAAUAUCCUCCUCAAGUUCUCCAUACAAAAAUACAGUUUUUACAUCUAACUGUUCAAGCUCUAAAUCAUGUAUAGCCACAAUGCCAAGCAAAGCUCGAAUCGAACUAUGUUUCACAAUUGGGGAGAACACAUCUGUGAAGUCCACUCCUAAAAUUUGACUGUAACCCUUUGCAACAAGUUUUGUUUUGUAUCUAGGUUCUUCAACUCCUGGAGUCCCUUAUUUCUCUUUAAACACCCAUUUACAAUGAACAACUUUUUUACCGUUAGGAAGUUUCACAAGAUCGUAUGUUUUGUUUUUGUGGAGUGAUUCCAUCUCCUCUUGCAUAGCAAACAUCCACUUUUUUUUAGUCUUCAUAGCUAAACGCAUCAGAAUAAUUAGAUGGCUCUUGAUUUGCAUCUAUAUCUUCAGCCACAUUUAAAGCAUAAGCAACUAGAUCAGUCUUAGCAUACUUCUUUGGAGGUUUAAUUUCUCUUCUAGUUCUGUUUUUAGCGAUAGAGUAUUAUGGUGAAGAAGCAGCUCUAUUUUAAAUUUUUUUGUACUGGCUUGAGGAGUAGACUCUGUUGUAGAUUCUAGAUUAAUCUAAUGCUCUACCUGCUUUUGAUUUUCUUUAUUUGAAGAGUCUUUAAGAGAUAAGUUAGGUCACAUGUAACAACCCGGUUUGACUCUAAUCGGAAUAGUGGUUUUGGGACCACAAAUCUGAGUCCUAAAAAUAUUUCAAUAUUAUUUUGUGUGUUUACUUUGUGUGCAUUUGAUUGUGUGAAAUUUUCGUGUUUUAAUUUUGUUGUUUGAGUGUCCGAUUAAAUAAAAGGAUUAAAUCGCGAAAAAUAAAAAUUUAGGGGUUAAUUAUAAAAGCACCUAAUUGUUGUUGUCUUUUUAAAUGGAAGGACUUAUGAUGCAAUAAGACCAUAAAGUAGUGAGUGGGUGAUAAUGGUCAAAAAUGACCUUAUAUUAUAAGGUUUAUAUAAUUUGUAUUAAAGGUUAAUAUAGUAAACUAAUAAUUAAAUAAACAUAUGAUAUAAUAAAUCAAUUGAAGCCAUUAUUUUCAUUCUUCCUUUGCCGAAAGUUAGAAAAACAAAUAGGGUUUAAAAGCUUUGAGGCAUCCGGUCAUUAACAAGCUUAAUUCAAGGUAUGUUUUACUUCGGUUUUUGAUAAUUUUUACGUUUUUGAGAUCGUUGCUUCGUGUUCUUCAAAACCCAUAUCUUAAUUUUGUGAAUUGUGGAUGAUUUUGAAAUGUGCCAUUGAUGAAUGCUUGAGUUUUAUGAUGUUAGUAGGUGAAAUAUGAAAUAUAUUUGUUAGAUUAAUAUAUUUUGUAUUGGAAUUUUUAGUGAAAUUGAGUAAAUAGGGCUAAAUUGUGAAAUUAAAUUUUUGGGGAACUAAAGUGUGAAAUAAAUGCAAUGUGUGGACUUGUAUGAGAACCAUGAAUAUUCGGCCCUUGUGUGGUAUGGGCAAAUUUUGUAUAAAUUGUGUUUUAUGCAAUAGGGACUAAAUUGCAAAAAGUGUAAAUAUUACGGGCAAAAUAGUAAUUUGCCAAAUUAUGUGUUUUUGGAUUAAAUUGAAUGUGUUAAUAAAUAAAUUAUCUUAUUUUGAAUAUAUUUAGAUCGAGAACCAAAGAAAUCGGAGUUAGAUCGGCGAAAAGCCAAAUUAGUCGAAUAAUCGUCCGACUUCGAUUUUCCAUCGUCCGAGGUAAGUCUAUUAGCUAUUUAAUGUUAUUAAAUCAAUAUAUAUAUAUGUAUGAAUAUCUAUUAUGUUGUUGUUGAGCUAUAAUUAAAAGUAAUUUAAUUGAAUAAAUUCAAAUUAUAAAUGGUAUAAAUAUGUAUAUACAAUGUUCAAAUAUAUAGGUAUAUGCUUAUAUAAAUUUUUGAACUAAGUUAAAGUUUGAAUGGUAUAAAGUUAUAUAUAUAUAAAUUCAAAUAAUUAUAUAUGUAUCUAUAUGUAUACAUAUACUUGAAUUUGGUUGGUUGUAUGAGAGUUAUAUAUAUGUGCACUUAAGAUUCAAAUAUAUGUAAGUAAAAACAUGUAUAAAUUCUUGCUUAAAUUAAAGAUAUGUAUAAUACAUAUGUAUACAUAAGUUUCGAACAUAUAGAUGUAUGUAAAAACAUUUGGGUUUGAUUANNNNNNNNNNNNNNNNNNNNNNNNNNNNNNNNNNNNNNNNNNNNNNNNNNNNNNNNNNNNNNNNNNNNNNNNNNNNNNNNNNNNNNNNNNNNNNNNNNNNUAUGUUGUAAUUGUACAGAUAAUUUCGAAUAAGUAAGUAUAUGGAGUUGGAACAUCUAUAUAUAUAUAUGAAUAAGUCUUGAUUAUAUUUUAAGGUAUAAAUGUUAAAAACGUACUUGGGAGUUCGAAUAUAUCUAAAUGUAUAUUUGUGUACAGAUUCUUGAAUUGAAUCGAAUGUAUGAUUCGCAAACUCUUUUGUGAUUGAAUAUGGACUACAAUGAAUGUGUGUUUGCUGUUAAUAAGUAUUUGAGGAAAUUAUUCUAUAUAUGGGAAAAAUUGAGAUUUUCAAGCAUAGCGCUUAGCAGGCUUAUUGCCGGUGAAACACUUCAGACUAUAUGUCUAGCAGGCUUAAUGCCGGUGAAAUAUUUCAGACUAUAUGUCUAGCGGGCUAAGUGCCGGUGUACUGAAUCAGGCUUAAAGCCUAGCAGGCUAAAUGCCGGUGAAUCUGUUUUAAGUAUGUGAUUAGGUGUACAAUUAUAUGAUUUUGGAUAUAUUUAAUUGAUAAGUAUAUUUAUAUAUAUACAUUUGGCUAAGUGCGUUUGAUGAUUAUAUAUAUAUAUAUCCGGCUUAUACAAUUGAGAAAUAUAUAUAUGCUCUGGGAUUAUGCAUUUGAUAAAUAUAUACUUUUAAAUAUUCGGUACACAUAUUUGAUUAGUAACUAUAUAUGCAUUCGAGAUAUAUAUAUAUACCUUGGUUUAUAAGUAUUUGAUGAAAAUGAAUGCAUUCGUUCAUAUGUAUUAGAUUUGUAUUGGUUUAAAGUUUAAAAUGAGUAUUCAUACACAUUCGGUUAUGAUAUGUGUAUAAUAUAUAUAUGCUCAGUUGUAUACAUUCGUUGUAAUGUUGUUUGGUAUAAAAAUAUAUAUUCAAUUGAUCGCUUUCGACAGGUAUGCAUAUCUGUCUAUAAAUGAAAUGGUCUGAGUACAAUAAUAUAUAAAUAUUAGUUAUUCGUGUUAAUUGAAAUCUCAGUGAAAUAGAUUAAAAAGUAACUUUAUUUAUAUAUUUAUAUACAUUUAGUUAUGCUGUAGACUUACUAAGCUAUAAAAGCUUACUUUGUUUGUUUUCGUCCAUUUGCUUUUAUAGAUUUUGGAGACGCGUUACGAGCUCGGGGAUCAUCAGCAUAGUCCAUCACACUAUCGACUUCUUUUGGUAUUUUGUUAAAUAUUUGAACUCAAUCUUAUGGCAUGUAUAGGUUUGAGUAUGAUGUUAAUUACAUUUUGAUUGUAAAUUAUAAUAGCUAUGCGAAAGUAAUUAAAUUUUUACGUUGUGAUCAGUUUGGUUUUAACAUUGUUGAAUUUGUUCGGUAAUGCCUCGUAACCCUAAUUCAGCGACGGAUACGGGUUAGGGGUGUUACAUCACAUAACAGUUUCAUAAAAAACAACAUCUCUACUAAUCACAACAUUUCUAUUUUUAGGACACCAUAACUUAUACCCUUUUACACCAGCUUUAUAACCAAGAAAAACAUAUUUAAUGGAUCUCAAUUCCAAUUUUCCAUUAUCAACAUGAGCAUACGCAGGACACCCAAAGAUCUUUAAAUCAGAAUAGUCAGCAGGAUUACCAAACCAUACCUCUUGUGGAGUCUUUUUCUCAAUGGCAACGGAUGGAGAUCGGUUGAUCAAAAAACAUGCAGUAGAGGCUACUUCGGCCCAAAAUGACUUUGGUAAGUUGGCAUUUGACAACAUACAUCAAACCUUCUCCAUGAUCAUUUUGUUCAUUCGUUCUGCAAUGCUAUUUUGCUGUGGAGUAUAACGAACUGUCAGGUGUCUCACAAUCCUUUCUAACUUGCACAAUUUAUUAAACUCAUCAGAGUAGAACUCUAAGCCACUGUUUGUGUGGAGGUAUUUUAUUUGUUUUCCAGUCUAUUUUUCAACCAUAGUUUUCCAAGACUUAAAUGCAAAAAAGACAUCGCUUUUCUGCUUUAAAAAGAACUCCCAAACUUUUCUGGAAAAACCAUAAAUAAAAGUUAGCAUAUAAUUAGCUCCAUCUCUCGAAGGCACUCUGGAUGGCCCUCACAGAUCAAAAUGAAUAUACUCUAAUGUUUCUUUCGUGUUAUGGAUUCCUCUAGUGAAUUGAAUUCUCUUUUGCUUCCCAAAAACGUAAUUCUCACAGAACUUCAGUUUGUAAAAUCCUUGCCCAAGAAGAAGUCAUCUUUUUCCCAAUUAUGCCAUGUCAUUCUCACUCAUAUGCCCUAGGUAUAUAUGCCAAAGUUUAGUAAUAUCAUCAUCUGACAAGGAAGAGGAUGCGACAGCUGUAUCACCAGUAACAAUAAAACUUUGCAAAACAUAUAACUUUGCAGUUUUUCUCUGCCAUUUCAUUACAACGAGGGAACCUUUGGAAAUCUUUAAAAACUCCACUUUCAGUUGUGUAUUUGUACCCUUUUGAAUCAAAUGCACUCAACGAAAUUAACUUUCUCUUCAAUUUUGGAACAUGUCGUACGUCACUAAGUGUCUGACAAGUCCAUCAAACAUCUUAACUUUAAUUGCUCCAACACCUACAAUUCUACAUGAAGCAUUAUUUCCCAUCAAAACAACACCUUCAAACACUGUUUCGUAAGUUGUAAACCAAUCCUGAUUGGGACUCAUGUAGAAGGUGUAGCCCGAAUCAAUGACUCACUCCUCGCUCACUUUAGAAUUGUAGAUAGAAACGACUAAAAGUUCACCAUCGCUGUAGUCUUCUACAACAUCAAUUUUACCAAAAUUUUCUGGUUGUUUUCCAUUUUGAUUCGCAACCUCCCUUUUGAUAUUGUUUUGUAGCUUAUAGCACUCAGAUUUAAUGUGCCCUUUCUUCUUGCAGAAGUUACAAGAUUUACCUCUGUUUGAAGACUUUGAUCUACCUUUAGAUUUACCGUGAGGAUUCCAUUCUUGUGUCGUUCCAUGAUCAUUAUCAACAUUCCGAUCUUAUCUUCUAUGAACAAUGUAACCCUCUCACUGAGAGUUAGUUUUAACUACAAGAUGUUUCAUCUUAUCAUAUAAGGUUAAAGAAUCAUAAACCUCAUCAAUUGUGAGAGACUCAAGGCUAUAUAAAAUGGCAUCUCUAAAGGUUGAAUAAAACGGGGACAACAAACAAAGUAGAAUCAACUCUAGAUCUUCCUUAUCAUACUGAACCUCCAUGGCUUCCAAGUUUGAGAGAAUUUCUUUAAACAUUGUUAAGUGUUCGUGCACAGACGCACCUUCCUCCAAACGAUGAGCAUAAAAACGCUGCUUCAUAUGCAGCUUGCUAGUUAGAGUUUUUGACAUAAAUAUUUGUUCCGACCUCUUUCAUAAUCUAGCGGUGGUAUUCUCCUUUAUCACAUCCUGUAAAAUUUCAUUAGACAAGUGCAGAUGUAACUGUGUUAACACGUUUCGAUCCUUGCGGUUCUUCUCUUCCACCGUCAAUGUUGAAGGCAUCUUAUCUAUCCCUAGCAGGGUUUCCUCUAAGUCUAUCUGUGCAAGAACUACCUGCAUCUUUAUCUACCACAACGCGAAUCUGGUUUUGCGAUCCAACAGCGAAAUUUCAUACUUCAAAUACGCCAUUACCGUGAUUGAGAUGAACAAAUCGAAAGCUCUGAUACCAAUUUGUGAAAAUAGAAUGUCGAUAAUGAUAAUAUAUCACAAAGAAAAGAGAAAUAAAAAUAAAGAACACACAGAUUUUUACGUGGAAACCCUUUCGAAAAAAACCACGGGCAGGUGAGAAGAAAAUUCACUAUGUAGAAUUCGAAUGAUUUACAAGAGGAGUUUCGACUAUAUCUAUUUAUAGGUUGAAAAAACCCUAAUUCUAAUCAAAGUCAAAUAUAUUAUGCUAAUAAAUGGUAAAUAUAUUAUACUCAUAAAUAUUAAAUCUUCUAGAAAGAAGAUAUAUUUUGUUUAACUUGACUUGCAAGCAAUCUCUUAGAAUUUGGGUCACAAAAAUAACAUUUUUAACCAUACUGAAAACCAUUUUUUAAUCAAAUAUAAGUACUUAAUAUUUAAUUAAAUUAAAAAGAAAAGAGAUCAAUUCUAAAAUUAUGUAUGGACUUUGAUUUAAUUUGCAAUUGUAUAUAUAAAUUUUAAUUUGGUGUAAUUAUACACGUGUAACUCUAAUUGUGGUUCAAAUAUAUACUUGAAACUUUAAUUUUAAUUUAACCAUAAACAUUUAAAGAAAUAAAAACAUCAAUUUAUUUUUAUAUUGAAUAAAUAUAAUUAUUUAAGUGUGCAAUAUAUAAAUAUAAAAUGAUGUUAUAUCAAUAAUUGUGUUAAUAAUUUAUAAGAAUUGGAUCAUAUCAAAAUUUCAUAUAUAAAAUUAUUAAAAUUUAUAUAUAGAAUUGUACAUUAAACCCAGAGUGCAUGUAUACAUAAUUAAUAGAUUGUACAUAGGAAGUAAGUUUUGCUUAGUGUAAUAUAACUGUCAUUCAAGAUUACGCAUUCAUUUCAGACAAAGCACACCAUUUGAAAUUCAAGUUUUGAUUCAGAUUCUUUCUUUUCUUUUUUUAAUAAAAUCUCUAUGAAAGUUUUUAUUUCUUUAAUUCCUUAACGGUAGUGAUUUUAGGUUAUGGAGAAAAGGAGUGAAAAGUUGUGAUUUUUGUGGAAGUGGGUAUUUUUCUGUUUUAAUAGUUUUAGAAAUGGGUUUGAUGGAGAUUUCAAUAAUGCUUCAUGUUGGAUUAGUUUUGUUGCUGCUUUGGAUGCUUUCUCAAUUCAAUCUUUGCCAUCCACUUGCUUAUUUCCUGUCUCUCGUCUACCUCUAUUUGGUAAUUCAUUCAUCUUCUACUAAGAAUAAAAAUUGAAUCUUUUUUUCUUUAUUUUUGAACUUGGAUUGAACUUUUUUGUAUUGUUUUUGUUACAAAAAUUCCUUUUAUUUCUUUGUUCAUCAAAGGUUCAUGAAAUGUAUGUGACGAGAUUGAGGAAGAAAUUGGAGUUGGAGGAAAUGCACAAAGAAACUAGACAUGUCAACAACAAAACAAUAAUGCCAACUGUAAUGGGCCAAUUUUGGCCUAGACCUAAUAAACCAAAUUAAAAUAAAAAAAUAGAAAUCCAAUUUUAAAUGUCCAUUUACAUUGGGCCAGCAAGGCCCAAAUCAUAACCCAAACCAACAUUAGCCCAAUACCCAAUUACAAACCCAAGCCCAAAACAAAACUAAAAAUUAAAAACCCCUAGGCUGCAAGCCUUAGCCGCCGCCUCCAACUACCUUCAGCCAAACCGACUGCCGCCACUCCCCACGCGCAGCAGUCACGCACAACCUCCCCCACGUACACCUCGCCUCCAGCUAACCUGCGCAACAAAUGGCAAAACAGACGCAAAAAAAUUGCGAAAAUUACAAACAGAAAAGUAGCGAGGCAACAACAAUCGCAAAUAACAGAAUGUAAAUAGCUUUUUGAUUUUAUUUUAUUCGGCUAUAUAAAGCCUAAUAAGAACUGAAAUCGAGCAGAGAAUUUGGAGGAAGAAAGAGAGGAGAAAACAGAUAACAAAAUUCUUCUGUAAUUCGAUAACCUCCUUCCCAUGCAGCACUUGCAUAUUUCAAGCAAAAGAAAACAUAACAAACAGUAACUAAUACUCACCAAAACGCACCGUCCAAUUAACAACUAAAACUCACCGUUUAACUAAUACCCAAAACUCCCCGUUUUCAGUAACUAAAUCAAUUUUAGCUAAUUCUUUUUCCUGCUAUUAUUCUAUCCCGUAACAAUACUCCCUCCCACAAACACAUCCUUGACCUCAAGGAUGAAGAUGAGGAAAUUUGGACUGAAUAGCAGAUAAAGGCUCCCAUGUUGCAUCUUCCAGUAACUUGAUCAAAUUCUUGUUGCCACACAUCUGGGCUUCAUCAAGUGGAGUGUUUCCCCAUCUGUCUUUGGAAAAAAAACACUAGCCCCAGCCUCUACCAAAAGCUUUACCAUGAUAUAUAAGCCUUCAGAGGCAGCUACAUGAAGGGGGGUUCAAUGGUCGUAAUCUCUAGAGUUAGGAUCAACUCCAUUAGACAAAAGCCUUCUCAAAAAGUUUGAGUCCCCCUUUGCCACUGCCGUACACAGAUAACUACCAGUAUCAUCUAUGUUUAAGGAAGCUCCUUCUUUAAUUCGUAAAGCAGCAAGAUUGUCGUGACCAUUUUUUAUUGAUUCUAGCAAGGGUGUAUUUCUGAACUUAUCUUUAAGAUUGAUAUCUACCGAGUGUCGAAUAAGAAAACUUGUAAUAUCUUCAUAUCCUUUCGAUGCAGUAAGAUGCGAGGGAGAUUUUCCAUCACAAUCGGUUUUGUUAGGAUCAGCUCCCACUCGUAUCAAAAUUUUGAGCUGAUAAAAAUCUCCAUUAUAUGCAACACCAUUCACCCUCAAAGCUAGCUCAGCUUCUUGUCUUCCGAUGUGAAAUGAAAUGUUCGAUUCCAGUUGCUUAACUCAGAGAUUGGAUUCUUUUCCCUCCAACACACCAUGACAAACAAAAUAGAGUUGAUCCACAACAUUUCCCUGUUCCAUUAUUACUUCUCCUGAGAGAAAAAAUUCUUCAUGGAGUCUAAUAACAAUCUGAUUAAUAAAAUCUAAAGAGCAUUCCUUGAAAAGAGAUGCAUUUUCAAUGUAUGGCAGGUAUUAAGAUUGGGAAAUCUUAGCUCUGAUAGAGAUGGGAACAUCCUGAAGAACGACAGCCUCAGUUCAUGUGCUUUCGUACUGUAAACGCAAGUGGCCUUUGAUCUGAUUGCGGUGAUCCCUUUCAAGUUUAUUUCUAUUCAUAUACUUAAUAACAUCUGCCAUUUUAUCUCUGAACUUCUCUUUCUUGGAUCCUUUUACGAUUAAUGCUGUCAUGUUACCAAUGAGAUAGGCACCAAGAAUCAUGUCAAAGGAGACAUAUAUCAUAAUGAAUAUCAUUUCCCUCAUAUUGACUGCAUGUAUGUCUUCAUAUUCCAUGUCAAAUGCCAGAGCAGCAUUUCCCGCAACUGUAUGGCCAUGGUCCCCAGAAAGUCCAGAUGCAAUAAAAAUACCCUGCUAUUGUGCCCUUUGAAGCUCUUGCUCUAGUUCUGUAAGCCUGAGUCGACUACUCUCAAGCUGCUGGACAUAGGUUUUUUUCCUCAAUCUACUAUUCCUUGCAGCUUCUCGAUUCUGAGCAAGCCUGCGAAGUGUCUUUUGAUCAUUACUUUUUGACUUGGAUUGAUCUAUCGUUUUCACCAUUACAGCUCCAUGUUGAACUCCAUGAAGCUGGUUUUUAUGGUUAGUGUCAACAUCAGUCGAAGUGUCAGUCUGUUGGCUAUAAUCGGCAAGGCCAGAGUCAGCCCAGUUCUUAAUUUGGCCAUUUCCCAAGAAGGCACCCAAUGUUGCACCCUUCUGGUACAUGAAUUGCCCUGUAUCUAAACACCCCAUUCCACUUGAAACUGUCGCUGUUGCACCAAUGCUCGUGUUCAAGGCACCAUAGUGCAAGGUAUUAGCAACAACACCAACAUUGUUGGAUUUUAAACUAGAAAUGGAGCCUUCUUGUUUCAAGUUGACCAGCUCCCUUAUCGAAUCCCAAAACGGCUUACAUCCAAAACGAUCUUGAAGGCUCUUUAUAUACGUCGGCCAAGACGGCAUUUGCAAGCCUCCAUUCCUCUGAGAAUAGAAAUGAUGCCAUUCUAACGCUUUGCCUUCUAAGUUCAACAUCACCAUGCGGACCUUACUCACUUCAGGUAUGCCUUCCGCUUCAAAAUACUAUUCCAAUUUGGUCCACCAUACUCGAAAAUCAUUUCCAUCGAACUUAGGACACUCUAAUCGACUGGUUUUAGUAAAAACUCCUACUUCAUAAGAAGGAUCUCGCACAUGCACACUACCUCCAUCCGUGACAAAGGGUUCCGUCUGUCCUUGUGGUAAGUUAAUGGUUUUAGGUAAGAACCCAGGAGGAGCUCCCAAAACCCUCUUUCCUUUAACAACUGCAGCAUUUACCGAUGAACCAGUUGGUGGUGGCCCGAAAUACUGAACCAACAACGACUGUAAGUCACCUCGAAACUUCGUUUUGAACUCCUGUAGUCGAGAUUCCAUCUUGGCCUCCAGAUGCGCGAUUUCCUCUUGGAUUUUUGAGAUUUCCUGCUACAUAUUGCCCACCUCUUUCUGCAACCUCGUAGAAACACCAUCGCCGGCCAUCAAAAGGGAUCGUGAAAGCUCUGAUACCUUUGAUAAGAACUAAAAUCGAGCAGAGAGUUUGAAGGAAGAAAAGAGAGAAAAGGAAGAAAGAGAGGAGAAAACAGAUAACAAAAUUCUUCUGUAAUUCGAUAACCUCCUUCCCAUGCAGCACUUGCAUAUUUCAAGCAAAAGAAAACAUAACAAACAGUAACUAAUACUCACCAAAACGCACCGUCUAAUUAACAACUAAAACUCACCGUUUAACUAAUACCCAAAACUCCCCGUUUUCAGUAACUAAAUCAAUUUUAGCUAAUUCUUUUUCCUGCUCUUAUUCUAUCCUGUAACAAAGCCAUUACAGAGAUUGUAAAUGAGGGGACGGGAAAUAAAAAAGAGUUCAGUCAUUCAAACAAAAAAUAACCAAACAGAUCGAAGAAAAAAAAAACAAACGUGCAAAGGUCCUCUUUAUUUUCUUUUUUUUCCUCUCCUUAUUUUUCCGUUUUUGAAACUGUUUAUACAUACAAAUAUUUCUUUUUUUAAAAUUGUUUAUACAUGCAAAGGUAUUUCAAAAGUGCAUGAAAAGAAAAAACUUACCCCUUCUCUUUGAUUUCACAAAAAAAGCCGACUUUUGACAUUCAGGCCACCAUAAAUGGCGGCACCGACGCCGGCAAUUGGUGGCCAGCACGGCGGCGACUAGCCGGGCCGACAACCGGAGAAGGGGAUGGUUUAAAGAAUGGGAGAGAGCUUCUCGAGUUUUUUUUUUUGAAACAAGAGACUAAAUGAUUAUUUUUGGAAAAAUUCUGAGUUAAAUAGGCAUUCAAAACGACGCCGUUUUGACUUGACCCGCGCGCGACCCGACCCGUUCCAGGGGGAAUCCGCGUGUUUUUGCCUUUUGGGAUAUUUUGCUUCUAGUCCUUCCGCCUUGUUGAGUUGUUUUAAUCUAGUCCUGAUUUCACCUUUUUACUUCUUUUAAUUUUACCCCACGAAUUUCGUUUUGUUACAUGACAGUUCAUUGUGAAAUUGCGCGCAUAAGGACCAGGGAUAGUUUCCCUUUCGGACCCCAUUGUUUUACCGUGUUGUAUUUUUUAUCCUUGUCAGCCUUUUUUAUCAUUUACAAUUUAUAGCCUUUGAUUUCACUUAAACUUUAAUUAAAUCCCUUACUUAUUUAAUUUAGCUUUGUACUGUUUUAUCUUAUUAUUAUUUUAUUACUUAUUUCGUUAUCAGCAAUUCAGCAUUGCGUUUUAUUUUAAAAUUUACAUUACUCAUAUUAGUUUUAUAUAUUGAUUUAUUUAUUAUUCUUUAUUUUUUUAAACACUUAAAUUUAAUAUUAUUUUUUUACUUUUUUUUAUAUUUAUGUACUUCUUAAAUACCUAAAUGAAGUAUUGUUUAUAUCUGCUGUAUUGGUUUUUAUUCAUCUAUUUAUUUAUCAUUCUUACUUCUAAAGUACUUACGUUUUAUGUCAUGUAUAUUCAUUUUAUUUAUUUGCUUGUUUAUUUAUUAUUCUUGUGCUUUUUCAAAUAUUUAGAUUUAAUAUUAUUUUCACUCCCUUUUCAUUAGGCACCCUUUGUCUUUAUUUUUAUUUUUACUUUCGAGUUACUUUGUCGUUAAUGGCAUAAAUUAAUUUUCUUAUUAUUGCUAUUUCAUAUUAUUAUUACUAUAGUAUUUACCCAUUUAUUUGUUAUUUAUCGUUCUAAUAUAUUUGUUCUCCUCAUAUAAUCUUUUUAGAUAAAAAGAAAAAUUUAAAUCGAAACAAUGUUCAUUGUUUUUGGAAUUAGAAAGGUCGUACCCUAAUUUACGGGGUUUCGAUUUUCUUGAUAAAUCCACAUACACGAAUCUUUUCAAACAUAAGUUUUUAAGAGAUCUCGGGAAUUAAUAAAAUAUCGCGUUUUAACUUAGGAGACAUGAUUUCUUUUCCAAACCCAAGAUAAUCGAAUCAAAUAUCUGUAAAAAAAAUAAACUUUUCGGUAUUCAUUUCUCAUAUUGGGAAUUCAAGACAUUGUGUCCUAACUUACGAGACAUAAUUUUUUUCUCGAUUAACGUAAAAUAUGCCCUGUUCUCGAAAAAGGUUUCAUUUUAACAAGGGAUCGUAUUUUAAAAUCUUUUCCAAAAUUUCAACUUUCGACACUAAGACACUAAUUAAUCAACUAGGUACCAAUUUUCGGCGUUACGAGGGUGCUAACCCUUCCUUGUACGUAACUGACUCCCAAACCUGUCUUUCUUAAUUUCGUAGACCAAAAAGCGUUUUAAUAUAUCAAAUUAAAAUAACCACUAUUCGAGGUGGCCUGAUCACACCUCAUUAAUAAGGAUUGGUGGUCACUCCCAUACUCAUUUUUUUAUUUUUUGUCAAAAUCUAAAUCGAUCCCGUUUUACAAAAAAUGGUGUCAACACCAACAUUCUCAAACGCAACAACAAAAAUGUUUUCAAAAAGGAAAUAGACAUCACACUUAGAGUAUAGAAACACUUGGAUUGUAACCAUGAAAAACGAAAUAAGAUAUCCAACAUCCUCAUCACAUUGGGUUUCCCUCUGAUUCAUUAGUAGCCUCUGCAAUGCAAUAACACGAUUAAAAGUUAUUGUAGCAAUAACUUUUAUAAAUAUUAAAAAAUUAACUUCCAAACACAUUGAUCACGUCUAAAUCUAAUCUAAGUCAAGGUUGGUCUAAACAUGAAAAUUCUAACCAACUCAUCUCAAUUCAAUUCAACUAAACCUAAACUAAAUUGACACAAAAAUCUAUUUAUAUAAUUUACUUUUAACUUAUAUAUAAUUUUAGUUAUGAUUUAAAUUUAUACAUUUAAUAUUGAACAAAUAGUCAAAUUAAAGAAAAUUGGUAAUUAUGAACAAUAACUUAACACAUAGGUAAUUAAUGAAAAUAAUAUAAUAUAUAUACGUAGGCAAAAUAAUAUAAAGCUAAAAAGUGAGAUAAUGAAGUAAAAUGUUUCUAACCUUAUGCAAUAUUUGAACUCGCUAUAGUAACACUAUCCAAUGGUGUACUUGGCUCAUCAUUAGAGUUCUCAUCAAGAGGAAGUUGAUGGAAUGGUUUAGGAGGCAUCUCAAGGAGUUCAACAUUAGAUUCAAGCAUCUUCAACACUUUAUUCAUUGAAGGACGAUCAGAAGGCAAUAAUUGUAUACACCAAAAGGCAGUUAUUAUCAUCUUCUUCACCAUUACUUUUUCAUCGUCAGAAACAUCUCCUAGCUCUAUGUCCUCUCCUUGAUCUAAUCGGUCAUAAAUCCAAGAUGGAAAAUAGAUCUGACUAGUGUGGUCAGCAAAUGCAUUCACAUUCUUUCUCCUUCCUACCAUUUCCAUCAGUAACAUUCCAAAACUAUAAACAUCGGCUUUGUAUGAGAUGCCUCCAAGAUUUUUGUAAACCAAUUCAGGAGCAAUAUAUCCUAUCGUUCCUCGUGCCGCAGUGAGAGAGACAAUGCUAUCAUCUACUGAAUACAAUUUAGCAAGACCAAAAUCGGAAACUUUUGGGUUAAAAUGCUCAUCAAGAAGAAUAUUGUGUGGCUUGAUAUCAAAAUGUAGAAUUUGCAUGUCACAUCCUUGAUGCAAGUAAUGAAUUCCUUGAGCUACCCCAAGCACAAUAUCAAACAUUUUUUUCCAGCUCAAAGUAUUCUUAUUUUCUUCGGUAAAUAUGAUUUUAUCUAAAGAUCCAUUAGGCAUGAAGUCAUAUACUAGAGCUUGCUUUGAUCCCUCCACACAAAAUCCAAUAAGUUUUGCCACAUUAGCAUGAUGAAUUCUUCCAAUAGAAGCAACUUCAUUUAUGAAAUCUUGACCAUUACCCUUUGAUUUGCCCAACAAUUUUAUUGCCACGUGAUGUCCACUACGAAGUUUUCCUUUAAAUACUGAUCCAUAAUCCCCUUCACCUAAUUUAUCGUUAAAAUUUUUUGUCAUUUUUUUAAUUUCUCUAUAGGAAUACCUUAUGGGAACAAAAUUAUUUUGACUUUGAAGGAACUCUUCAAUCAUACCAUCCAUAGAUAAGUGUCUUCUUCUCCAUUUGCAAAUAAUAAGAGCAAGCAAACAAAUGAUCCCAGGCAGCGACCUCAAUAAAAUAACUCCAACUUUAAAAAACACAAUGUAAGUCGUCAGUAGUUGUGAAAUUAAUCAAAUAAUAUAUAACUUACAUUCUGAAAAAAAGGUAUAUACUGUGAUAGUUUGAUGCUCUUUUAUAAUUAACUAGUACUUGAAAGAGUGUCAUAUUUCACUACUUUAUGGAGUUAAUUUAGAAAUAGCAGUUAAGACUAUUAAAUAACAUAGUUGAUACCUUGUGUUUACUCUUCUAUACCAAAAAUGAAAAACUUUGAAGGGCCAUUCAGAACCCAAGCAAAAUAAAUCUGAAUUAUAUGUUAUGUUUUUGUCAAUAGCAGCUACACCUCAACAAAUUCAAACUCAGAACUUUGCACACAAAGGAGUAAAUCAUGCAAAGUGAAGACCAAUUAUUCUACCCUCACACAUUCGAAUAUAUUUGACUGGUCGGGUCAUGAAAUUCACCCAAAUCAACACAUUCAUAACCCCACCUAAUUAGCAAAUUGCAAAGAAAGAAAAUGAAUCUGAACCAUGAAUUUUCAUAAAUGAUAAAAAGAUGCAAGAGAACCCCCGCAAAAAAAAAAAAAGAAAAAGAAAUGAUAAAUUCAACAACUAACUUAGUUGAAUGUUUUAGCAAUAUGAAUAUUCACCGAAGUUAGAACCUGUGAAAGUUCUGUAGAUUGUAUUCUACUUGACAAAAGAAAAUCCAUUCAUACAAGAGAAGAAGAUUGUAUUCUACAUCCCAACUCCUUAAAGAGUUCUGUAGAUUUUUUAGUUUUGCAGUGAAAUUAAAUAUAAACUUGUAUAAUAUGAUAGGCUCGUCGGUUUUUUGUUUUUUUCCAGAGUAUUGUUUAUUGUUGUUUCUCUACCAAAUCUAAAUUUGUAUCUGAAAUUAAAGUACCUGUUAUUCCAAAAACAUCCCAAUAGUCUCCUGUAAAAGAAAAGCACGAAUAAAAACAAAAUAUAAUUAUUUCGACAACGGAAUGAAGUAAUAAAUCCAAAGCAUUACUAAUCAAUUUUGGGUAUAGCAUACCGAUAUGUGCAAGGCUGUUCAUAUAGCUUGUGAAGAGGUCUCCCAAUCCUGACAAUCUGGAUUAUAUAUUCAACAAAUCAAACUAAAAUUAAUAAAGGAAAAUAGGUGUAAAAAAAUCAAUUGAAUUUGAAGCAAAACUCUGUAUUUUGUUUUGUGGUAUAUCUUAUUCUAAAUAUUCCUUUUUUUCAGCCAAUAAAUUUUAUUAAAACCGCAAGAGGAAACUGACCAAAAGGCCAUUCAUACACACCUAAAUCACCAAUAACUCGACAACAAGUAUGAAAGUUAGAAUCCCAAGAAACAUAAGAAAACAAAUGAACAAGUCAGCAUAGAAGAAAACUCCACCCAAAACCCAACAUUGAAGAAGAAACAAAUCGCAUCAUCUAUCCCAUAUUUUUAACCAACCUUAUUCUAAAAAACAUUAUACUAAUUAUUUACAUAAUUUUUUUUGUUUGUAAAAAGUAUGCAGCAUCUUUUACGGUAUAAUAAUUUUUACAUAACCAAAGUUAUUUUAUAUGAUGAAAGGUGAGACAAAUUUUAUUCAAAUUAACUAAUCCAAAAAAUAUAUAUUAUAGCAUUAAAGGAUGUAACAGUGAAUCAUAUUCAAACAUAAUAUUAUGUUUUUUUUUAAUCAUGCUGUUGUUUAUAUUAAGCACUUUUAAAACAUUUUUUUCUUUUAUUUAUCCUUCUGAAAAGAAACUUAAAUUUUAAAAAUCUGGAUUAUAUAUUCAACAAAUCAAAGCAAAAUUAAUAAAGGGUGUAAAGAAAAAUUCCAAAUUUGUUUACACAAAUCAAUGGAAGGUAAUUUAAAACAUUAUAUCAUGUUUUGUGGUGUAUACUCAUUGAAGGGCGAUCAGAAGGUAGUAAUUGUAUACACCAAAAAGCAAUUAUUAUCAUCUUCUUUACCAUUACUUUUUCAUCGUCAGAAAUACCUCCGAACUCCAAGUCCUCUCCUUGAUCCAAUUGGUCAUAAAUCCAAGAUGGAAAAUAUAUUUGACUAGUGUGGUCAGCAAAUGCAUUCACAUUCUUUCUCCUUCCAACUAUUUCCAUCAAUACAUUCCAAAACUAUAAACAUCGGCUUUGUAUGAGAUGCCUCAAUGUAAAGCGAUGAUUUUAUAGGUUUCGUGCAAUUCAUAACAUAAAUAAUGCUAACCUCUAACCUUCUAUCAUAAUAAUUACCAUAAGGAUAAAUAUAAGAAUAAGAAAAGAAUCUACAAAAGUAACUAAGAGGAAGGGAGUUGCAAUCAUCCGUGUCCAACAAUCAACCCCUCCCAGAGUAGGCUGUCGAGGAGCCUCCUGCACAUCAUAAAUAGCACGAGUUGUACGCCCCAAAGCAUUUGCCAAGGACCAUCAAGAUGAAGGUCAAUAACAUUUGUGUAAAUUUGGAGUGCUACCUUACAGCCAAAACUAACAGAAUAGUGACUGUUUGGAUUGAAAUGCCAAUUAUGAGUCAGUUCGGAGUCGGAUACAAGCAAAGUAGCAUUCGAAGCAUCCGUUGCGCAUCAUAGGAGAUAGAAGACCGUGAGUUACAUGAUUUCAUUUUGAGUAUUGAAAAUUGAAAAUAGGAUAAGUACCAACCACUAAUAUAUUAUCAGCAAAAUCUCCCAAUUGAAAGAACAAUAGAUGCAUCUAUACUAUGUUUAAAAGUUUAAUAGAGUUUAUGGUUAUCUAUCAAUGAGGUAUCAACUCAAUUGUAAAAUCAUUAAAAUCUUAUUAUUUUUAAAAACAAAAAAUAUUAUAUUGAGAGUAUUUUUAUUUUUUAUUAAACUUUAUAAAAAUACAUCAAUUUAAUAGAAUUUGAACCCAAAACAUCAUAAUCCUUGUACAGACCCAAUUUCUGCCCGGCCCACUAACAAAAAGAACCCAAAACCCACAAACCCAAUAACCCACCUAAACACUAACCCAUACCAGCAGACCCAAUUACAAGGCCCAGUGGCCCAAAAUUUUAAAAUCAUUUCAGAAACCCUAAUCCCCCUAACCCUAGCCGCCUCUUCUGAUCUUUCUGCUACUACUGCCGCCAUCACCUACCCUCUGCCACCGCCACUGUUUCGCCCACUUGCACCACCUGCUCCACCUGCAAAACAAAGGAGAACACGCAAGCAAAGAAGGACAAAACAGUAGAAACAAUAAUAAAAUAAAUUGUGUAAAAAUGGCUAUAUAAAGGCCAUUCAAACGAAUUGUAAGGGGUUCGGCCCCUCUUUCACUAUUUCAAGAAAUAAAAAGGGCAAAGAAAACGGAUUCAAGAAAUUUUUCUUUUGGUAUAAACUCUAUUUUCUUUUAUUUAUAUUUUUCUCUUUAUUUUUCUUCCAUCCGAAACUGUUUGAUUCUUUAUUCUUAUUUUUAUUUUUCUUUUAUUUUUAAAAACAUAUAUGGCCAAGUUCGUCGGAUUCUGGGCAGUGCUGGAGAGGGGGAGAGGAUAUUUUUGAGAAGAAGAGUUUUUUUUUUUUUAAUGAAAGCUGAAAAUGAUUUUUUUUGGGGGAAACCUUGACUUUUAUAGGCCCCCCAAAACGACGUCGUUUUGGGCAAGCCUCUUAGGUACCAAAACGGCGCCGUUUUAAGGCCGGCCCGAAAACCGACCCGACCCGCCUGAAGGAUCCGCGUGUUUUCGACGGAAGGGAUAAUUGCGUUUUCAGGCCUUCCGCUNNNNNNNNNNNNNNNNNNNNNNNNNNNNNNNNNNNNNNNNNNNNNNNNNNNNNNNNNNNNNNNNNNNNNNNNNNNNNNNNNNNNNNNNNNNNNNNNNNNNAAUUUUUUAUAUAUAUAUAUGCAUACAUAAUUAUAUACAUAUAUAUACCUUAUAAUAUUAAUGCGUACAUACUUUUAUUUAUUAAAUAUUUUUAUACUCUAUAUUUUUAUACACUUGUAUAUAUACAAACAUCUAUGUUUCAAUUCAUAUAAAUAUAUGUACGUAUACAUAGUUAUGUGCUUUAUGUACCUAUUAUAAUUUGUUUACAUGUUUAUAUAUAUCUAUACAUAUAUUUUUAUAUUUCGUGAUAGUUAUAUGUACACAUAUACAUGUAAAUACUUAUAUUUUAUGCCUCAUAAUAUAUAUUUUCAUAUUUUCAUAUUUUAUGAUUUUCAUCUAUUUUCCUUUAUUGUUAUUGUAAUUUUCAUGUGUAUUUGUUUAUUUAUUUAUAUGUCUAUUUUUUUUAUGUUUUAGUUUUUUUUUUUUAUUUGUUAUGAUAUAUGCACAAUUAAUUUAGUUUAUUAUUUGUUUUGUUUUUGUUUUUAUUCACACAAUCAUGUUCAAUAUUCCAUUAUGCAUAUAAAUAUCAUAUUUCAAAAGGAAAAAUAUUUCUAAAUGAGGCAAUGUUUUGCGUUUGGAAGUUCGAGAAAACAUGUCCUAAGGUGCUGGGUGUCGAUUUUUCUCGUUCAACCAAAUAGCUUAAUAUCCUUUUAAAUUUUUAAAAUAAGGCAAUGUUUUGCGUUUGGAAAUUCGAGAAAACAUGCCCUAAGGUGCUGGGUGUUGAUUUUUCUCGUUCAACCAAAUGGCUUAAUAUCCUUUUAAAAUUUUUAAAAUAAGGCAAUGUUUUACGUUUGGAAAUUCGAAAAAACAUGCCCUAAGGUGCUGGGUGUCGAUUUUUCUCGUUCAACCAAAUAGCUAAACAUCCUCUUGAAUUUAAAUUCAUGCCAUUCGAGUUUUUAGGAUCGUAUUUUAAAUUUUUUUGAAGUUUUCAGUUUUUUGACACUAAGACAUUAAGUAAUCAACUAGGUACCAAUUUUGGGCGUAUCGAGGGUGCUAAUCCUUCCUCGUGCGUAAUCGACUCCCGAACCCGUUUUUCUGAAUUUCGUGGACCAAACUUGUUGUUUUAAUAAAAUCAAAUCGUUUAUUAAAAACAACCACUUUUUGAGGUGAUCCGAUCACACCUCAUCAAAAAGGAUCGGUGGCGACUCCCGUUUUCGUUCUCAUUUUUCAAAACCCAAGUCGACCCCAUUUUCCAUCCAAAAAAAUGGUGUCAACAAUCCUUAUUACCUAAAUUUUACCAUACCAAACAAAGCCACAUUUAGCUUUUGUAUCAUUUUUUAAAUAAUCUAAUAUAUCUUUAUUUAAUAAGUAAUAAUCCCAUAUGCAUUAGAGAGAGUAUUAAGUUGAGUUAUUAAAUUUAGGGUUUGUUAUAUUCUAACGGGUUAUUUUCAAUUCCAUUGAAAUGAUUUAUAGGUGAUAACUUUUACAAUUUAAUACGAUUAAUUUUAUUAUAUUACAAUGAAAAACAAAAGAAAAAGAAGAAUUUAAUAUGGUUCAAAGUUUUUAAAUAAAUCUGGACCAGACAAACCUUUACCAUUAAUCUAUUCCAACUUCAGUGAGAACGACCAAGACAAUGCAAGUCUCAAGUCCUGUUUGAAACGCAAAAGCAUUCAAGUGGUUGGGAGCAGCAAGCCUGAUCCCUUUUGUCCUUUUGUGUUAUGUAAGUCAAUUGUAGAGAACGAUUGUUGGAAUUUUCUAAAACGUAAGUUAAUAGUUAGAACCCUUGAGCAACGCACAUUCCACCCCAACCCAUGCAUAACGUUAGACGAGACUCAAUGUCUCAUUGUAUACAUUUUUAAUUUUAUUCAACAACUACAUAAGUAUAUUUUUAAAUGAUUUUUAAUAUAAUUACAUGUAUUUUCAUCUAUUUUAUAUGAAUUUAAAAUAUUACAAAUUAAAUAUAAUUAAUAUAAGAUAUAAGUUCUAUUUAAUUAAAUUCAAAUUCAAAUUCAAAUUUUAAAUUAUCCAAUAAUAUAAAUAGUAGACAUAAAUUUAAAGAAAAAAAUUGGGGUUUAGUUGAGAAAUUACCUCUCAAAUUCAACUAAAAUAAAUAAAGAGAGUUUAACUGGAAAAUUACCUUUCAAAUUUAACUGAAAUAUGAAACAUACUCAAUAAUAAGGGUAUCAAUUCAAAGGUAUAAAGCUACAUAAAUUCUUAGUUAUGUCUUUGAAAUAUUUUCACAAAGGCAUGUGCAAAACUUUUUGAUUCUAAGCAAAUUCAUUGUCUCAAUAUUACUUAUUUAAAAUCAAAUCCACAUUUAUUUUUAAACAAAAUCCAACAAUGUAUUUGGCUCAUCCAACAAUUUAUUUUUAAAUGGCAUUUAUUUAAAAAGAACCAAAUGAGAAUUAUUAUACAACUUUAUAAAGUCGAUGACACAUCCAACAUUUAAAGCACAAAGAAACUAGAUUGGCCAACAACAAAACAAUAAUGCCAACAUUCUCAAAUACCGCAACAAAUUUGUUCUAAAAACAAAAGAUAGCGCAUCGCACUUAGAGCGUAGAAAUACUUGAAUUCAAUCAUUGUAACAACGAAAAAGGAAACAAGACAUCCAACAUCCUCAUCACAAUGGAUUCGCCUCUCACCCGCCAACAACGUCUGCAAUGCAAUAAAACAAGAAGAGGCUAUUGUGGUAGCAACUCUUAUAAAUAUUCCAAAAUUAACUUUUAGAUGCAUCAGGUCUUAAUCUAAGGUAAAGGGUUUAUCCAAACAUGAAAAAUCUAACCAACUCAAUUCAAUUCAACCUAACCUCAACCUAUCUAUAUAGUUUACUUUUAAUUUAUAUAUAAUUUCUAUUAUGAUUUAAAUUUAAAUAUUUUUUAACAAAAAUUUUAAAUACUUAAUAUUGAACAAAUAGUCAUAUUAAUGAAAAUUUGUAAUUAUGAUCAAUAACUUAACACAUAGGUAAAAGUGUUUUUUUUUUUUUACUUAAUAAUAUUAUUAGCAAUAGUACGUUAUUAAUUGUAUAUGAAAAUAAUGAAGCUUAAAAAUUAAAAUUUAAAGACAAUGCCAUUGUCAAAUUUACUCAAAAUUUAUUUUUAACUAUAGUUAUCUAUGUACAUAUGUGACACACAUAAUAAGAUGCUAAUAUAUAUAAGGCAAAAUAUUAUAAAGUUAAAUGGUGAGAUAAUAAAGUGAAAUGUUUCUAACCUUAUGCAAUAUUUGAACUUGUUAUAGUAACAGUAUCCAAUGAUGUACUUGGCUCAUCAUUAGAGUUCUCACAGCUAUGAAUCUCCAUUGAUGUUUCAAGCGGAAGUUGAUGGAAUGGCUUAGGAGGCAUAUCAAGGAGUUCAACAUCAGAUUCAAGCAUCUUCAAAACUUUACUCAUUGAAGGACGAUCAAAAGGCAGUAAUUGUAUACACCAAAAGGCUGUUAUUACCAUUUUCUUUACCAUUGCUUUUUCAUCGUCAGAAACAUCUCCCAACUCCAAGUCCUCUCCUUGAUCUAAUCGGUCAUAAAUCCAAGAUGGAAAAUAGAUCUGACUAGUGUGGUCAGCAAAUGCAUUCACAUUCUUUCUCCUUCCAACCAUUUCCAUCAGUAACAUUCCAAAACUAUAAACAUCAGCUUUGUAUGAGAUGCCUCCAAGAUUUUUGUAAACCAAUUCUGGAGCAAUAUAUCCUAUCGUUCCUCGUGCCGCAGUGAGAGAGACAAUGCUAUCAUCUACUGAAUACAAUUUAGCAAGACCAAAAUCGGAAACUUUUGGAUUAAAAUUCUCAUCAAGAAGAAUAUUGUGUGGCUUGAUAUCAAAAUGUAGAAUUUGCAUGUCACAUCCUUGAUGCAAGUAGUGAAUUCCUUGAGCCACCCCAAGCACAAUAUCAAACAUUUUUUUCCAGCCCAAAGUGUUCUUAUUUUCUUCUGUAAAUAUGAGUUUAUCUAAAGAUCCAUUAGACAUGAAGUCAUAUACCAGAGCUUGCUUUGAUCCCUCCACACAAAAUCCAGUAAGUUUUGCCACAUUGGCAUGAUGAAUUCUCCCAAUAGAAGCAACUUCAUUUAUGAAAUCUUGGCCAUUACCCUUUGAUUUGCCCAACAAUUUUAUUGCCACGUGAUGCCCACUACGAAGCUUCCCUUUAAAUACUGAGCCAUAACCCCCUUCACCUAAUUUAUCUUUAAAACUUUUAGUCAUUUUCUUAAUUUCUUUAUAGGAAUACCUAAUGGGAACAAGAUUGUUUUGGCUUUGAAGGAACUCUUCGAUCAUAUCAUCCAUAGAUAAAUGUCUUCUUCUCCAUUUGUAUGUAACAAGAGCAAGCAAAAAAAUUAUCCCAGGCAACGACCUCGAUGAUAUAACUCCAACUUUAAAGAAAUACAAUGUAACACGUCAGUAAUUGUGAAAUUAAUCAAAUAAUUUUUAACUUACAUUCUCAGAAAAAAGUUUUAUGUUAACUAGUAUUUGAGAUAUUUCACUAGUCUAUGGACUAGUCUAUGGACUUAACCGAGAGUAGUCCGAAUUAUAUGUUAUGUUUUUGUCAUUAGCAGGUAUAUCUCAACAAAUUAAAAUUCAGAAUUUCAAACACAAAAGGAGUAAAUCAUGCAAAGUGGAUACCAAUUCUAACCUCACACAUUCCAAUAGAUUGACAGGGUCAUGACAUUCGCCCAAAUUAACACAUUCGUAACCCCAUCCAAUUAGCAAAUUCUAAAGAAAGAACAGGAUUCUUAACCAUGAAGGAUACUCAACUGUUGUCUCUAUUAAAAAUAAACUUGAGGAAGGACAAAUUAAAAAUAUAAUAACCUUCAAAUUUCAUAAAUGAAACAAAAUCUAGAACCACCAAAAGAUGCAAGAGAACCCCCCAAAAAAAAGAUUUGAUAAACUCAAGAGCUAACUUUCUUUACUUGACAAAAAAAAUAUUUUUUCGUAUAAUAGAGGAAGAUUGUUUUCAGCAUUCAAACUCCUUAAAGAAUGCUAUAGAUUUCUUAGUUUUGCAGUGAAAUUAAAUAUAAACUUGUAUACUAUGAUAGGCUCCUUAUUCUUCCCCCCCCCCCCCAAAGAAUAUUGCUAAUAUCUUUUCUUAACUAGUGCUAGAAUUUGUAUCUGAAAAAAUGCAAAUCUGCAAAUCCAAAAUUAACAAUACCUGUUAUUGCCAAACAGAGAAUAUAAGUUCCUGUAAAAAAACCACGAAUAAAAACGAAAUAUCAUUAUUUCAAGAGAGCAGCGAAAUAGUAAAAUCAAAGCACUUCUAAAUUCUAAUGAAUUUUGGGAAUCAUACUUCUUGGCAUAGAAUCGUUGAUAUCGUAGUAGACAUGGGGGCCGUGGAAAAGGAAAUAUACAAAGCUGUCCAUAUAGUUUCUGAAGGCAAAUUUCAAGUUUGACAAUCUGGAUUAUAUAUUCAACAAAUCAAAGUAAAAUUAAUAAAGGGGUGUAAAGGAAAAUUCCAAAUUUGUGUAAAAAAAUCAAUGGAAGGUAAUUUAAAACAUUAUAUAAUGCUUUGUGGUAUAUACUCAAAAAAAAAAAAAUACAACAAUUCUUUACAUAUGUUUGCUUGUAAAAAGUACGCAACAUGUAUUACAGUAUAAGAGUUUUUAGGUAACUAAAAUGAUUUAAUAUAAUGAAAGGUGAGACAAAAUUUAUUCAAAUUAAUUAAUCCAAAAAGUAUAUAUUAUUGCAUUAAUAGAGUUUUUGCCAAAAAAAUAAACUCAUCCUCAAUGGUGGAAUAUUUACGUACUACCAACUAAAUUGAAAAUUCAUCAAAAAUUUAAAAAGAAAAUAAAAAGAGAGACAUUAUGUUCGCAGAAUUUAGAAACAUUGUGGUUGUAAAAACAUAAUCAAAUAUAAUUGUCCAAAAAGAAGACAAAACAGCAGAGGCAGAUACUAAAUUAGAAAUGCUUUUAGUUCAUUUGAUUGUUAGAUGUUGAUCAAUUUUAGAUGCAAAAUCAUGAUUCUUAAUUACCAUCAUAAAAUUUAAUUGCGAAAAAAAGUAACAUAAAAUAAAACAAAACAAAAAGUAGAUGUUAUAACUAAAAAUUCCAGAAUGAUGCACACUCAAAAUGCAAACUUAAAUUAUUAAAGAAACUUACAUUUCUUUAAACGACGAAACUUUAACUUUAUUUUUAUAACAACUCUGGUACCUGCACGUAUUCCAUUUGACCCAAAAACCCUCUAAUAGUUUUUUGUAGAUAUCCAGUGUAGACAUGCCUAUUAUAUUAUCAAUCAUAAUUGGAACCUCCGCUUCGAUAGUGCAAGCUUGAUUGAUAUCAGAUAGGUGGGUGUUUCCAUUUAAAAAAUAGAAAUGAGAAGUUGGAAGGGAAGAGGAAGUAUUGGAUUUGAUGGUACAACGAGAAGCCUCAAUAUAAAGUGAUGAUUUUAUAGGUUUGGAGCAAUUCAUAACAUAAAUAAUGCUACCCUCUAACCUUCCACCAUAAUAAUUAUAAUAAUUAUAACUAGAAGAAGAAGAAGAAGAAAGAAAAAGGGAAACAGAUGAUUGAUCAUAAUGGUAAUGAUAAGGAAGUACAGAACUAAGAGGAAGAGAGUUGCAAUCAUCCGUGUCCAAGCUCGCAUCGACCAUUCGUAUUGUAUAAUUUUCGUAAAAGAUUUAUUGGACAGAGAAUUUCCCUCUUCUCCCAACCAAAGUGGUGCGAUUAUUGUUCUCACACUCAAAUUCAAAGCCAUAAACACCACAGUGGGGAGGUUGGUUUUUUAAUCGGAAUGGAAAACUGAUAUUCAAAUUCCCACAGAAAGUAGAGCCGCAGUCUUGGUUAAUAAGACUCCUAGCAAAACAAACAGCAGGAAAUAGAAUUACAAAUAAAGCAAAAGAGAGCAUUAGGUGACGGAACAAUGGCAGUUUUGCUUUUAAUUUUGGCAUGCUAAAAUUUUGGGUGAGGAAGAAGAACAAUAAUGGGGGUUAAUGAUUAAGUUUCUAACUAAAUCAGGGAAAUAUAUAAGAAAACUUGAGUGGAAGAAGAAGCAUUAAUGAGGACAGAAGACUUUGACUAGUCUUCAGCUUUAUUUGGGAUGAAUAUUUUAUUUUCAAUAAAUUGUUUACACCUUUUAUUCUUUUAUCUUUUUUCUGGGAAGAGCCAUGGUUAUCACAAGCAAAAGAAAAAGGAAUUUUAAUAUUAUUCAAAAAAAAAAAAAUUUGGACCAUAUGCUUGUAGUCGUAGAUCAACGUUUAUGACCUUAAUAAAUUCCAAUUACAAUGAGGAGGACCAAGACAAUGCAAGUCUUUAGUCUUCUUUGAAACACAAAAACAUUUGUUGCAUCUUUUGUAACUAUUUGUUGCAUCAUUCUAAAAAGUAAGUUAAUAGUUAGAAGUGUCAAGCAAGGCGACUCAAUGCCCAAUUGUAUAGAUUCUUUUUAUUUUAUUCCACGAAUACUUCACUACUUUUCAAAUAAUUACAUGAAUUUAAAAUAAAACAAAUUCAAUAUAAGAUAUAAUUUCUAUUUAUUUAAGUUUAAAUUCAAAACUAAAUUCUAUUUCUAAAUUUUAAUUAUCCAAAAUUAAUUUAAAAACUUAAAUUUAAAAAUACAUUAAGAGACUUCAAAUUCCGUUUUAUUUUAAAUGAAAUCGGUUUAGUAAAGAGGUGACUAUGGAUCAAGUCAAGCCGAAUCGAAGUUCAGUUUCAAAAAAUUCCAAGUCCUAGAGCCUAUUUUUGAUCCAACUCACCCAAAAGCUCGUUUUCUAUUUGAAAAUAUUAAAAAUAUUUUUAAUUGAUAUUUUACAUAUUUUUAUAAUUAAAUUUAAAUUUUAAUAAAAAUUAUUAUUUAAAUUAAACUAUAAAAAUAUUUAUCCAAAUCUGACCCAAAUCGAAUUAGGCCGGGUGGGCGAUCCGAUCAUGACAGGAAAGGAGAAACAAGAAAGACGAAGCCUAAACAGGCAGUAAAUUCAUUUUAAUUCUACAUACAUUCCAUAUUAUUAUUUAGGGAUAAUAUAGUUUUUGACCCUAAUCUUGAUAGUUAAGUGGACUUUAGUACAUAUAUCUUUUUUGUUCUACUUUGACACUCGAACUUCAAAUAUUUUGGUUCCUAAACUUGAAAAAUAUAAAAGUUUUAUGAUGCAACUCUGUAAGAUUGUGUUACAUCAUCACUUAAAAAUUAAAAAAAUAUAUAAAUAUUUUUAAUUAAUAUCUUAUAUAUCUCUAUAAUUAAAUUUAAAUUUAAAAAAUAUUUUUUAUUAUUUAAAUUCAACUGAGAUUAAAUCAAAAUAAAAUGUAAAAAUACUUAUUCAAAUCUGACCCAAAUUGAGUUGGGCCGGGCAGGCUACCCAGUCAUCUCAAGUCUACUUUAGCACAGGUAAGUAAAGUUGAAUCAUUAGAUUGGGAUAUAUGUGUGCUUCGGGUAAAUACUUAUUUGGGCUGAAUUAUUUGGACUUCAAUUAUGAAUUUAAUUUUUUACUAAUAUGUGUGAGAAGCCCAUUCUUUUAUGAAUUUUGGGCCACUUCGGUUUCGUCUUCAGGAAUUAAACAUUCAUAAAAAUCUAAAAAAAUUUAUUAAAUUAUUAUUUAUUAAUUAAACCAGUUGAUUAUUCAAUCGGUUUGACCACUAGUUCUUGAUUCAACUCAUUUGAUCGGUUCAACUACCCAACUAACAAUAAUUAAAUGAAUGAUUCAACAUCCAUAAAAAUCUAAAAAAGAAUAUUAAAUCAAUUACAUAUGUUCAAUAGCCAAGUUUUUUUUUUUACUAAUUUCAAACAAUUUUUUUAAUUUAAUUGAUUCAACCAUUUUGUUCAAACUAGGGUGUUCGCAAAAGUCUCGACUCUCCUAAAAUGGAAAAGUUUUUAUUUAAGUCAUUUAAAAUUUUUAAAAUUUUAAAUUAAUAAAGGUAAAUUACACUUUGGCCCCAUAAAAAUAUAAAAAUUUGAUUUAAUCCUUUAAAAAUUAUAAAUAUAUAGGCUAUUAAAAUGAUGAAAUUAUAUUUUUGCUUCGUAAAAAUUAUAAUUUAAUUUUGACCCCCUUUUUUUUUGAUUUCACCCCUAAUUCAAACCAUUAUACUAGUUGGUUCUUAGUCUAAUCAAUCCAACCAACCAAUCCACUACUAUUCCAGUAAAAUUGGUCAUAUCAUCAAAUCUUGAUAGAAUCCAAAUUUAAAGGACCAAAAUGGAUCUAACUUGAAAGCAGUAUUGAAACCUGUCUUUCUUGUUUUCUCCGUCUCUUAAAACCCCCGACCUUCGUUUUUUUUUUUAGUCUUUGAGUUCCUUAGAGAGUUGGUUCAUAUUUUAGGAUAUUGUUUCAUGCUUUUGGCUUGCGAGUUCUUUGUAUUGUAAUGGUAUUUUUUGUAUUAGUGUGAGGAGUAUUGUGGUGUUAUUUUGCUAUCCAUUGAUUCGUUUUGGGUGAAGGUUUAUUUUGAGCCUUUGUGUUUAUAUGGAAUACCUUAUCUUCGAGUUCUGGGUUUUCCUUUAUAUAUUUCUAUCAGUUCGAAAAAGAUGGAAUUCUAGAUUUGAUUUGGAGAUAAAAUUGUGUUUUAUUUUUGUGUACUUUCCUGAUUUUUCUAAAUAAUAUUUUUUUUCUGCUUCAAUCCAACUACAAUACUUGCAUUAUAAACAACUAUUUCAUUGAAUUUCUUUUUUAUUUUAAAAAUACUUUUUAAACUGUUUUUUUCUAGAGAUUCUCUAAAAUUUUCUAUUAAAAACUUUAUAUAUUUGGUAAAAGGAUUAAGAAAAUUCCUGGACUUAGUGAUGGAUUGCAUUUCAACCCUUUUAUCGAAAAAAAUUGACAAAUUAAUUUUUACACAUUUCAAAACAUGUAAAUUUGUCGCUUCGUUAAAAUUUUUCUACAUUUUAACCCAUUCAUCAUUUCCUUUGCAGAAAAAUAGUUGAUAUACCAUUAGAACAUGAGCCUCAAGCAUUAUAAAUGAAUAAUAAUACCUCGGUAUAUGAAGUAGUUAUGUUACAUUUGAUAGGAAUAUCAAAGGAAAAUUUUCCGUUUAUUUUAAAAAGAUUUUAUUCAUUUUUCUAAUUGUAUAUAUAAUUUAUAUUAAUUAUUUUUUAUUUUAAGUCUAAUUAUUUUAAAACAUAUUUAUGAAAUAAAUUUUUUUGGUGUUAUUAAUUAAACAUCAAUUGGAGCAUUAAUAUUGUAAGUCUUCCGUUAUUUAAUAUUUAAAUAAUAUGAAAUUGAACAUUUAAACGUAAAAUAUAAAAUCAUUCUUAAUAAUUUAUAAUAAAGGGAAUAAUAAAACAGAUGAUUAGAUGAAAUCAAGAAUCAGGUUAAAUUCACACCUGAACAUGGAAAUAUUUGUGUCGAUAUGAUUUAUAAACAGGGUUUAGCCAUGAAUACUUUUUUGUGAGAGGCAAAAUCAAAAUUUUUCUUUUCACUUAAAAACUUAAUAUUUUAAUUUUUCCUUAAUUUUGUCCAUUCAAACAUGUUAAGACUGUUUGGUUUGGUUUGCCUGUCGGUACGUAAGCUUAUUCAUGCAAAAGUGUGCUUUUAUCAAUUAAAAAAAACAGCGAUAAGGUAAAAUGUCAGUUUCUAAUAGGGUCUGACUGCAGCAUCGACAAACGAGAGCAAUAGGAUGCUAUCCUAUUUUCCUCCAAUAGCAUAUUUAUUUGUCAUUAAUAAUUAAUUUUAUUUUAAUUGUAAUAAAAAGUUAAUGACAUAAUUCAUCGUUUACAAACACCAUCUUCAUAUAAUGUUUAAAUUUUCUUUUAGAUCAUUUAUGAUUGUAAUUCUUGAACACAUAUGACAUAAUGGAUGAUUAUUUGGUAUUGCUGAUAGUAAAAUUUUUAAUUUCAUAUAUAGAUUUGAAAGUUUGAUAUAUAUUUUAAGUUGUAUUUAAAAAAAUAGGAUAUAUGAAAAUUUUUCAAUCUCACUUAUUGAGUUAAUUAAUAAUCCAUAAAAAUAUUACUUUGUAUGUUUUAAUUAUUAAUUAAUUUUAGAUAUUUGACUUCUAUUAAUUUAAAUGUUUUAAUGUUUUUUUGAAAAGGUGACUUGUUAAAAAAAGUGUGUAUUUAAUUUUUCAUAAAACAAAUUAUUUGUACAUAAUCAUAAAUUGGUAUAAGAAGACUGUACAAUCAAACCUAAGACAUCAAAGCAAUUAAGCGGAUUGAUUGUUAAUUUCAAAUGUUUAAAUUUGAUAGUCAAUCAAUUUAAAGAUAUAAUGAGAUGUAAUUUUGUAAAUUAGAUAUCUCAAUCUUAAUAUUAAGUGAUUGAUGACUCUAAGCUACUUAAAAAUAAGAAGACAAUCAAUCUUCACUUUAAUUUGUAUGACGCAAAGUUCUUAAAACCAUUUCAAAGAAUGAUCAAGAAAUAAUAGAUACAAGAUCUAAUUAAAACAUCAAGUAACAACCCGACCAAAACCCACCAAAGAGAUAUCCAAAGUCUCAAAUCUGGAAUUAAAUGAUACGAGCCAAGGAGGUGACACUCAAAGGUUUGUCUUUCCUAGUGGUCCAAUCAUUCGAAGUAAGGCACGACAAUUAAAAUUAAAGAUGAAUGCUUUUGUCCAAGACUUUAUUGCUACAAUUUUAAUUCAUCAUAUUUGUGACAUUGACAAAUACGGGAAUGCAAUUCACUGGACCAAUCUUAGAAUAGUGAAAGCCCAUAAAUUGGUGGAUUAAUCUUUUAUCUAUCUUAUUAUUAUUAUUAUUAUUUACUUAAUUCUCAUUGGUUGGGACACAUCAUUUAUGAGUUAAGUAAUUUUAUUGGUUAGGUUAUUAUUUAUUUAUUUUCUUAGAUAAUUUUAAAGAGUUUUAUUAGGAUUCAAUUACUCUUUAAAGAGUUUUUAUUAGGAUUCAAUUACUUUUGAAAGAGUUUUAUUAGGAUUCAAUUACUCUUGUAAUUUGCCUAUAAAUAGGCUUGUAAAAAAGAAGAGUAUUUGUUUUUUUUCAAAUUUGUGUGAGGCAAAUUUUUUUGUGAGUAAGUGAUUCCUCUCUUACUAUUUAAAUUGGAAUUUGUUACUUUCGAGGGUAUUUCGGAGUUGCAAAUAUUCAAAUUUCUUUCCUGUUCAUCGGUGUUUCUAGAGGUUCUUCUUCUAGGGGUUUCGUAGGGAGCCGCUCAAUCAUUGGCGUUUUUGGUUACAAGUUAACCAAGGGUUCUAUAGGGCAAAUCUAUCCUUUUUUUUAUUAUUUAACUAAUUUUAUUUAUUCUCGUUUUUUUAUUUCUAAUUUGUGUUUCUCUUGUAUCUAGAACCGGGAUUCCGCAUCAUUAAAGGUCAACGUAACUACAUCAUACAAAGAAAUGCUCCCACCACUCCACUUCGAGACAUGCACAAAAUCUGAUUUCUUCGAUCACUACUUGAAAGAGUUGAUAAUUGUCAUAUUUAGAAUUAUUUUAAUAUAGUUUUUAUAGUAUUUUAGGAGUAAAAUAUUUUUUUAUUAUAGUUUAUAGUGUUUGAAAUUAAUUAAAUUUUAUUUAAUUUUCCGGAUUUAUUAGCUAUAUUUUUCUCCAUUGUAAAUUUGAGAUCAAAAAAAAUGAAAGAGUUGAAAUAUAAAGUAAGAAACGAUGAAUCUUCUACUCCACUGGAUCAACUUUACAGUGAAACAUAUUUUUAAAUUCAGAAAUUUUGAUAGCAAUUAUUCCUUUCACCAUAAUUUUUCAUUUGGUGGAGCUGCUAAUAAAAGUAAAAAAGAAACAAAAGAAUAGAGAAUGGGUUUGAUCAAUAUUUUAUGGUUGAUUUUUUUAUAUAUAUACUCGAAUCUAUGUUUCUAAAAGAUCUCUUAAAAUAUUGAAAAAAAAAAGUUUAGUUAGCAAUAAAUACGCAUUUUUUAUUUUUAAAUUAUUGGUUCAAUCGAUUAAUUUAAUUAGAGAUUCAUAUAUUAUUUAUGAUUUUAAUAUAAAAACAAACUUAGUUAACAGUUUGAUCCAUAAAUAUUGUAAAUUAAAAAUAUAACAUCAUUUUCACUUUUUUCCAUCAUCACCCAAACUUAAUUAAACACGAAAGAAAUAAUGGCAUGUUUGCACAUGAUGUGUAAGGAAGAGUUAGAUACAACAAAAUACAAGAAUGUCAACUUCCCCAACGUGAUCCCCAUGUGAGAACAAAUUCUUCUAAUCCGUCAUGUUAAUUAUUACUUUUAUAUUUUUGUUACACUUUAAAAAACAUUAUUAUAUUCUCUUAUAAUUUUUUUAAAUUGUAUCCAAAUUGAAAAUGCAUAUUACUCUUUAGAAAAGGAAAAAUUAAAUUGAUGAUUAUGGGGGGCAUCAAAUCACAGCUCCGACAUAAUUAAAGGGAGCCGACAGUCAUUUUCCGACUUUAUGUUCCCCCAGAGAGAAAAUAUCCAGUGCAACUGAUUCUAUUACAUCAACAAUGACAGGAGGAGAUGUUGAAGUCAUUCCACGUGGAUCCCCAUGUUGACGUCAGAAGAUACGGAUCCCACAAGCCUCCGAUAUUUAAUAAAUGUCCCCAAAUCUUAUCCAUACGUAACAAAUGUAGCAACGCGUAACCUACACGUGAUAGAAACGUGGCAUCCAACCAUCAAAGCUGCCAGUCCAAAUGACGAGAAGUCGUCGAAAAAGGGAGAUUACAAUAACACAAUGGCAUCCACUUGGAAAAAUAGUCACAAAACCGUGUAUCAUUGGUGUGUAAAAUAUAAUUUUUUUAUUAUCAAGUAAAAGUUUGUCUUAUGAAUGUGUUAUUUUAUUAUAUUAAUAAUUUACCAAAUCCGGUUGUCAAAACAACAAAAAUACCUAAUCCAAUUCCAACCAAUUAUAUCUUCACUAAUCUUUUUAGUCAUACCUUAAAAAUGCUCUCAACAUUGAUGAGGGUAAAAUAGAUUACUUAAAGCACCGAAUUAAUAAUCGGUGGAGAGAAAAUAAAAUAAAAAUUAAUUAAUUUUCCUAUAUAGAUCCGAAAUAGAAAUCAACCAAUUUUUCUGUAUAGAUCCAAAAUAAAAUACACUUCUAAUAAGGUAUUCUAUUGAAUCAAAUAUACUAUAAAUGUCUUAAAAGUUAAGAUUUAAGACCAUAAGUACUACUAACAAAUCUGCUAGUAUUAAUUAGAAACGAGUAAAAAUGGUUAAUCCUCAUGUCGUUAUGUACUUAGACAACCCAAAAUCCGAUAAUAUUUUUAUUAAAAAAAAUUCAAAAAUAUGCAUUUUAAGGUAUGAGCUCACAUAUUCCAUAUACUCUAUUUGAAUUCUAUCUUUAAGCUUAUCAUUAUCCUUUUAUGUGUCUUAACCUUAUAUCUUGCAAACUUUUAUUCACUUUCAAUAAAAAAAUCAUUUCAAUCUAUCACUGUGUUAUAGUGACUGACAAAAUUACUUAUUUUGGUUAGGUAUAAAUAAGGUAUAUAGCAUGAAAUUACUAAUAUAAUUUUAUGAAGCACUGAUGUCACCAAUUAAGUGCUAUAUUGAAUUUUGUUAGAAUAUUGUAGGUGUUACAUAUUGUUAUGUUGAGUGGUACAAGUAUUUGUGUACACCAUAAGAAUUGUGAUUAUGUUGGUAAUUUUAUCUUAUAAUAAUAAUAAUAUUUUAUUUGAAGAUUUAGUAGUAACAAAUAUACAGACUAUAUUUGUAUUGGAAAUUAGAUUAUAUAGAGUGAAUUCUUGAAAUGGACAAUUUGAAGGACAUUCAACUAAUAGAGAAACUUAUGUCUAAUACAUCUCAGUUUGUAGUGGCUCGUGAUGUGAAAAUGUUGAUUCAUAAACAAUGAAAAAUUAAGGUUCAGCAUGUUAACAAGGAAGGUAACAGAGUUGCAGAUGCAUUGACUAAACAAAUUCUUGGUUGGGAGAUAUGUCUUUAUAGUUUCCUACAACCAUUCGUGUCUUAUCUCUUGUUGAUGAUGACUUAAUCGAAUAUGGCAAGAACAAUAUGACUUUGAUGUAAUGAAUCACAACAAUAAUUAGUGUAUUUACUGUGUAAAUAAUUUUUAUGAGUUUAUAUAUUUAUUGUUUUAUUUUUUUAUUUCAAAAGUGCAAUAUUUCAACACAAAUAAUUAUGAACAACCACUCAAAAAGUUAUACUAAUUAAAUAUUUUUAAUUGUAAAUUGUAAUAUAGUUAAUGACAGCCCAUUAAGAAUAUGUACUCUAGAGUCUUAGCCUUCACUAGAUAUAGUUGAAGAGUCAUCUUAUACAUAAAUGAAAGUGGAACUGAAAAUUUAUUUGUAGCUAAAAUGGUCAAUAAUUUCUUACAAUGCUCAAAUUAAAUGUAUUACAACGUAAAUUUAUCUUUUAUUAUAUUUUGAUAUACUACCAUAAAUGUUUAAAUCCAACUUCACUUAUUUUCUUUUCCAAAUAAUUUUAAAAAAAAUUUAAAUUAUUCAAUUUACAUAAAAAUUUCAACUGACAUUAAUUAACACGCCUAAACCUAUAUCUUUCUGUAUUGACAAUAAUACUAAAACUAAUCGAGAGAUCGACUAUUAAGUUAAAAUAUUGAUUCCAAAAUUUGUAAAUAUUUAAUUAUUCUAAAGUAAAAAAUAAAAUAUUAGCUCCCAACAUUUUAUCCCACAAAAGUAAAAUAAAAAUAAAAGAUUACGUUUCCCCAAAUACUUUUUACAUUUCCCAACCAAAAAUGCAAUUAGUUUAGUUUGCUUCGGUAAUACGGUAGCGUUUUCCUAUAAGGAAAUCAGUCAAACUCCAUCACCAUACUCAAAACGAUUUUUUUAAUUAAAUAUAAUUACUUAAUAUUUAAUUAAAUUAAAAAGAAAAACAACUCUGAUCAAUUGUAUAUAAGAAGAAAGUUUUGCUUAGUGUAAUCUAACUGUCAUUCAAGAUUUACGCAUUCAUUUCAGACAAAGCAGACUCUUUUGAAAUUCAAGUCUUUGGUUCAGAUUCUUUUUUCUUUCUUUUUUUUGAAGAAAAUCUCUAUGAAAGUUCCUUUUUUAAUUCCUUAACGAUAGUGAUUUUGGGUUAUGGAGAAAAGGAGUGAAAUGUUGUGAUUUUUGUUGAAGUGGGGGUUUGUUUUUCUCUUUUAAUAGUUUUAGAAAUGGGUUUGAUGGAGAUUUCAAUAAUGCUUCAUGUUGGAUUAGUUUUGUUCCUGCUUUGGACGCUUUCUCAAUUCAAUCUUUGCCAUCCAGUUGCUUAUUUCGUGUCUCUCAUCUACCUCUAUUUGGUAAUUCAUUCAUCUUCUUCUGAGAAUAAAAAUGAAUCUUUUUUUCUUUAUUUUUGAACGUGGAUUGAACUUUUUUUAUUGCUUUGUUACAAAAAUUCCUUUUAUGUCUUUGUUCAUCAAAGGUUCAUGAAAGGUAUGUGGCGAGAUUGAGGAAGAAAUUGGAGUUCGAGGAAAAACGGCAACAAUUUAGGAGAAGGGUGAUUCUCCAAAUUCUUUUUUUUUUUUUUUGCUUUACUUUUAAGUUCAUAAAAAAUAUUGAUUUAUGCUGAUUGUUAUUGUAUUAUUUAUCAAUCAUUUUGGAUGUAUUUUUCCUUCUGGGUAAUUUUAAUUCUGAUACUUAUAGUUUUUCUUGUGUUCUACUGUACCAGAUCUUUUUUCUUCUUUAAUGGAUGUUUUAGCUUUCUUUAUUUGGUUCAAAUGGUUACUUUUUUUGCGGUCAAUUUUAGUCUUUUGGAUGUUUGAGAGAAAUGUUUAGAAUCAACCUUUUUAUGAAAACAAGAAAAAGCAUAUGCUUUGCAGCUUUUUAUGUUGUUUUAUUCUCUUUGUGUAGUAAAUAUAGGCAGAUUGAAGUUUUAGAAUCUUAAUUUUGAAUUCUGAUCUUGUAAAGUCUGUACCUUUAAUGCUUUGUUGGCCUUUUUCAUUAGGUACUUUCGGAUUCCGAAUCUGUUCGGUGGCUAAACCAUGCUGUUGAAAAAAUAUGGCCUAUUUGUAUGGAACAGAUUGCAUCACAGAAGAUUCUGCUUCCCAUCAUACCUUGGUUCUUGGCUAAGUACAAACCUUGGACUGCUGUAUGAAUUUUGCUUCUCUUAGUACUACUGUUUUAUUGGCUUUCUCUGGAAAAUUAGUACAUAAAGAUUCUGAUUUAGUAAAAUGUUCAAUUUAGUGCAAGAAUUAUGAACAAUUUGUACUUUUUCAAGACUUGCAUUAGCUCCUAUGAAGUUACUCUUUAAUGACCAUCAGAUGAUUAUUUUUUGAUCCAUUUUGGGUGUGUUCGACUGAAAUGCUGCUAUACCUGCAGAAGAGAGCUGUGGUUCAGCAUUUAUAUUUGGGAAGAAAUCCACCUUUGAUCACGGAGGUGAGAGUUCUUCGUGAAUGCUCUGAUGAUGACCACUUGGUAUACCUUCUCCCUAACUCCUCUCUGUUGGCUAUGAUUUCUUGUUUCAAUUUUGCGGAUGAUAGAACUUUCAAUUUCUCGUUGCAGGUACUGGAGUUGGGAAUGAAUUUUCUCACUGCUGAUGACAUGAGUGCGAUUCUUGCUGUGAAACUACGGAAAAGACUGGGAUUUGGGAUGUGGGCAAAGUUGCAUGUAACAGGCAUGCAUGUUGAAGGAAAGGUAUUAAUAAAAGUGGAAUGGUAUUAUUAGCUAUAUUCAAUUUGCACAUUAAAAGAGUUUGUAGUCAGUCCUAAGCAGUUGUUAAUCGGAGGAAUUUGCAUGGCAUCGCAUAGUUCGGGCCCCAUCCUGCCCCCUGCAAAUUCUCAACUUUAUUGACUUACUGUAAUUAACUGGCAUUUACUCCGUGUUUCAGGUUUUGGUUGGGGUGAAGUUUAUCCGGAAGUGGCCUUUCAUUGGUCGUCUGCGAGUAUGCUUUGCUGAGCCUCCAUAUUUCCAGAUGACUGUGAAACCUAUCUUUACGCAUGGACUUGAUGUUACGGAACUUCCAGGGAUUGCUGGAUGGCUUGUAAUAACUCUUUUUCCUGAAAUAAAUAUUCAACUUAUAUUUUAUCUUCUUUUCCUUCCUCUCAAUCUUAUUGUGUAUCCUCUUUUGCUUGCGUAGGACAAGCUUCUCUCGAUAGCAUUUGAGCAGACACUUGUUGAGGUUAGUUUUCCUUAACUCUGUUUGCUAUACCAUGGCAUAAAUUCCAUCUUAUAUUCCACAAAUGCAUAUUGUAGUUUUAGAAUGCACUUACAGGUUUAAGUUACCGGCAACUUGCUUCUCUAUCGAACUUUAGCUCCAAAUAUUUGUUUAUUUUGCAGCCCAAUAUGCUGGUUGUGGAUGUUGAGAAGUUUGCUUCACCCAUUCCAGGUGAUUUUUUCAUUAUUUUCCAGUAUUUUGUUGCUCUUAUAUUUUACUUAUAGCUCGUUUCGGGUCAUUAACUCACUACCAGUUCAGCUGUUUCCACGAGCCAAUUUUUCUCAUUCACCUUUUUGUUGGUUCUGUUCGACAGAAAACUGGUUUUCUGUCGAUGAGAAGCAACCUAUUGCUCAUGCCAAGGUUGAAGUUAUUGAAGGAUCUGACAUGAAACCUUCAGAUUUAAAUGGUCAGUUUUAAAUCCAUUAUCUUACUUUUUCCAUCAUGUAAAAUGCAUGGUUUUAUGGUCAUUGAUUGGAUAUAAAAUUUUCAGGAUUGGCUGAUCCAUAUGUGAAAGGGACACUUGGCCCAUAUAGAUUCAGGACUAAGACGCACAAGAAAACUUUGUCUCCGAAAUGGCACGAGGAAUUUAUGAUUCCCAUCUGCUCCUGGGAGGCACCUAACGUACUGAUUAUUGAAGUUCGUGACAAAGACCAUUUAUAUGAUGAUAGCCUUGGGUUUGUCUCUGAAUCUCUAAAAUAACCAUAUUGCAUGAUCAUGUUUGAAACCUUCAAACAAAAUUUCUUUUCGUUUAUGCCUAUUUUGCUUUUUGAGCGCCACUGCAUUUUCAGUUUGUGCACUAUGUUGACAACCCUUUCCAAUAUGCAUUAGCUCAUCUUAGAAAUAGUGCCCUUUUAGAUGUUUUUGAUCCGUGAUAUAUGACACCACUAUUUGUUUUUCAAAUUCCUUAUGACUUGUUUAAGACUCUCAAAUGGUGUACUGAUUUGCUGUGUUUACAGUAAGUGCUCGGUAAAUAUUACUGAACUUCGGGGUGGCCAGAGACAUGACAUGUGGUUGCCUCUUCAAAAUAUUAAAAUGGGAAGACUGCAUCUCGCAAUAACUGUUCUCGAAGAGAACGCUAAGGUAAUUUAUUCUAUGAUCCACAAUAAACUUGGAAAGUUUUAAAUUGUAACCUUGCGUGCUAAUUAUGAUUAUGAGUUAAAAUGUGCCGAGAAACUUAAAAAGGAUGUGUGGACAGUUUACGCAGGUAAGUGAUGCUGCUGCAGUUGAUGCUUUUGACGAGGAAGCCUUAAACACGGAAGAUAUACAAAACUCAUUUGCAAAUAUAGAUGUGAAUAAUGGUUUAUUCUCGCCUACAUCUUCAAAGAAAUCUCCAACCCUGCCGGAUCAUUUAGAACCGAUAGAUGUUGAAGGACAAGAAGAAACUGGGAUAUGGGUCCACCACCCCGGAAGUGAAGUGUCACAAACUUGGGAACCUAGGAAAGGGAAGGGUAGAAGCCUUGAGACACAGGUUCAUAAAGUGCCUAAUAGUUCAUUUGGCAGCACCAUCUCAGCUGCAUCUGGAUCCUCUAAAAGUGAUGACAGCAGCGCCGAGGAAAACCAUAAUCCUAAGAAUCGAGUCAACAGAGUUAAGCAGGGUUUACGGAAGAUCGGUUCUGUAUUUCAUAGGAGUCCCAAGAACGAGGGUCACUCAGGCAACCUCGGAGAAGUUCCAUCUCCCCAUGAAAACCUCCGAGCAGUUAAUGACAAGGAGAUUUUGGUGAAGUUUGUAGUCGAUGACAAUCUUUCGGCUGAUAAGGUCUCAAACGAAGGAAGCUCGAGUCCUGGAGCAGAAAGCCCUGGAAAGAUGAAAGACAUGGCGAAGAGUAUUCUAAAACAUGCCGAGAAAUCUGCUCGUAGCAUAAAACAUGUUCUUUCUCGUAAAGGGUCGAAAAAAUCACGCAAUCUAUCAUCUGUGGAAGAACAAGAGUUUCCAAUAGAAUCUGACGACUCCUCCGAUGAUGAUGAAUCUUUGUCAUCCCCCGGAGUCAAGGGAAUACCAAUUCUUUCGAAUCACAUGCCCGGCUCCAUCGGCAACGACGAUACUCAGGAGCAUGUCAUUUUGACAGAUUCAAACUACCAGUUGAACCCUGAAACAAAUGUUAAGGAACAAGUAGAGAAAACAAGCGUUGAAGGACACAACAGCAUAGAUGACGAAGAUGUGAACAAUCCCAUUAAGCUCGGUAAUGGAACGAGCAACAUAGAUGACGAAGAUGUGAACAAUCCCAUUAAGCUCAGUAAUGGAACGAAUGAACCACCCUUGAAACCAAAUCCUUCGGAGAGUGGGAAAAAGGUAGAAGACACUCCUCAAACAGAUACCAAAGUUUAGGUUCAGUGUUUGUAUGUGCAUCCAUAAUAGAAGACUUUGAAAGAGUUUUGAAGAACAGUGGGUAUGGUCCAGCAAUAUAGAGUUUUAGAUGGAUAAGCAAUACAUAAUACAUUUAUACGUGUUCCCUGUAAAAAUCUCCUUUGUUUGAUUUCUCAUAUUUGUUAUAUACAGCACAUCAUCUUUGUAGAGUUCCAAAAUGAAAACAGUUUGUACAACUUGAUGGUUUUUAAAACUUCUAUUCAAGUUAUUUUAUUUAUUUAUUUUUAAUUUAAAAUUCAUAAUUUAAUUGUCAAUCAUAUGUCAAAAUUGGGCGUUAAUAACUGAUUUUGAUUUUAAGCAAGGAUGACUGCAUAUUUUUACAUCCAAAAUACAAGAUAAAUUAAAAUAAAAGUUGGUAAAACUUGCCAAAUAUUGUCCCUAACACAUGGGUUUCCGAAUAUUCCAACGAGAUAAAUUGAAAUAAAAUUAAUCACCUACUUUAGUCAUCAAAAUUUAAUGAAAUAACAAUUAGAUUUAAUUAUGUCGUUUAAACAUUUUGCUACAUUUGAGAAUAAUCCCUUAGUUUGAGCAUUUCAGAGUUUUGGAGAACAAUGUAUAUAUUAUCUUACAAGCUCAGAGAUGAGACUGUACUUGCUCCCAGCUCGAAACCGAAAUGAUUUAUAACAGGUUGCAACCGGAAGCUUUGCUACUAUCAGACUCCUUCAAACAUUAAUUCUUCUGAAUUUCCGCAUUAUGUUGCAUAAAAAUGUUAUUUCAAGAGAGCUAACAUUUCCACCAAUCGUAUUAUGCACUGUUCGCAUACAAACGGGUCCAUUCCUUAGCUGCAAAUAGUUAAGGAAACCAAGAACAUCAAUAGUAAGAAGCAUGGCAUAUCAUCUUUGAUUCUAGUAGUCAUCUAAGAUUGCAACCACAGGGUUUUACCUGUCUCGACGGCUUCGGCCUCGUUUGUUUUCCAGUGCUUAGCAAUGUUUUCCGAGAGUGGAUCAUCAGGAUUAGGAGCACUCAAGAGUGCUUGAAUGCUAGCAAUAACGAUAAUAAUUUCAGUAUUAACCUAAAACUUGAUUAAGAUACCGCAAUAACUUAAAUAACAUCUUCAACCCAGACAUUAAUGAAACCUCUUUCCAAGUAUUAAUAUGUACAUACGAAAAAGCAGUGAAGUCUUUCAUGCAGAACAGAAGCUACAUAAAUAGGGUUACGUUGCACAAAAACUUAUAAUACCUCAAAAGUACAGUUCGAAUCUGGAGAGCCGGACUCCAUUUGUCUUUAAGAAUAUCGAGGCAUAUUCUUCCAAGCUGCAAGAAAGCUCAAUCCUUAGAAGCCAACAAAAUACAUCUUUAACACCAUAAAACAAGGACAAAAGAAGGAACAGGUAGAGCUGACCUUAUCGAUGUUAGGAUGAUAUAUCUUUGUAAGAAACCGGACCUGUUAUACCAAAUUUGUUCAGGUGGAUAAAAAUACAGAACAUACCAAAAAGGGCAAAACCAAUGGAAGAUGAAAAAAUUCUGAGAAACAAACAAGUCAAUCACCAUACUAGUAAACGUAAGAACAAGCAGUUUGAAAAGCCAGUGCAUAUAACAUACUAUUAAAUGUUCAUUUCCAAUUAAUAUUUUCCUCUCAAAUGUCAUUAAAAGCAAAUAAUGAUAUAGAACCAAAACUUCACCAUGUUGAAAGGAGAAUCAUACAUAUUUGCCAUACCAAUAAAGUAAAAGAGAAAUUCUGUUGAACCUGAAACUACUGGAACCGAUAAAACAACGUUCUCUACAUGCAAACUAGUGCAUCCCUAAUUCAUAUUAAAAUCCAAUAUAUAACAUUUUCAGAUGAAGUCGAUCAAUAUUGUAUAUCAAAGGAACAUCAAUCGAGCAUAUCCCAACAUAUGCAAAAAAACAUGAAGGUCAUACUUGAAGAAUAAGUCAACGUUGAUUACCUUGGGAGCUGCCAUGGGAUAUUCUUCGGGCAAAAAUAGUUCCAACUUGAAAACCCCUCCUAAACAAAUAACCCAAACAAGAAAAUUCAUCAUAUUCCAUACAUAAUGGAAAAUGAUAAAAAGGUGAUGAGAUAUUACAAAGCAUGCUAAUUGGCCUUAAAUUUCAACACAGAAAACACGGGUCCCUUUCUUUAUCUUUAAAAGAUGGAAAUGAAGUAAUAUAAACGCUGCAUAAUCAUUUUCUCAAAAGAAAAUAAAAAAAGAAGCAAACUUUAAGCAUAUGGAGGUUAUUUUAAUGACUAAAAAUUGGCUAUGGUGUCAAUCUUUAUGUAUUAAAUCAGCUGAGACCGAACUAUUAUACAAUAGCUUCUAAAAUUUUACAGUUCUAACACAAUGAAAAGUAUCAGCAACCAUCAGAUUAAAAAGAAAAUCAACUACCUUCAUAUGGAGAUUGUGUUGGACCAAGGAUCAUCACAUUAAAAUAUCGCAUAUUAUCCUCUGAUGGUGAGGCAUUAAUUCCAGGCGCUGUAUUUAAGGGGGAAAAAACAAUAAACUCUUUUAUUUACCAGGAAAAGAAACCCAGAAAAUUCAACAAGAAAAAAAGAGAGCAUAGCAUUUACCAGGUUCACUGAGGAGACGCUGAGUUUCCUGUUUAGAUCAAAGAUUAAGAAACAAAAAUUAAGCAUGAAACAUUUACAAAAUUCACAGAAACAAACUAAGAACACUUAAAAUAAUUUGCUGAAGCUUUUGAUUCAUUAAAACCCAAAACAAUUCAGCUACCAGAUCAAACUCUAGAAACCCAGAAAAAAGAACACAAAAAUUAUGAGGCUUCUCAUGAAGAAACCGAGAAGGAUCAGAGUGAGACCGAAAAAGGAACCUUUAUGAUUCUUCGAGGGAGAUUACUGUUGGCCAUUGGCGAGAUCGAUUGCAAGAAAAAAAAGAGAGGGUUUUUGGGAUUUAGAAAUUGAGAGAAAAAGAAAAUAAGAAUCUUUUGUGUAUAUAUUAGUACUAUGCCCGCCACGCGAGAAAAAGUAAAAUAAAAAGGAAAUUAUUUAAUGCGUUAAAAAUAAUAUUAAAAGGAAAUUACUUAACAUAAUGUUUAUGUAUAAAUAUAAAAAAAUAAUAUAUAUACUAGUAAUCUCGUUCGAAAAAAACAUUCAGGUCCCUUUCGAUCUCACUUUGAUCCUUUUCGGUUACUUCUUAGAAGAUUUUUUUUUUUGGUUUAAUUUUGUGUGUUCUUCUUUCUGGGUUUCUGGAGUUUGAUUUGGUGACUGAAUUGGUUUGGGUUUUAAUGAAUCCAAAACUUCUGCAAAUUAGUUUCAGUCUUGUUAGUUUGUUUGCGUGAAUUUUCUAAAUGUUUAUUGCUUAAUUCUUUCUUCUUAAUCUUUGAUCUAAACAGGAAACUCAGCGUCUCCUCAGUGAACCAGGUGAGUACUCUGCUUUUUAAUUUAAAAUUUGAAAUUCUUGUUGAAUAUUGUUUGCUAUCGUUUUUCGGUUUAAAUGUUAUGAGCUGAAAAAAAGUUAAAAAUUUCUGGGUUUCUUCUCCUGGUAAAUAAAAGAGUUCAUUGUUUUUUCUUUUUCCCUUAAAGAGUUGAUUGCUUGCUCUCAUAUACACUUCAACUUAAUGGUGAAUUAAUUUUGUUUUUCUGGUAUAAAUUUGAUCAACCCCAGGAGUUUGAUACAUUGACACCAUGAAAGAGGAACAACGCUUACUUCUUCUCCACUCAUCUUCACUCUUCUUUCCUCCUCAAGGUCUUUCCUUUCCUUCAAAAACCAAAAGAUACUUCUUUUCAAUUUUGUUGCUAACAAAAACAAUUAACUUUUUUAUAUUACUUUUUUGGUUUUUUAUAGGAGUGAAGCUAUCAUAUGGGACAGCAGGGUUCAGGGCAGAUGCAUCGAUCCUUAAAUCAACAGUUCACAGAGUUGGGAUAUUGGCUGCUUUAAGAUCACUCAAAACCCAAUCAGUUGUUGGAUUGAUGAUCACAGCUUCACACAAUAAAGUUACUGACAAUGGAGUCAAAAUUGUUGAUCCAAGUGGUGGAAUGCUCACUCAAGAAUGGGAACCUUUUGCUGAUCAACUUGCCAGUGCCCAAACUCCUGAAGCCUUACUCUCAGUGAGUAGCCUCUUCUUUAUGUUUUUGGAUGCGCGUUUUAUUUGCUUUAUCACCUUACCACUGAGACAAGGUCAGUUGAGAAAGCAACAAUCGUUUUGAUACUAUAGUUUAUGUUUGUUUGAUGAGCAGUAGUGAACUGAAGGUGUAAUAGUUUUGUUUAAGCUCAAAAAGUAUGCUAAAUUUUAGUGUUGUUGUGUAUUUGAUAUAAAUGGAGAGGGAUUUUUAGGAAAGGGAUGGUGAGUUUGAAGAGCGGAUUUAAAUUCUAUGUUAAAUGUGACUAGAAAUGAAUAUUAUACUUAUCAAUUGUUUGUUCAUACAACAGCUCAUAACAGAAUUUGUAGAGAAGGAAAAAAUUCCAUUAGAUGGAGUGCAAUCUGCAGAGAUAUUGUUAGGAAGAGACACCCGGCCUAGCGGAGAAUCCCUCCUUGAAGCUGCAAAGCAGGUACACUUUUUUCAAUCAACAGGGGAUUGCUGAAACUUUGAUAAUUUUCAUUGUGAUGUUAAAUGCAUCUAUCAUUUGCUAAUAUCUGUCCAUUUUUUAGGGAAUAAGUUCAAUUCUUGGAGCUAUUGCUCUUGAUUUAGGAAUUUUAACAACCCCACAGCUGCAUUGGAUGGUUCGUGCUAGGAAUAAAGGCAUGAAAGCGACAGAACCUGCCUAUUUUGAACAGAUUUCAAGCUCCUUCAGGUUAGUUGAAGCUUCAGGGUUUUUUGUAGCCAUUUUUUAGCUUGAAAUUAUACUACUUACAGUAAUGUACUAUUGUUUAGGUGCUUGGUAGAUUUGAUCCCAAAUGAAACCAAAAGCAGCAAGAUGGAUAACACAGUUGUGGUUGAUGGGGCUGAUGGUGUGGGUGGAGAGAAACUUGAAGUUUUGAAAAGUAUGUUAACCAGUUUAGUUAUCGAGGUUCGUAAUACUGGUAAAGGUGGGGGUCUAUUGAAUGAUGGGGUUGGUGCCGAUUACGUACAGAAAGAGAAGGUUGUUCCACGUGGAUUUUGUUCCAAUGAUGUUGGAUUAAGGUGUGCUAUCUCUUCAGAUUUGGGAGUAAAUUACUGUUAUCAACUGUUUAUAAGCUAAUUAUUCUUGCAUCUCACUGAAUUGUUGAUCAAAGGUUAAAGGCACAUUAAACAUGUAACAAAUUUGUGAUAUUCUUUUCUUUUUGUAACUAGUGUGUAUAAUUAACAAUUUUUCGAUGGUUUGGUAACUGUCUAGUUAGCAAUGCUUCAGGAAGUGAUUACUAACCAGACACUUGAUCAUUCAUUAACUAGUACAACAACUAGUUUGGAUAAUUGAUUCAUGAUGGUAUUUGACAGCUUUUUUACCAUGAUAAUGUUUCUAGUGUAUGUUUUGAAAUCUGGUUGUGCUCUUAACUAUUGUUUCUCAGGUGUGCAAGUUUGGAUGGUGAUGCUGAUCGCCUUGUAUAUUUUUCUCUCCCAACUAGCAGUAGCAGAAAAAUUGAUCUUGUUGACGGGGACAAAAUAUUAUCCUUGUUUGCAUUGUUCAUCAAGGAGCAACUAAGUAUUCUGACCAAGGAGGGCACUGAAAAACUUGAUAAUAGUUAUCAUGCUCGACUUGGUGUUAUACAGACAGCUUAUGCUAAUGGAGCAUCCACUGAUUAUCUCAAACAAUCGGGUUUGGAAGUCAUUUUUACUCCUACAGGGGUAAAACACUUGCAUGAGAAAGCUGCUCAGUUUGAUAUUGGAAUCUAUUUCGAAGCCAAUGGUCAUGGCACUAUCUUGUUCUCUGAAUCCUGGUUGUCUUGGUUAGAGGCCAGGAACAAUGAACUAGGUUUGGCGUCUGAAGGUAAUUUAUGAAUAAAGUCCUUUUCUAUAGAAGAAUUAUCUAUUAUAGUUUAUCGAGUAUUAUUGUCAUUUUUUUCUCAGGAUCCGAACAACAGAAAGCUGCUCUAAGACUACUCUCUGUCAGUAAAUUGAUCAACCAAGCUGUUGGAGAUGCUUUGAGUUGCUUGCUUUUGGUUGAGGUUAUUUUGCAACAUAAGGGUUGGUCCAUACAUAAAUGGAAUGAACUUUACCAGGAUUUACCUAGUCGACAACUUAAGGUCAGUUUUCUUUAUCACUCUUGGAAAAGAAACAAGGGUAGUCUUUCUCAUCUAUAGAAGGGAUCAUAUCUACCUUUUCUUGCUAGUUUUCCAUAUUUUGACUAAGACCUUUUCUUUUGUACGUUACACCUAAGACAUCUUAAAACUCGUUGAAGAGAUGGACCGUUUGAUUUUCUAUAUGAAGGAGAAAGUAUGCUUCACGUCUGUUGAAAUUGAAAAGGAUUCAUAUCGUCCUCAAUAGAGAGGCUGAGUUUGAGGGCUUCUAACCAAAACUACUAGAGUUUGGCUAGUAUAAGCAUGCAACAUUAGCUUAAUAAUAUUAGAUUUACUACAUGAGAAUGAGAAAAAAGGGGAAAUCUUUGAUACAACUGAUUUCCGCAUGCUGCAUCCUCUUUAUAAUGUUUUUCUUGUAAACUCUGCUAUUGUGUAGUCUUACAUUAGCAAUGCUCAAACUAUUUAAUGUUUCCAUUGCUUGUGCUAGGUCAAAGUUGUAGACAGAACAGCCGUUGCAACAGCAAAUGCCGAAACUGUAGCUAUUAGUCCCCCUGGCAUUCAAGAAGCCAUUGAUGCUGAAACUGGUAACAUUUUUGUCAUUGAUCUCUUCUCAAUGCAUGUUUUGGUGCUUAUGCUUAGGCUUAUUUUAUGGGGGAAUAUUUUUCUCUUAAAUCUCUUUCGAGGCUUCGUGUAUAUUAACUAUUUCUGAAAACUCAUACAAAAUGCAGCGAAGUACCCUAAAGGCCGGUGUUUCAUACGACCAUCAGGUACAGAGGAUGUCAUUCGUGUUUAUGCAGAAGCCUCCACCCAAGAAGCUGCAGACAGCUUGGCCGGUUCUGUUGCCAAAAUUGUUGAUCGUUUUCUAGGUUUUAGCAGCUCUCAGCAGUAGCUUCCCUAAUCUUUCACAUUAUAACAGAAAUCACAAAUGGAGACGCAGAUUACUGUGGGUGCUUUAUAUUUAUGCUUUGUUUUGAAGGUAAUAUAUUUUAUUAUACUUUUUUAUAACAUUAAACUUUGUCAUCUUACUUUUACAGGCAUUGAUUUCAAAUUGAGUUUUCCCCACUACUUUGAACACUACAGAGUUCCUUUUCUGUUCGGUAUCUACUCGUUUAUGUGAAUGCUUCCCUGUGCGGUAAAAGUACCCCACAAUCUUUCUCCUUCAUCCCUUGCCCUUCAUUGUACUGGUUGAUGAAAUGGUUAACUCCUUUGGUUGACAAUUCCGGCUCCAACCGAGUAAUCCAUUUGGUGAUGGGCAAGGAACACAUUGGUUUUCCUCCCAUCUGUGCCCCAUAAUGAGUUCCUAGAGAAGAUUGUAAUGUCUCUUCCCAAGCAUGUGAAACGACCUUGUCAUAGUAGGUAAAAAGCCUUCAGGUUCCCGUCGGCCUUGUCAAAAUGAGAACCGUUAGCCGAUCAACUUCCCAAUGCCCAAACUCUUGGAAGCUCUCCUCUCUGUGGGUAACAUUUUAUGUUUGUGGAAGUGGGUUUUAUUUGUUUUAUAGUAAUUCACUGAAAUUAUAUCAAGAAACUAUUGGAACAUCCGGAAAUAUAUUUGAGCACCUCCAACUUCUAAUAAUUAACAAAAAAAAAAAAAACCUUUUGUGCUACAGGGUACAGUCUUUUUUAUAUUCAACAUCACCAUAAGCAUUACUUUUCAACAUCAAAUUAUGUUUAUCCAAUUCCUCAAGUAAAAGGUUAACCAACGAGGAAUCAAAAAAGAAAUGCCAGUCCUUUAUCAUUAAAUAUUUAAAGUGUUAAUAAACAAAUCCAUCCACCAAUCCAUCAAAAACAAUGUGAAACUGAACAAUGAUAUACCAUUUCCCUGAGAUCCUUCCCAUAUAAGUCUUGAACAGCAUCACACUCCACCAAUCUAUCUCCUUCGCUCACUUCACACAAAAUUUCCAUUGUAAGAACAAAAAUUUUAUUUACUCGAGUUUAAAAAGGUUAAAAACAAUUAGUUUAACUUUUUAAUUUUAAAUUGAAUCGAUUGAAUCGAAUAGUUUGAUCUAUGAACAAUUAACUAACAAAUAAAAAUAUAUCCCGUCACAUAAUUAUUUUAAGUGUGUUAUUUCAAAAUAAAAAUCUUAAAGUUUUGAUAGUUAUAAAAGGAAUUAUUUAGUUAAUUAUUAAUAAUCCACCAACAUGACAUGUUAUAGUAUAUGAUCAAAAAUAUUUUCCUCUAAAAACUAUUUAAAAUAAUUAAUAUAAUAAAAAAUAUGUCUCCUUAGUGGGGGUUUUAAAUUUUAAUUAAUCCGAUUUAAAUAACUAUAUAUAAAUAUUAUUAAAUUUUAAAUAUAAAAUAAACCGAAUUUAAAUUCAACCAAACCGGUUCAUGGGCCGGAUACGAGCCCACCGUUUUUCUUCAACAAACCGCGAAAGAGCAGAUAGCGAGAGUGAUGUUUAUAGACAAACGGCCGAGAGAAUGACAAUACACUCACCAGUCACCAAACCAGCAAACCAAACAAAGGAUAACAUUAAAAAUGAACACUUAGAAAGAUAUCUUCUAGAUUUUGCUUAUUAAAGCUUUGAUUUGAUCGUUUCCUCGAUCUCAUUUUAUAUUUUUAAAAUUAGUCUCAAACCCAAACCACCCCAUUCAGCGGAAUUGACAAUGCUGCUUAACGUGGGUACUUUCAUAAGAUCAGCUACUCGAUUUUCUCCUUUCAUUAUACCCCAUUCUUCUCCUUCAUCUCCUUCUUCGUUUUGUUUCAGUUUCUCUCCAAAGCAAACCGUCUCUUUUACUCUACAAUCAUCACAAAUGGCGUCUUUUACUACGUUAUCUCAAUCGCCUCCAAAGCUAUUGUUUCGUCAGUUGUUCGAGAAAGAAUCAUCUACUUAUACUUACCUCCUUGCUGAUUGUUCCCACCCGGAUAAACCAGCGCUUGUAAGUGUUUUUUUUUUCUUAAUGAAAAUAAAAUCUGGGUUUUGUUUGCUUUUGGGGUUUUUUUUUUAUUAGUAUUUGAUAUAUGGUGAAAAUGGGUGUGUGCAGUUGAUUGACCCUGUAGACAGGACUGUUGAUAGAGAUUUAAAUUUGGUUAAAGAAUUGGGGUUGAAACUUAUUUAUGCUAUGAACACUCAUGUACAUGCUGAUCAUGUUACUGGAACUGGCCUCAUCAAGGUUUUCCCUUUCUCACUUUUACUCUACCCUGUUCUCUAUAUUUUUGGGGUUAUUAGAGAAAUAAAGUCUACUAUCAGUCAAUUUUGUUACUUAAGACUUGAGACUGUUGAACUGGAUAAUUCAGGUUCUAGUCAUUCAGGGGAUGUUAUUGUCUCUUAGAUUGAUGUAUAUGAAUGUGAUUGUUCCUUUUAGGGCAAGGUGCCUGGUGUCAAAUCCGUUAUUUCAAAGGCCAGUGGUUCCAAGGCUGAUGUUUUUGUUGAACCUGGUGACAAGAUCUCUUUUGGGGAUCUCUUUCUUGAGGUAGGCCCGUCUACGCAAAACUACUUGUUCUGUCAGUUUCGUUGUAUGGAUCUUUUUAAACAAUUCGGGAGAAUAUAGCUAUGAUGUUGCGGUGGUUUACGUAUUGCUGGUUCAUUAUGAAUUCUUUGUUUUUUUUUUUUUUGAAGAAAAGCUUCUAAAAGAUGAAAAAGAAAAUAGAGUUAGAGAUGUGAGUAUACUGUGUAGGUAACCAUGACCAGCAUUCCAAUGGUUUUGUUAUUUAAUUGGUAAUUUGGUUUGUUGUUUUGAUUACACCCUAACUUCCAAUGUGGUUUAACGGGCAUUAUUGAAUGAUGACCAUUAGGUCUACUGCAGUACUAUCUUCUAUAAUAUGGUAAUAAUUGCAGGUUCGUGCUACUCCUGGUCAUACAAUGGGUUGUGUUACCUAUGUCACGGGAGAUGGACCUGAUCAACCUCAGCCAAGGAUGGCUUUCACAGGAGAUGCUCUGUUGAUAAGGGGAUGUGGGAGGACAGAUUUUCAGGUAUAAUGUCUUGAAAAUGUUAUUGCAGCUAAUCGCAAAAAAAUGGAACGAAUUAAUAUUAAUGUCAUUAAUACAAAAGGAGCAGUCUAAAUUAAAAUGUUAAGCAUGUAAACCAAUCUUGGCUUUUCUUAUGCAUUUUAAAAUUUUUGUAUGUCCCCAUGUGAUGUUUGGAUUAGGAAUGUAUAUUUAUCCACUGAUAUGUGUCCCAGGAAGGGAUUCUUGAACCGAUAAUUGAUUGUUUUUGCAUUUAAUUUGCAUGCCCUAUUUGUAUUUCAAACAAUAGGACCGAUGCGUAGAUAUCUAACUCUUGGUUACCUAUUUGUCUAGUCUACUACUUAUCGGUGCUUACCUUGUUACUGUGGUUGCACAUAAAGUGUUUGUCAUUCACAAGCCUCAUGGUAAACUAAUCAGUAAUUAAAUCAUCCUUGAAGUAAAAGUUUGAACUAUCAGGGCUAUACUUUUUGCAACGGAUUUUCAGUCGUGAGUACAUAAAUGCUGGUCUUAUAUGCUGGCAAUUUCUUUCCAUCUGGAUGUCAUUGUCAUGGAUAUUUCUGUCUUCCAGGAUUUUUGUUAUACUUAAGUUUUUAAGAUAAUUUUCUCUAAUGCAUAAUUUUCUCUAAUGCUCCCACAUUCAGCAGCCAUUGACUAGCACUGAUUAACGCAUUUUGCAGGGUGGAAGUUCACAGCAACUCUACAAGUCAGUGCAUUCACAGGUAAGGACAGGGGACUUUUUAUGGUCCCAUUCUUUGAGUUCUCAAAAUUUUAUUGUAAUUGUCAAAUUUUGAAUAAAAAUUAUGGACUUAUUUGUUUCAUGGAUCCAGAUUUUUACAUUACCGAAAGAGACAUUGCUAUAUCCAGCUCAUGACUACAAAGGAUUCUCAGUAAGAUAUAAAACUUUAUUCCUAUCAUUUCUUACAUAUAUAAUUGAUUGCUUGAUUUUAUAAACCUCAUUGAUUAUAGGUAACCACUGUGGGGGAGGAGAUGCUAUAUAAUCCACGCUUGACAAAGGAUGAGGUAUUCUUUCUGGAACCAUCCAUCUUCAUUUUUUCUUUGGAAAAUGGCUUGCUACUUUUGACAAUAGAAAAUUAAGAGUGCCUAUUUUCAUUUCAGUGAUAAGAAAGGGUUUCCUUUUGUCCAUGAAGUCUUUUAUGAUCUUGAACUUGUAUAAGCUGCAUAUAACUUCUGUAAUUAAAAUUACAUAUGCAUUGAACAUUUCUUGCUGAGCAUUGGUUUGAUUCUCUUGGAUGGGACUAUUCCAAUGAACAUCGCCAUGGUAAAACAGGAAAUCAUGAAAAAGCAUGACAUCUCAAUACCUUCACGCAUUUGAUUGAAGAUUACUCUUUAUUAUGGUCAUAGAAUACUAGUUUCAAUUUGUCCUAUCAAUAUGUCUGAUUAUGUUAUUUGUUGAAUACCCUUUUUGCAGGAGACUUUCAAAAACAUCAUGGAAAGUAAGUUGAUGCUCAAUAUAUCCAGUCUAUAAAGAUUAUUAAAAAAAAAAAGCAUCCUCGGGUUUUUUCGGAUUGCCGGUUCUAAUUUCUCCUCUGUUUUUGUUGGUGCAGCAGAUCUUAACUUGGCAUAUCCUAAGAUGAUUGAUGUUGCAGUGCCAGCAAAUAUGGUUUGUGGGUUGCAAGAUUUGGAACCUAAAGCCAACUGAGGCUUUGCUGGAUCAUCCAUAAGUGUGCACAGAUUUUAGUUGUAUUAUAAUUCUGGAUCUUAAUAUCACUGGAUAUGCUAAAUAAAAUGGCUAGAGAAGCCACGUGAUUGCAAGGAAUCCAUAAAUUAUAUAUAUACUAUAUCAUAUUGUAAUCAUGUAAUAUUGUCGUCCUUCUAUCUGCAUCAACUUGUGUUGUUCAUACAUACCCUCCUAAGUUACCGAACUAUCUAAACAAGACAACACCAUGAUAUAUCAUAUAUCCUUUAUUAUUGGACCAACCAUAUUCAGCCGUAUCCUUUACAUUUCUGAAUUCGAUCAAGUAGAACUUAUUUGUAGGUAUAAGCUAUGAUUUGAAUUUGAUUUCAAGAUAUAUAACGAAUUGUACAAAUUUGUUGGAUUAACUUUGAUUUUAAUUUCAAUAUUAUAAUAUGAAUUCAAAUUAAUAUUAAAAAAUUUCAUUAAAAAUUAACUCGUGAAUUCUUUUUUCAAAAUAAAUAUUAUAUUAGAAUCAAUAACUUAAACUGACUCGAUUAACCGAAGCGAAUAAGGAAUAAUUUAGAUUCACAAGAUGUGUCAUUUAUAGCCCAAAUUAAAAUGUAAUAAUAAGUUAAAAUUGCCAAACUGGGUAUGACAGGCAGUAGGCAGCUUCCUGAACCCGAUCCUAACGCUCAAUUUUCUAGAGUUGAUUGAUCACCAUAACCAGAUCCCAUUUCCCAAUCUAGAAUCUCCCUGGGAGGAGAAAUGAGUAAUGAAGAUAGAAACAGAGGUGUAGCUGUAGAUAAACAGCAGCAUAACCAAUAUGGAACAUUCCAAGGAGUUGCCAACUACCCUCCUCCACGGCCUCCACGUCGCCACCACCACAACCCGCAUCCGCACCAGCACCAGCACCAGCAACAGCACCAUGGGCCAACUAUUGGGUUUCCUCCACCUGCCUCUAUCGCUCCUCCUCAGUAUUACCCCCAAGCCUACCAGACCGUGCCGGGUAUUCUACAAAUAUGAAAAAACCUUCUUCUCUUUUUAUUAGCUUAUCGAAAUGAAGGAUUUUGAGAUUUGGGUUUUUGUUAGAUGGAUGGUUAAUGAUAUUUUUUAGAUGAAAGAUACAAGUUUUUUAAUGUUUUAGAAGAAAAGGUGUUUCAAUAUUAGGAGUUUUUUAGCAGAGAAAGAAGAUAAGUAAAUGCAUAGAGAUACAUUAGCAAUAUUAUUUGGAUUUGGUUGUCUAAUGUAUUGAAGAAUUUUUUAAAGUGUGGGAAGAUUCAAAGUUCUUUCUAUUAUAGCAGAUAUAUAUAUAUAUUAAUGGUUUAAGAAGAAUGGAAGUCGGUUUCAAAGGAAGAUGAGAAAUAAAAGCAUUUAUAUAUACGAUAUGUCAUUAAUUCAUAAACCAAAUAUAUAAAAUAUGUAAAAGUGUCAGGGGUUAAUCAUGGUGUUUUGACAAUCCGGUUACCUUCAACUUGAAGAAAACCUUAGGUUUCUAAAAUUUAUGUGAAGAGUUAGAAUGGUAUGCUUCAUGGAUCUGAAUAACUAGAACAGUGUAAGAGUGGUAUAUUGUGUCAAGUUUGGUUUCUUGUAUAUAAUUGUAAAUAAAACAAUGUUACAUGAGUUAAAAUGAAUGUUCAACCAAUUUAACAAAGCCAGCAUUAUGUUGAUCAAAAUUUUUAAUUCAUGUUGAGGUUUCUUCCGUGAUAUCUUUGAUGUCAAGGUUAUGAUGUUGCUGAAGCAACACCUGUAAGAGAUAAGCUACCGUGCUGUGGCAUUGGAUUCGGAUGGUUCUUGUAAGUGUACAUAGUUUUCUUUGUUUUUAAAGAGUUCUUUACAUAUGAAGUAAAACUAGUAGCAACUUGAUGUAUAUGUCAUUAUGCUUUAACUUAAGCAAAUCAUUUUCCUUUAUCUCUAAUUUCCAUUUCUUUAAAAGAAAAAGAGGGAGUUUUGUAGUUUACAGUUUGGACAAAUGGAAGUUAAUAUAAUGCACUAUUUCGAUGGAGAUAUCCAAUCAUAUUGGAUGAAAUGUUAUAAGAAACCUGUGAGUUCAUAUUGGGUUUACUUUAUAUCAUAAUUAGAUUGUUGAGCUGGCUGUCAGACUUAGAUGGUAUUUCACGUUGCUACAUGUUAAACUAUACCACUUUCACAUUCAUACGUGAAAUGGCUGGGAUUUAGUGCCAUUCUACUUAGCAGCCUCGUGUAAUACACAGGUGAAAUGUUUAUGUCUUCAUGUCACCUUAAAGUUCCCAUUUCCAUGACGGUAUUGUUAAGUAAAGACUGGUACAUCCCCAAAAUACGGAAAUUGUUUUGGAUGUAUACUACUUUACCAUGCAUGAUUUUCUACAAGUUUGCAUGAUAUUUUAUUAUUAUAUUGGUCGUUAUUUUCUGUACUCGCAGCUUCCAUUAAUAUAUUUUUAUGAAUUUUGAACUUUCUUGUUUAAUAAGUAUACUGCUUUGAAGGUUCAUCAUUGGUUUCUUCAUUGGGGGCCUUCCCUGGUAUAUUGGAUUCUUUGUUUUACUUUGUGCAAGGAUAGACGACAGAGAGAAAGCAGGAUAUAUUGCUUGCACAAUUGCCGUGAGUAUCUUUUCUAUCAGUAUUUUUUCUUUUCCAAUUUUAUGAAAGCCAUCCUUCCUGCCUUGUAUUGGUCAUCAAUUUAACCAUUAUAUAUAUAUGUAUCUUAUGUAUUUGUACCAUGUUUUAUCUUCAAUGCAAAUAUAAGUUAAACUACAAAGAUUGGAUUGUUAAAAAAAAUUUAAAAUGUUAAAAAAAUUGAAAUUUUUGAUUUUGUAAGAAUGAUAGAAAACCAAGGCCAGUGCUUGCAUAUGUUAUCUACUACAUGCACAAUCGGGUCGAUGUCUGUCUAUAUGUUUCAUGUUUAGAAAUCGUGUUCAAUUGGGUUACGAUAUGUACUAUUGAAGUGUCAAUUUAUAAUUUCCUUAUCAAGAUUACACAUUUUUUUGUUAAUAUUCGGAAAUCACUCAAUGGUUAUAAACCCUGCUUGGAUACUGUCCACAAAGUCUAGUUGGAACAUCCCUUGUAUGCUUUGUCCUUUCUAAGAACUUUUCCUUUCCAUCAUUCUCGCUUCUGUUUUUUUUUCUUCCCUCUACUUUAAGUCAUUAUCUAACGUAGAUAUCCCUUGUAUUCUUUGUCCUUUCUAUGGCAAUCGAGUCAAUUGAUGGCAAGCCAAAAAAAAAAAAAAAGAGCAGCUAUCCUGUCUUAAUCGAUUGCCAUCCCUCCUGUUAAACACCAUUAAGAAAAGGAAAAUUUUAGUUAAGCUUUAAAACAGCCAUGUUUUAACAAUGUUGGUGAUGGUGCUUGUGCAGGCCCUUCUUGCUACAAUUACAAUUAUUCUUAGUGCAACAAUUAAAGCUGGUGGGUGAUAAAGCACACCUCUUUUGACUGAGAGAUGUAUAGGUUCCCAAAUAAUAUGUAUAUGCUCCCCCCACCCCCUUUUAUUUUAUUUUAUUUCCAGUAAGUUAUUGUUUAUUAUAAUUUGCAGCAAAUGUUUUUAUCAUUAUUUGUUGGUGAAUGAUGAUAAGAUUAAACUUUACUUUCUUAAGCUCCAAUUCUUUGGACGUUGGUGAUUUUUUAUUAUAGUUGAGUUAUUAAUAUAAUUUAUGUCGCUUAAAAUUUAUAACUGAAAAUAUAAAAUUUAAAUUUUACUUCAAUUUAUUUAUAUUUAUAAAUGGUUAAUUCAAACUUUUUUUUCCUCAUUAUAUUUUAUAUUUAAAUUAACAUUUAAACUAUUUUUCAUUAGCAAUGUUGUUAUUAAUUAUAUUUAUUAGCACCAACAUCAAACUUACUAAAAAUUAAAAUUUUAACUAUUUUAAAAAAAUAUUUUUAGCUAUUUAUCAUCAUAGAGAAAAAAAGGUGAUGUCACCACGCCUCAUGCUUCGACACCACAAACUAGACUCUCAUCACCUGUAUUUAUCAUCGAUUCAAAUUCCAGAACUACCUAAAAAUAUAUCUUCAAACUUCCUCUGGUUAAGUUCAUUGAUAGUCAACUUACUAUUAUUUCUAAAAAAAAAAAAAACAAAUAAAUUGGUUAAUAGUAAUAACAAUGAUUCAAUUUUAUUCUUACCAGUAUCUGUCCUUUAGAAAGGGGCUUAUAAAAGAGAUAGAGGUGAGUAAACUUGAGCUUCAGCUUUCCACAAACACCUUAAUUUGAAGACACAGUUCUCUCAUACUAAAAAAGACAUGGAAGUUUACCUUGUAAUUAGAGAUUUGGUUUCAUUGCUUGUUGUUGGGCUAUUAAUGAUAUGGGGAUGGAGAACUUUAAACUGGGUAUGGCUGGCCCCAAAAAGGCUCGAAAGCUGCUUGAGACAACAGGGUUUUGCAGGGAAUCCUUACAGGUUCCUUUCUGGUGACAUAAAAGAGCUCUUCACUAUGAGCAGACAAACAAGAGCGAAACCUAUGCCUCUUAGUGAUGAUAUUGGGCCUUAUGUUGUUCCUUUUCAACAUCAAACCGCUAACCAGUAUGGUAUGUUUUUUUAUUUAAUCUGCAAUUUAUGAUAAUUCUUUGUUAUUUACGUAUGGAAUUUAUUGGGAGGAAAUGCAGGAAAGAAUUCAUUUACGUGGUUUGGUCCAAGACCAAGGGCGAACAUUACGGACCCUGAAAAAAUAAGAGAAAUACUUAACAAAUUUAAUGACUUCCAGAAGAUACGUACCAAUCCUCUGCUUAAUUUGCUUGUAAGCGGCCUUGUUAACCUCGAAGGAGACCGAUGGAGCAAGCGUAGAAAAAUCAUAAACCCUGCAUUUCAUCAAGAUAAGUUGAAGGUAUAGAAUAGUGAUGGGUAAUCAGACUUUACAGAAAACAUCAUACUUAAACCUAUGCUUUUCUGAUUUAGAAAUAAUUGGAUGCAGAAUAUGUUGCCAGCAUUUUAUCAAAGUUGUAGUGACAUGUUAAGCAAAUGGGAGAAGAUGGUGUGUACAGAAGGAUACAGUGAGUUAGAUGUGUGGCCUUAUCUCGUAGAUUUGACAAGAGAUGUGAUUUCCCGAUCUGCUUUUGGAAGCAGCUUCGAAGAAGGCAAACGAAUUUUCCAAUUACUAGAGGACCAACUCGUUGUCACAAUCAAAUUAAUACAAACUGUUUACAUUCCAGGAUGGAGGUAACCGUCAACUUAGUUUACUUGAAAAUGGUUGCAAAUGUUGGAAUUGGCUAAAUUCGUGUUUGUUUUCUUGAAGGUUUUUGCCAACAAAGACAAACAGGGAGAUGAAGAUGAAACACAGAGGCAUAAAAGAGUCGCUUAGGGAAAUGAUAAAGAGAAGGGAGAAGGCAAUUAAAGCAGGGGAAGAGAGCAAUGAGGACUUGUUGGACAUACUUGUGGAAUCCAAUAUCAGAGAAAUGGAAGCAAAGAAUAUGGGGAUGAGCAUUGAGGAUGUGAUUGAGGAAUGCAAGCUGUUUUACUUUGCUGGCCAGGAGACCACUUCGGUCUUACUGGUGUGGACUAUGGUUUUAUUAGCAAGGUAUCCCGAUUGGCAAAGUAAAGCAAGAGAGGAGGUUUUGCAUGUUUUGGGUGACAGUAAACCUGAUGCUGAUGGCCUUAAUCGUCUCAAAGUUGUAAGUCCCUAGCAUGUCUUUUGAAGGUCCGAUCAAUGAGGUCGACAACUCAAAAACUUUGUUUCUUUUUACGCUAAUUCUACAGGUAACAAUGAUAUUGUACGAGGUUCUAAGGCUGUACCCACCGGUGGUUGAGCUAGGACGUUCCGUUCCAAAAGAAAUAAAACUGGGGAAUUUGUUGUUACCAGUAGGAACAGAAGUUUCGGUUCCGAUCCUGCAGAUCCACCAUGACAAAGAUCUUUGGGGUGACGACGCACGGGAAUUUAAGCCAGAGCGGUUCGCGGAAGGGGUUUCCAAAGCAACAAAGAGUCAAGUCACGUUUCUGCCAUUCGGAUGGGGUCCUAGGAUCUGUAUUGGCCAAAAUUUUGCUUUGAUGGAAGCCAAAAUGGCGAUGGCUAUGAUUCUCCAACGCUUCUGGUUCGAGCUUUCCCCUUCCUAUGCUCACUCUCCUUACAGCAGGGCAACUCUUCGUCCACAGCAUGGUGCACAGAUAAUUUUACAUAAACUUGGCUGUAAUUGAAUUGUUAUGUAAACAAAUCUUUGUGAAAACAUAGCGUUUUAGUGUAUCGUCAAAGUCCGGUAUCUGUAAUGGUACAAAUUCGAUGAAUGAAUAGUAAAUUUUGAGAUGUUUGGUGAAGUCCGAAAUAAUAUGCAGAAAUUGAGCGUCUGUGGUGGACAUAGUUGAGGGACUAAUGUGGUAAUUAUCAAUCAAAUAAUUCGGUACAAAGACUUAUAUGGAAAUUAAAGCAGGGGGAGUUGAAAAUGACUACUCUGCUUUGGGCAUCAAUUUAGAAAGAUUUAAAGUUCAAAUGUGUUAUUAGUUAAGGGAUUUGUUUUAAAGAGGGAAUGACAAUUAAACCUCAUGGUUGAUUUGUGCAAGGAACCGAUGAUGGGAUGAUUAUUCUUAGUGGUAAAAAAAACCAUUAUGGAGGUUAUUACACUUGUUAUCAUCGGCUUAAAAUUCGAUUGGGUUCAGGUCGGAUUAUAUCGAGCUUGUAAGAUAGUUCACCGACCAAGUUUGCAUAAUAAAAUACCUAAAUGAAAAAAAUUUCUAUUUUAGAGGAACCAGAGCCCCUACCAACUCCCGGUUCAACCACUAAACAAUAGCCAUAUCAUAUAAAUAAAUACCACCAUCUAAAAGACUAAAAAAAAACACUUAACAAAGGAUAAAUAGAUAGAUGUUGGAUAAGUGUCCAAAAUAUGAUCUAAGUGAAGAUACGUGGGGUAGGUGUUACGGAAAUGUGAAGACAAGAAUCCCACUAACGUAUGGGAUGUGUACAGUUGAAUGUAGGAAGCUAGUAAAAAAAUUUUUUUGGGUCAUAUAAUUUGUUUAGCAUAUAUUUUUAUAAUUUUUAAAUAUCAUUUUGGAGUUGAAUUAUAAUUUUUUUAUAUAUUAUCUUAAAAUUUUAAGGAGUUAAAACAAAAUUAUUUUAUUUUCAGAUGGUCAAAGUAGAGGUGAUAAUGGGUUGGGCUAUUCGGCCCGGCCUGACGAUUCACCCGAAAAAUAGGAGGGUUUAGGUAAAAAUAUAGGCUCGAAAUAUGGAUUUGAGCAAAAAAAGAGGCCCGUUUAGAAAAUGGGCUAGGCCUCGAGUAAAAUUUUUUGGGCCCAGGCCUGACCUGAAUUAUAUAUUAAAUAUAUAUAUUUUAUUUUUAAUCAAAUAUACUUUUGUUUUAUUAUUAAUUUGGUUAUUAUUUUAGUUCUAAUUUGUUUCAAUUUUAAUAUAACCAGUUUUUAUUAUAUUUUCAAUUUGUGUAUUGUUUUAAGAAUUGUUUUAGUCUCAUUAUUUAUUUAUUUUUUGUUUUAAUAUUUGUUUUAAAAAUUUUUAUUUAAUGAAAUAAGCUAAAAAAAUUAAUAUGGGCUGGGCCAGGCCAGGCUCGGGCCUAGUAAUUUUCUUUUGGGCCGGACUUAGAUAAAUUUUUAAGUCCAUAUUUUGAAUUGGGUCCUAACCUAAAAAAUAGACCUAAAAUUUUAUAUGGGCCCAGCUUGAACCCGACUUGGCCCAUGAUUACCUUUAAGUCAGAGCUAUCCUCGUUUUGCAUUUCUUUGAGAUUCAGCCUUAUCUACUAUUGAUUGCCCUCUCAAUUGAGGUUUGAGUAGAAAGAUUUGGUGAAGCAAGCUAAGCUAUCAAUCAAGGUUUGCAUAAUUAUUUAAAUGUAAUUCUAAUAUUAAAAUAAUUUUUUUUAUUAAUAUAGUAUCAACAAGCAUUAAAUGUAAUGAUCAUAUACUAUUACAUUUUCAAGAAGAGAAAACAUGUUUGAACUUUAAAAACGACGUUACUAAAAACAUUAUCACAAAUCUUGAAAUAUAAAAAAUAUUUUUUUAAAUAUAAUAAAAAAUUAAUUUUAAACCUGAGCUGAAUAAAAUUCUAAUUUUAGUUAAUGAUACCAACAACAAAUCAAUAUUCUAAGCCCGAGCCCGGCUCAUUUUUUUAAUAAACACCAAAAAUUUAUUUUGAAAAUAAAAAAAGUAUUUUAAAAAAAUUUUAAAAUUAAAAGAAUAAAAAUAUAUAUUUAUUAUAUAUUCAGGCCGGGCCGGGCCGGCCCCGGGCCAAAAAAGUGGUGCUCGAGACCCGACCCAUUGUCUAAAUGGGCCUCAUUUUUGCCCAAACCCAUAUUUCGGGCUUAUAUUUUUACCCGAACCUCUCAUAUUUUGGACGGAUCGUCGGGCCGGACCAGGCCGCCCGACCAUGAACACCUCUAGGGCAAAGUCACUCAAUGAAUGCAUGGAAAGAAAGAAUGCAACUUGGUGACAGCUUUUGUUGGAGUUAUAUGCUUUUUUUUACAUAGUGGAACUUUCUGUGGAUUUUCAAGUUUCAUGAACUUUAUACCCUAUGCUUUACGUGAAAAAAAUCAUUGGACUUAAAAGUCUACCAAAAGUUUCACUAUAAUAAAUAAAUAAAUAAAUAAAUAACAUUGCUACAAGACUACAACAUAAAGUUACAAUAAGAGCUUAUAACUCAACAAAGGCUAUCAAUAAAUAAUCUCAAGCAAGCUAAAGAGAAAUGUUGAGAGUACCACUCAAAUAGUGAUUGACUUUAAAAAUUAAAAACCCGAAGUUAUAAUAUCCCAAACGAAAUCAAACCAUAAACAUUAAAUUUUUCGAGUCUACUAGAUACUGUAAAAAAUUCAGCUCCAACGGACACCAAAUGAACCUAUGAUUGAAGAAAAUACGAAAACUAGUCUGGCUAAAUCAAUCUGCCAAACUUACUUUUUAUCUUAUCUUUAAUUUGCUGUGAAAUUCAAAACUACGUGUAAUACCCAAUUUAUGCCCGGCCCAUUUUGUUAAACCAAAUAAAAAAGAAAAGAAAAACAAAAUAUUUAAAUUUAGCCCAAAUGUCCAUUUACACAGCCCAAUUACAAUUGCAAAUAAAAAAAAACUAAAACUAAACCCGAUCCUAAGCAUCAGCCCAAAUUCGACCCAUGCCCAAAACGAAUUCAGAUGCAGAAACCCUAGCCCAGCCUCAACGCAAGAAAAAGUCGGAAGCCCUAAUGGUUGGUGCGCCGCUCCUGUAACAGCCCGAUUUUGGGUCUAGUCGGAACAGUGGUUUUGGGACCACAAAUCCGACGAGAAAAAAAUGUAAUGGCCUGAAUUUUCAGAGGUGUCGGAAUGGUGAUUCGAGAUCACUAAAUUCGAAAAAUGGGUAGAAAAUAUUAUUAAUUUAGUGAGUAUAAGUUAAAUGUGAAGUUAGGAAAAUUUUUGAAAUAGUGAAUAGUACACUAGAAAUAAAUAUUAAAAUAAUUAGAAUCGAAAAUGAGGUAUCGAGACCUCGGGGAUUUUAAACCUAGCCAUAAAUAUUUAUGUAGUGUUAAAAAGUUAGUAUUAAAGUUUCGUUAAGAAAUUUUAAAGUUCCGAUAAUUAAUUGAACAAAAAGGACUAAAUUGUAACAAAUACAAAAUUAUGAGAAAUGAUUAAAUAGCUUAAAUGAUAAAAGGAAGAGGGCUUAAAAGGCAAAUAGACCCAAGGGCUAUUUGGGCUGGACGGCAAAGGCAUGAAAUCAGCAACAAAGUAAGGAGAAUUAAGGGCAAAAUUGGAAUAUUGCAAAAUUUACUUAAUAAAGUUAGGACCAAAGUGGAAUUAUCUAGAUUUCUCUUUAUUUUUCUGCAUUCUCAUUAGCAAAAACACCAUAGAAGGGUUUCCUUAAGCCGGUUCUUCCUAUUUUUACUGCAGAUAAGUUCAAUUCUUGAUUAUUUCUUGAAAAUUUUGUGUUUUUGUGACUUUUACAACUAGGCCCACUUAUUGUAUUCAUUAGUUUUUGAUUCUAUGAAAGAAUUUGAAAGUUGCUAUGAAUACAUGCUGGAAGUAUAUGAUGAUUUAGCAUGGAAUUAGAGCUUUAAAUUGUUCAUAUGCUGAUUUUAUUGAAAGAAUUGAAUAGAAAGUGAAUGUUUGGGACCUAAUAGUAAAAGAGUUUGAAGAUAGAGUUAUAUGUGGAAAUUCUGAGUUUCAAUAGUUGUGAAACAACUUAUAAUGUCUAGGUAAAUUAUUAAUUGAGAAAAUUAAAUUAAUUGAGGGGUUAAUUGAGAAAGGACCGAAUUGUAUAAACUGUGAAAUUUGGGGCAAAAAGGAAAUCAACAUUUUGCACUAAAGCAGUUUUGGACAGCAGCAGUAGUAUAAAUUUGAAAAAUCACCAAAAAUUUUGGGAAUUGAAUUAGAGGGUGAAUAAAAUAUGAAAUUAAAGCUUAUUGAGUCUAGUUUCUUAUAAAGGAAACGGUGUAAGCAAUGGAAUUGUAAAUCAUGAGAUAUAAUAAAUUUUGCGAGACAAUGUCAGAAUGAUUUCGGGUUCCCCUAUUCUGACUUUGGAAAAUCAUUAAAAAUUGAAAAAAAAUUAUGAGUUAUAAUUUAUAUGAUUAGAAUCCUUAAUGAGUCUAUUUUCAAAAUAAAUAAAUGGAAACGUCAUAAAAAUUCUGUACAAUUAGAUAAUUCAUUUUUAGUGAAGAGUGGUCGGAACUGUCAGACAGCAAAACAGGGGAAACUUUAAAGAAUAAAAUGUACUAUUUGGCUGAACCAAAAAUUCUGAAAAUUGUAUGGUAAGAAGGUAUGUGAGUCUAGUUUCAGGGAAAAUUAAGGGAUCUUAAUUUAGAGCUCUGUAGCUCCAGAUAAAAAUAAUUUAGUGACUCUAACUCGGAUAAACAGCUUUGAAUAUACAUGUGAGUGAAUAGUGAAAUUAUAGCUAGUGUUGUUUAAGUGUGUUAUACACAAUAAGGAUGUGGAAUGGAGAGGAGGAGGAGGAGGAAAAAUUGGGAAAUAUAUGAAUGAUUUGUGUAUAAUUGGUCAUAUGCUUAAUUAUAAUUGAUAAACGAUGAAAUAGAAAUGAUGCAUAUAUUUGUGCAGUAUUGGUCAUGGUUUAAGCUCAUGUGGCAAAAUAAAGUUUAUAGUACGGGUGUAUUGUAUUUUUGGUAUAUGAUUUGGCAUUAAGUAAUGUCGUGAAUGGGUAUUGAAUUAACACAUGUUGGAAAGUUUGAUUCAGCACGCGUCGAGCCUCCGCGCCAAAACCACGUGAGCCUUCGUACACUCCAACUGGCCUCCGUACCUGCAACAAACAAAAGUAGACAAAACAACAGCAAAUGAUAGGAAGAAAAGGUAGUAAAUAGUGAAGAUUUUUCUGUAAUUUUCUUUGGAUUUCAUUCUGUAUUUUCGGCUAUAAAAGAGCCAUUAGGAAUAUUUGUAAAGGAGUUUUUUUUUUACCCUCACACACAAAGAGAAUAUACACGCAUACAAGAUCAAUAUAGAGAAAAAAAUAAAAAAAAAUACAAAGAAUAGAAAAUCAAGUUUCGAAGGUGAUUCUUUGAAAAAUCCUUUUCGUUUUUCUCCUUUUUCCUUUUUCCUGGAUCUUUUGUUCAUUUCAAGUAAAAAAAGUAUAAAAAGGAAACAAGUUUAGAGGAAGGAGGUUUACCUGGACGCCGGACCUCGCUCGCCUCGUCGAAAUCGAAGGCUGAGAGGGGAUAAAUCGGUUUUGCGACGGAAGGAAAGGGGGCUAGGGUUCUUCUUUUAAUUUUAAAAAAAAAAUAGAAAAUGUUGCUAAUUAGGUUUUAAUGGGGGGAUUUAUGUGUGUUAAAAAAACGACGUCGUUUAGCGACCUUUGACCCGCGCGGUGACCCGACCCGAGGAAAGGAUCCGCGCGUUUUGGGUCUGAUGGGUUUAUUGCGCAACAAGCCCUUCCGCAUUUGUUUUUCGUUUCAAUCCGGUUUUUAUUUGUUUUUUAAUUGCUCUCUCAUAUUUAGUUCCAAUUUCAAUUGGGUCCAUGAUUAAACGACAUCGUUUUCAUUGAUUGGGUUUGAAGGCCUAGUUUUGUGCGUCUAAAUUGCAGCAAUGGUCCCCCUGAUGUGCAAUGGUUCUCGAUUUAGUCGUCUCCACACUUAUUUCAAAGUCGUCCCUGAGAUUUUGUUUUAUUUUUGAAAUUUUCCUUGUCUUCUUUUAAUUUAUAAUGCUAUUAUUAUUAUUAUUAUUAUUGUUGUUGUUGUUGUUGUUAUUAUUACUAUUAAUAUAGGUAUUGUUAUCGUGUUAGUUUAUAUCUAUUUAUUUACUUUUAUUUUAUUAUGUAUUAUUAUAUAAUGCUUUUAUCAUGUAUCAUUUUAUAUAUUUUCUAUGUUAAUCUAAUAUGAUAUAUAUAUAUAUAUAUGUAUUUUUGUGAUCUUAUUUUAUAAUACUUUUUUAACCCAUUUAUAUGCCUUUAUGUUUUAAAGAUUUAUAAUAUUUUGAGCAAAACUAUUAUAUAUAUAGAUAUACAAUUUAUAUUAGACCAUUUUUAUCGUACAUAUACGUAUAUAUAAUUUAUAUUUUGAAACCCUAUUUUAUUAUAUUUUAUGCCUCUAUAUACAUCAUUAUAUGUUUAUUAUUCUUUAUAUUAAACCUGUCAUUUCACUUAUAUAUUUUUAAAACCAAUAUGUAUUAUUCUUUCUUCCUUGUUAUUUUUUAUCUCUUAAAAUAGAUUGAUAAUUCAUUUAAUUUUUGAAUGUUGUAUGACCGAGAUUAUCGUUGCCAUUCUUGUUCAAAUUUAUCCAUUGCUUGUUCAUAUUAUUUGAUAAUUUAUCGCUCACUAGCAUGUACCGUAAUUUACGAAUUAUCAAUUUGAAUUAUGUACUACCAUUCAAUCGCAUUACAUUUGUUUGGAAAACAUCGAAAUCGUUUUGCACAUAAACCUUCAAAAUGCUCGGUAUCCAAAAUUCUCGAGAGGAUUGUGUCCUAACUUACUAGGCUUCAAUUCUCCUUCUUGAUUUUAAAUAACCGAAUACCCCUUUUUCAAUUUGAACAUAGAAAUUCCAAAAUAAAAAAAAACUCAUUCUCGGGAAUUUGAUGCGUUGUGUCCUAACGUAUUGGAUAUGACAUAUUUUUCUCGAGACGAGGAUUUUUCUAACAAAUAAAAAUAAAGACAAUAUUUGAUAUUUAGGAAUUUUGUGAAAUCGAAGCCUAACUUACUGGGUUUUGAUUUUUUCAUUUGACCCAAGUCGGAUAUCCUUCUCAAAUGCAUAGAUUUUAAAAAAUCAAAAGAUAAACUUAAUUUCGAGGAUUUAAAAUGUUACACUCUAACUUACUAAGUGUGUCAAUUUAUUUCUUUGAAAUAAGUGAGUUUCAUCAUCCAAUUUAUUUUAUUCAAAUAUUCUUUUCCAAGGAUCGUAUUUUAAAAUCUUUUCAAAAUUUCGACAUUAAGACAUUAAACAAUCAAUUCGGUACCAAUUUUGGGCGUCACGAGGGUGCUAACCCUUCCUCGUGCGUAAUCGACUCUCGAACUUGUUUUCUCAAAAUUCGCAGACCUAAAAUUAUUUUCAAGGUGAUCCGAUUACACCACAAUAAAAUAUCGGUGGUGACUCCCAUUCCUAUUUUAAAAGUCGAUUCCCGUUUUUCAAAUAUAAAAAAAUGGUUUCGACACUACGGUUUUGUUUGUUUCACUUAGAACAACUUUCAAAAAGUUAAUUUUGAAAAAUGGAUUGAAUUUUCAAAAUAGAUGAUAUUUUAUUGUGUUAAAAUUUUAUUCGUUGUUUGAAAAAAAAAUUUAAAUCAUUUUCUUAGAAUUAUUUUUAGUGAAACAAAUAUAUCAUAAAUAUAUUUGUUAUAAAAUAUUAUAUUAAUAAUUUUUUUGACAAUUAAAAUAUAUUUUGUGAUAAGGUAAUAUUUUAUAAUAAUUAAUAUCAUAUAUACUUAAUAAUAAAUCAUGUCUAAUUAAAAUUUAAUUUCAAUUAAAUAUAUUAAUAAAGCUACAUUUAAUCAUAUUUUAUAUAAUUAAAAUAUUAAUAUAAAUAUUUUUCAAUAAUAUAUUAAAGAAUAUUUAAAAUUUAAAUUUAUUAUUACUAAGAUUAAUUAUUAAAAUAAAAAUGUACUAUUAAAUAAUUUAUCCAAUGAUAAGUUAUAUUGAUAAUUUAUUAUAUUAUUAAAUAUAAAUAAUUCAAUAUGUAUGUUUAAUAAUAUUAUGUUAUAAUAUUUAUUACUAAUAUUUUAAUAUUUUUAAACAACCAUAUUUUAAAGAUGGUGGUGAUGGUGAUGGUGCAGGCCCCCUUGUUACAAUUACAAUAUUUUUAAGUGGGAUGCAUGUAAUAUAUUGUUAGGGUUUUAGAGUGUGUCGUCUUUAAAAGGGUUAAAUUAUAUAUUUAUAUAAUAUGAUUAUUGUUUAUAAACAUAAUAUUGUAGAUAAGUUUAUAUGUAUGUCAAUAUGUAUCCUACUCUAGGGUUAAUAUGUAUUUUUUAGAUGUGGGUUCACCUAUAUAAUAGUAUGAAUCCAUCAUGCGGUCUCAUGAAAUAUACAAACACAUAUCGUGCUAACACAAAGUACGAACAAUAAAAAGUACAAAUCAAGACCCAAUUGAAUAAUUAAAUAACGGAUAGGUAAUAAUGAAUAUCAUAACAUUCACUAUCCCCUCUUUUCCAGUGAGUUAUUGUUUAUGAUAAAUUUGCAACAAAUGUUUUUAUCAUUAUUUUGUUGGUAAAUGAUAAUAAGCUUAAACUUUACUUUCUUAAGCUCCUUCAAUUCUUUGGACGUUAGCGAGUAAACUUGAGCUUCAGCAUUCCACAAACACCUUAAUUUGAAGACACAGUUCUCUCAUACUAAAAACGACAUGGACGUUUACCUUGUAAUUAGAGAUUUGGGCUCAUUGUUGGGUUAUUAAUGAUACAGGGAUGGAGAGCUUUAAACUGGGUAUGGCUGGCCCCAAAGAGGCUCGAAAGGUGCUUGAGACUAGAGGUGAUCAAGGGCCGGGUUAGGCCCGGUCUAGAAAAAAAUUUAGGCCCAUUUUUUAGGCCUGAAUUCGGCUCGGCUCAAAAUAUGAGCUUAAAAAUUUGUCUAAAUUCGGUCCGAAAGAAAAUUGUUAAGCCCAAGCCUGACCCAUAUUAAAUUUUACAACACCAAAAAAGUAUAUUUAAAUAAAAAUAAAAAAUAUAUAUUUAAUAUAUAAUUCGGGCCGGGCAGAACUCUGGCAAAAAAAAUUUUACUCGGGGCUGGUCUGUUUUCUAAACAGACUUCGUUUUUUUGCCAAAAUCUAUAUUUUAGGCAUAUAUUUUUACCCGAAUCUUCCUAUAUUUUGGGGUGAGCCGUCGGGCCAGACUGGGUAGCCGAACCAAUGAUCACCUCUACUUGAGACAACAGGGUUUUGCAGGGAAUUCUUACAGGUUCGUUUCUGGUGACAUAAAAGAGCUCUUCACUAUAAGCAUACAAACAAGAGCCAAAACUAUGCCUCUUAGUGAUGAUAUUGGGCCUUAUGUUGUUCCUUUUCAACAUCAAACCGUCAACCAGUAUGGUAUGUUUUUUUAUUUAAUCUGCAAUUUAUGAUAAUUCUUUGUUAUUUAUGUAUGGAAUUUAUUGGGAGGAAAUGCUGGAAAGAAUUCAUUUACAAGAAUUGGUCCAAGAUCAAGGGUGAACAUUACGGACCCUGAAAAAUAAGAGAAAUACUUAACAAAUUUAAUGACUUCCAGAAGGUACGUACCAAUCCACUGCUUAAUUUGCUUGUAAGCGGCCUCGUUAACCUCGAAGGAGACCGAUGGAGCAAGCAUAGAAAAAUCAUAACCCUUGCAUUUCAUCAAGAUAAGUUGAAGGUAUAGAAUAGUAAUGGGUACUCAAGACUUUAAAGAAAACAUCAUACUUAAGCCUAUGCUUUUCUGAUUUAGACAUAAUUGGAUGCAGAAUAUGUUGCCAGCAUUUUAUCAAAGUUGUAGUGACAUGUUUAAGCAAAUGGGAGAAGAUGGUGUGUACAGAAGGAUACAUUGAGUUAGAUGUGUGGCCUUAUCUCGUAGAUUUGACAAGAGAUGUGAUUUCCCGAUCUGCUUUUGGAAGCAGCUUCGAAGAAGGCAAACGAAUUUUCCAAUUACUAGAGGACCAACUCGUUGUUACAAUCAAAUUAAUACAAACUGUUUACAUUCCAGGAUGGAGGUAACCGUCUACUUAAUUUACUUGAAAAAGGUUGCAAAUGUUGGAAUUGGCUAAAUUCGUGUUUGUUUUCUUGAAGGUUUUUGCCCACAAAGACAAACAGGGAGGUGAAGAUGAAACACAAAGACAUAAAAGAGUCGCUCAGGGAAAUGAUAAAAAGAAGAGAGCAGGCAAUUAAAGCAGGGGAAGAGAGUAAUGAGGACUUGUUGGACAUACUUGUGGAAUCCAAUAUCAGAGAAAUGGAAGCAAAGAAUAUGGGGAUGAGCAUUGAGGAUGUGAUUGAGGAAUGCAAGCUGUUUUACUUUGCUGGCCAGGAGACCACUUCGGUCUUACUCGUGUGGACUAUGGUUUUAUUAGCAAGGUAUCCCGAUUGGCAAAGUAAAGCAAGAGAGGAGGUUUUGCAUGUUUUGGGUGACAGUAAACCUGAUGCUGAUGGCCUUAAUCGUCUCAAAGUUGUAAGUCCCUAUCAUGUCUCUUGAAGGCCCGAUCUCUGAGGUCGACAACUCAAAAACUUGGUUCUUUGUUUCGCUAAUUCUACAGUUAACAAUGAUAUUGUACGAGGUUCUAAGGCUGUACCCACCAGUGAUUGAGCUAGGACGUUCCGUUCCAAAAGAAAUAAAACUGGGAAAUUUGUUGUUACCAGCAGGAACAGACGUUUCGGUUCCAAUCCUGCAGAUCCACCAUGACAAAGAUCUUUGGGGCGACACCGCACGGGAAUUUAAGCCACAGCGGUUCACGGAAGGGGUUUCCUAAGCAACAAAGAGUCAAGUCACGUUUCUGCCAUUCGGAUGGGGUCCUAGGAUCUGCAUUGGCCAAAACUUUGCCAUGAUGGAAGCUAAAAUGGCGAUGGCUAUGAUUCUCCAACGCUUCUGGUUUGAGCUUUCCCCUUCCUAUGCUUACUCUCCUUACAACAUGGCAACUCUUCGUCCACAGCAUGGUGCACAGAUAAUUUUACAUAAACUUGGCUGUAAUUAAAUUGUUAUGUAAGCAAAUCUUUGUGAAAAUAUAGUGUUUUAGUGUAUCGUCAAAGUCUGUCUGUAAUGGUACAAUUCCGAUGCAUGAAUAGUAAAUUUUGAGAUGUUUGGUGAAGUCCGAAAUAAUAUGCAGAAAUUGAGUGUCUAUGGUGGACAUAGUUGAGGGACUAAUGUGGUAAUUAUCAAUCAAAUAAUUCGGUACAAAGACUUAUAUGGAAAUUAAAGCAGGGGGAGUUGAAAAUGACUACUCUGCUUUGGGCAUCAAUUUAGAAAGAUUUAAAGUACAAAUGUGUUAUUAGUUAAGGGAUUUGUUUUAAAGAGGGAAUGACAAUUAAACCUCAUGGUUGAUUUGUGGAAGGGAACCAAUGAUGGGAUGAUUACUCUUAGUGGUGAAAAAAAAACUAUUAAGGUGGUUAUUAUAGUUGUUAUCACCAGCCUAAAAUUUGAAUAGGUUCAGGUCGGAUUAUAUUGAGCAUGCAAGAUUAGUUCACGGACCAAACUUGUAUGAUAAUAGGUAUUCACAAAAAGAUAUCUAUAGUUUCCAACAAAGUCACAUGUGAGAUCGUGCAUUAGAACCGCAUAAACAUGUUUUAUGUUUAGAAUAUGAUAUGUGUCUAUGUGUAUAGAAUCUACCUAAUAUAUCAUAUUAAUGAAUAGUAUCAAUUGCGGAGCCAAAAAAUUAUUUGUGAGGGGUCAGAAUUAAAUUGUAUAUUUUUACAAAAAUAAAAAUUAAAUUUCACUAUUUUAAUAGUUUAUUUAUUUUUAAUUUUUAAAUGAUUAAAUUAAAUUUUAUAAAUUUUUAGGAUCAAAGUAUAAUUUUAUCAUUACUAAUUUAAAAUUUUAUAAAUUAUAAAAAGUUUAUAUGAAAAGUUUUCUAUUUUAGGGUGGCCAAAGCCCCUGCCAACUUCUGACUCGAUCACUUGCGGUUAGUUGGGUAAAGACUCAAGAAAAAUAGCGGUGUGUUUGGAUGGACAGUGUGUUUACUUGCGGUUAGUGUAAAAAUAGCAGUGGCGGUGAGAUUAGAUACUAUAGCAACACUGUAGCGUGAGACAAAAAGUAAGUUAAACGCACUGCACUGCACUUAAUCGUCUAUCUAAACUCACCAUAAGUGUCUAAAAUAUGAUUUAAGUGAAGAUACGUGGGGUAGGUGUCAUGGAAAUGUAAAAAAAAAAGAAUCCCACUAAUGUAUGGGAUGUGUACAAUUGAAUGCAGGAGUGAAUCAUUUGGGUAACAUUUGGACAAGAAACAUAAUGAACAAAAUGAAAGGAGAGGAAGCUAGUAAUAAAAGAUUCUUUUGGGUUAUAUAAUUUGUUUGGCAUAUAUUUUUAUAAUAUUUAAAUAUCAUUUUGGAGUUGUUGAAUUAUAAUUUCUUUUUAUGUUUUAAAACAUAGUUAUUCUAUUUUUAGAGGUCAGAGUAGAGGUGAGCAUGAGUCGGGCUACUCGGCUCGGGCCGAAGGCUUGCGCAAAAUGUGAGAGAUUUGGGUAAAAAUAUAGGCCCGAAAAAUGAGUUUAGACAAAAAAAAUAUAAGGCCCGUUGAAAAAACAGGCUAGGCCUUGGGUAAGGCAUUUUGGCCCCAGACCCGGCCCAACCCAAAUUCACUAAGGGCACGUUUGGUUCGCUGUAUUGGAAUAGAGGCGUAAUGUAAUAGAUGCGUAAUGGAAUAGAGACGUAAUAGCAAAUCAAUUGUUUGGUUGAAUGUAAUGGAAUAGAGGCGUAAUAGUAUUCUUAUAUUUGGUUGAAUGGAAUAGAGGUGUAACAGCAUAAGGAAAAAAGUUAAAAUGACUAGAAUACCCUUAGCAGAAAUUUGUUUAGAUAAAUGAUUAUUGUUAUUGUUAUUAAAUUUUAAUAAGAUUAUUAAUAUCAGUAAUAAAUAAUUUAAUCAUAUUUUAACAUAAUUAUUAUUAAAUAUAAUUUAAUAAAAAUAUAUAAUUUAAUAAAAUUCUUAAUAUUAAAUAAAAUUCUUAAUAUUAAAUAUUCUUAAUAUUAAAUUACUAAAAUCAUAAUAUAUAAUACUAUAAAAUAUAAUUUAAAUAAUUAUUAUUAAAUAUAAUUUAAUAAAAAUAUAUAAUUUAAUAAAAUUCUCAAUAUUAAAUAUAUUCUUAUAUGAAUUUACUAAAAUCAUAAUAUAUAAUACUAUAAAAUAUAAUUUAAAAUAAUUAUUAUUAAAUAUAAUUUAAUAAAAAAUAUAUAAUUUAAUCUAAAGUUUGAAUGUGUAUUUACCUAGCAAAAAUCAAUGAACUCUCGUGUAACUAUAACCUUAAUAAUAUAUGAUGUAUAAUUAAUAUUUCGUGACUAAUUAAUAGCAUAGAGAUAAAUACAGUAAUGACGAAUUUAUAGUAUACGAUUAAAAUGCUAAUAAUUUAUAGUAUACAAUUAAAAUAUUAUAAAUAAAAUAAUAGUAAAUGAUAUAUAAGAUAAAUUAACAUAUAAAUAAUUCAGAUAUGUAAAGAAUAUGGCUGAAUAUGGUUGCUCCAAUAAUAAAGGAUAUAUAAUAUAUCAUGGUGUUGUUUUGUUUAGAUAGUUCGGUAACUUAGGAGGGUAUGUAUGAAGAACACAAGUUGAUGCAGAUAGAAAGACGACAAUAUUACAUGAUUACAAUAUGAUAUAGUAUAUAUAUAUAAUUUAUGGAUUCCUUGCAAUCACGUGGCUUCUCUAGCCAUUUUAUUUAGCAUAUCCAGUGAUAUUAAGAUCCAGAAUUAUAAUACAACUAAAAUCUGUGCACACUUAUGGAUGAUCCAACAAAGCCUCAGUUGGCUUUAGGUUCCAAAUCUUGCAACCCACAAACCAUAUUUGCUGGCACUGCAACAUCAAUCAUCUUAGGAUAUGCCAAGUUAAGAUCUGUUGCACCAACAAAAACAGAGGAGAAAUUAGAAGGCGAUCCGAAAAAACCCAAGGAUGCUUUUUCUUUUCUUUUUUUUUAUAAUCUUUAUAGACUAGUUAUAUUGAGCAUCAACUUACUUUCCAUGAUGUUUUUGAAAGUCUCUUACAAAAAGGGUAUUCAACAAAUAAUAUAAUCAGACAUAUUGAUAGGACAAAUUGAAACUAGUAUUCUAUGAUCAUAAUAAAGAGUAAUCUUUAAUCAAAUGCGUGAAGGUAUUGAGAUGUCAUGCUUUUUCAUGAUUUCCUGUUUUACCAUGGCGAUGUUCAUUGGAAUAGUCCCAUCCAAGAGAAUCAAACCAAUGCUCAGCAAGAAAUGUUCAAUGCAUAUGUAAUUUUAAUUACAGAAGUUAUAUGCAGCUUAUAUGAGUUCAAGAUCAUAAAAGACUUCAUGGACAAAAGGAAACCCUUUCUUAUCACUGAAAUGAAAAUAGGCACUCUUAAUUUUCUAUUGUCAAAAGUAGCAAGCCAUUUUCCAAAGAAAAGGGAAGAUGGAUGGUUCCAGAAAGAAUACCUCAUCCUUUGUCAAGUGUGGAUUAUAUAGCAUCUCCUCUCCCACAGUGGUUACCNNNNNNNNNNNNNNNNNNNNNNNNNNNNNNNNNNNNNNNNNNNNNNNNNNNNNNNNNNNNNNNNNNNNNNNNNNNNNNNNNNNNNNNNNNNNNNNNNNNNAAAUCGAGCAAUCAUUUAUAUAUGUAAGAAAUGAUAGGAAUAAAGUUUUAUAUCUUACUGAGAAUCCUUUGUAGUCAUGAGUUGGAUAUAGCAAUGUCUCUUUCGGUAAUGUAAAAAUCUGGAUCCAUGAAACAAAUAAGUCCAUAAAUUUUAUUCAAAUUUUGACAAUUACAAUAAAAUUUUGAGAACUCAAAGAAUGUGACCAUAAAAAGUCCCCUGUCCUUACCUGUGAAUGCACUGACUUGUAGAGUUGCUGUGAACUUCCACCCUGCAAAAUGCAUUAAUCAGUGCUAGUCAAUGGCUACUGAAUGUGGGAGCAUUAGAGAAAAUUAUCUUAAAAACUUAAGUAUAACAAAAUUAGACAAUGACAUCCAGAUGGAAAGAAAUUGCCAGCAUAUAAGACCAGCAUUUAUGUACUCACGACUGAAAAUCCUUUGCAAAAAGUAUAGCCCUGAUAGUUCAAACUUUUACUUCAAGGAUGAUUUAAUUACUGAUUAGUUUACCAUGAGGCUUGUGAAUGACAAACACUUUAUGUGCAACCACAGUAACAAGGUAAGCACCAAUAAGUAGAAAACUAGACGAAUAGGUAACCAAGAGUUAGAGCUAAAACAGACAAACAGAGCUACUAUCCAAUGAGCUAAAACAUACAAACAGAGGUAUAUUUUAACAAUGAAAAUAAUCGAUUGCCUUAAACACCAUAUAGUGUUCCAAUCAAUCAAAUUAUAGCAGGCAUUAAAACCUUUCCCUUUCGUUAAUUCACAACUAUUAGCUUCAUUAAUCAAAUCCUAUGUACAGUUGAUCGAUUGAAAGUGUAACAUUUCAAAGACGAAAUUUAAACACAAAACUGGUUAACAUUGAAAUUACAUGUAAAUAUAACCUAAAAAACCAAAAAAUUAAUCAUAUUUUCAGAUUUCAGGCCGAAAUGGAAUGAAAUGAAAGGUAAAUCCAUUUUUUCCUCAAAAAAACAAAAAUAAAGAAAUAAUAUUUCAAGAACAGAUCAUUAAAUUCAUGGUAUAUAUAAAGAAAUUUAAUUGAAAUCAAAGGAAUAGAAGAAGGGAAAAGCGUACUUGGAACCAUUGCUGCUACUCUCUGUUACUCUGUUACCUCAUACGAUUCGUUAAAGGGUUGUUAGGGUUUGUUAAAGGGUUGGUCAGGAUAGAAGCAUGAAAAGGAGGGAGAAGGUUGGAAGGAAAUGGGAAGAAAAAUGAAAAAAAGAAGAAGAUGCUGCAACGGCUUGGAGGGUAAAAGAGGACCGAUUAGGUAAUCCUUUCUUUUCGAAGGGAUUACAAAUCGGCGCUGCAUAAGGGAAAAUGGGGAAUCGGUGCGCUGCGUAAUAGGCCCGUAUUAAGGCAAUACAGCCAACCAAACAGGGUAAUCAGUGGGGCCACGGAUUAGGGGUGUAUUGGCUAAUCCAAUACACCCAACCAAACAUGCUCUAAAGGACAAAAAAAUUUGAUUUUUUAAAUAUUAUUUUCUCUCUAUUUUGCUAUCAUUUUACUAUUAUGUUGCUACUAUGUUAUUGUUAUUUUUGGAUAUUGUAUAAAACUUAUUUUAUUGUUAAUUUUGUUAUUAUUUUAAAGACAUUUGUUAAUUUUGUUAUUAUUUUAGAGACAUUUGCUUGUUAAGUUGCAUCUAUCUUAGUGUUAUUUAAGUAUACAUAUUUUUUAAAAUUUAUUUUCAAUUUAUUGGGAAAUAUUUAUUUUGAUGUUUUUAGUAUUUUGGGUGUAUUAUAUAUAUUAAAAUUAUAUAAAAAUUAAUAUGGCCGAGCCGAGUCAGGUCCAGAUUUUAGCAUUUUUAUUCAGGUCGGGCUUGAGCAAAAUUUUAAGCCCAUUUUUUGGGCCAAACCAGGCCUGGGCUUAGCAAAUGGGCCUAAAUUUUUAGUCAAGCCCGACCUAAACCCGAUCCGGCCCAUGCUCACCUCUAGAUCAGAGCUGCCCUCGCUUUGCAUUUCUUUGAGAUUCAGUCUUAUCUACUGUUGAUUGCCCACUCAAUUGAGGGUUGAGUAGAAAGAUUUGGUGAAGCAAGCUAAGCUAUCAAUCAAGGUUGGAGAAAGCUUAGGAGGUCACAAUGCAUAAUUAUUUAAAUGUAAUUCUAAUAUUUAAAUAAAAUUUAUUAAUAUAGUAUUAACAAGCCCUAAAUGUAAUGAUUAUAUACUAUUACAUUUUUAAGAAGAGAAAACAUGUUUGAACCUUAAAAACAUCAUUAUUAAAAAUGAUAAUUAAAAAUUUUAAAAUAUAAAAAAUAUAAUUAAAAAUUAAUUUUAAACCCGAGCUGGAUAAAAUUCUAAUUUUAGAUAACGAUACUAAUAAGAAAUCAAUAUUAAAAUGAAAAUGAAAAGUAAUUUAAUAUAAUUUUUGAGUCUUGGGCAAAGGCACUCAAUGAAUGCUUGGAAAGAAAUAAUGCAACUUGGUGAUAGCUUUUGUUGGAGUAAUAUGCUCUUAUUAUAGUUUUAUGUUUUUAUCUUGCAAAAACAACAUAUUGGAGUUUUCGGCAUGAUUUUUUCUUAAUACUUUACAUGAAAAAUAAUAAUGGGACUUAAAAAUCUAUCAAAAGCUUCACCAUAAUAAUAAUAAUAAUAAUAAUAAUAAUAAUAAUAAUAAUAAUAAUAAUAAAUUGCUACAAUAUUACAACACAAAGUUACAAUAAGAGCUUAUAACUCAACAAAGGCUAUCAAUAAAUAAUCUCAGGCAAGCUAAAGAGAAAUGUUGAGAAUACCACCCGAAUAGUGACUGACUUUAAAAGUUGAAAACCCAAAGCUAUAGUAUCUCAAACUAAAUCAAACCAUAAACAUUAAAAUUUUCAAGUCUACUAGCUACUGUAAAAAAUACAGCUCCAACAGACACCAAAUGAGUCUUUGAUCGAAGAAAGUACAAAAACUAGUCUGGGUAAACCAAGCUGCCAAACUUACUUAUCUUAUCUUUAAUUUUGCAGUGAAAUUAAAAACUAAGUUUUUGUUUAUUUCACUUGGAACAACUUUCAAAAAAUUAUUUUUGAAAAAUGGAUUGGUUUUUCGAAAUAAAUGAUAUUUUAUUGUGUUAAAAUUUUAUUCGUUGUUGGAAAACUUUUUUUAAAUCAUUUUCUUAAAGUUAUUUUUAGUGAAACAAACAUAACAUAAAUAUAUUUGUUACAAAAAAUUAUACUAGUAAUUUCUUUUGACAAUUAAAAUUUAUUUUAUGGUAAGACAAUAUUUUAUAAUAAUUAAUAUCAUAUAUAUACGUAAUAAAAAUCAUGUUUAAUUAAAAUUUAAUUAAAAUUAGAUGUAUUAAUAAAGCUACUCCUCCACAACCCGCAUCCGCAACAGCACCAGCACCAGCACCAGCACCAGCAUCAGCACCAUGGGACAACUAUUGGGUUUCCUCCACCUGCCUCUAUCGCUCCUCCUCAGUAUUACCCCUAAGCCUACCAGACCGUGCCGGGUAUUCUACAAAUAUGAAAAAACCUUCUUCUCUUUUUAUUAGCUUAUCGAAAUGAAGGAUUUUGAGAUUUGGGCUUUUGUUAGAUGGAUGGUUAAUGAUAUUUUUUAGAUGAAAGAUACAAGUUUUUUAAUGUUUUAGAAGAAAAGGUGUUUAAAUAUUAGGAGUUUUUUAGCAGAGAAAGAAGAUAAAUAAAUGCAUAGAGAUACAUUAGCAAUAUUAUUUGGAUUUGGUUGUCUAAUGUAAUGAAGAAUUUUUUAAGGGUGACCUGAGUAGGUGUGGCAAGAUUCAAAGUUUUUUCUAUUAUAGCAGAUAUAUAUAUAUUAAUGGUUUAAGAAGACUAGAAGUCGGUUUCAAAGGAAGAUGAGAAAUAAAAGCAUUUAUAUAUAUGAUAUGUCAUUAAUUCAUAAACCAAAUAUAUAAAGUAUGUAAAAGUGUCAGGGGUUAAUCAUGGUGUUUUGACAAUCCGGUAACCUUCAACUUGAAGAAAACCUUAGGUUUCAAAAAUUUAUGUGAAGAGUUAGAAUGGUAUGCUUCAUGGAUCUGAAUAACUAGAACAGUGUAAGAGUGGUAUAUUGUGUCAAGUUUGGUUUCUUGUAUAUAAUUGUAUCGAAAACAAUGUUACAUGAGUUAAAAUGAAUGUUCAUCCAAUUUAACAAAGCCUGCAUUAUGUUGAUCAAAAUUUUUAAUUCAUGUUGAGGUUUCUUCCGUGAUAUCUUUGAUGUCAAGGUUAUGAUGUUGCUGAAGGGACACCUGUAAGAGAUAAGCUACGGUGCUGUGGCAUUGGAUUCGGAUGGUUCUUGUAAGUGUACAUAGUUUUCUUUGUUUUUAAAGAGUUCUUUACAUAUGAAGUAAAACAAGUAGCGACUUGAUGGAUAUGUCAUUAAGCUUUAACUUAAGCAAAUCAUUUUCCUUCAUCUCUAAUUGCCAUUUCUUUAAAAGAAAAAGAGGAAGUUUUGUAGUUUACAGUUUGGACAAAUGGAAGUUAAUAUAAUGCACUAUUUGGAUGGACUAUGGAGAUAUCCAAUCAUAUUGGAUGAGUUAUAAGAAACCUGUGAGUUCAUAUUGGGUUUACUUUAUAUCAUAAUUAGAUUGUUGAGCUGGCUGUCAGACUUAGAUGGUAUUUCACGUUGCUACAUGUUAAACUAUACCACUUUCACAUUCAUACGUGAAAUGGCUGGGAUUUAGUGCCAUUCUACUUAGCAGCCUCGUGUAAUACACAGGUGAAAUGUUUAUGUCUUCAUGUCACCUUAAAGUUCCCAUUUCCAUGACGGUAUUGUUAAGUAAAGACUGGUACAUACCCCAAAAUACGGAAAUUGUUUUGGAUGUAUACUAUACUUUACCAUGCAUGAUUUUUUACAAGUUUGCAUGGUAUUUUAUCAUUAUAUUGGUCUUUAUUUUCUAUACUCGCAGCUUCCAUUAAUAUAUUUUUAUGAAUUUUAUCAUUAUGCUGGUUUGAAGGUUCAUCAUUGGUUUCUUCAUUGGGGGCCAUCCCUGGUAUAUUGGAUUCUUUGUUUUACUUUGUGCAAGGAUAGACGACAGAGAGAAAGCAGGAUAUAUUGCAUGCACAAUUGCCGUGAGUAUCUUUUCUAUCAUUAUUUUUUUCUUUUCCAAUUUUAUGAAAGCCAUCCUUCCUGCCUUGUAUUGAUCAUCAAUUUAACCAUUGUAUAUAUGUAUCUUAUGUAUUUGUACCAUGCUUUAUCUUCAAUGCAAAUAUAAGUUAAACUACAAAGAUUGGAUUGUUAAAAAAAGUUUAAAAUGUUAAAAAAAUUGAAAAUUUUGAUUUUGUAAGAAUGAUAGAAAACCAAGGCCAGUGCUUGCAUAUGUUAUCUACUACAUGCACAAUCGGGUCGAUGUCUGUAUAUGUUUCAUGUUUAGAAAUCGUGUUCAAUUGGGUUACGAUAUGUACAAUUGAAGUGUCAAUUUAUAAUUUCCUUAUCAAGAUUACACAUUUUUUUGUUAAUAUUCGGAAUCACUCAAUGGUUAUAAACCCUGAUUGGAUACUGUCCACAAAGUCUAGUUGGAACAUCCCUUGUAUUCUUUGUCCUUUCUAAGAACUUUCCUUUCCAUCAUUCUCGCUUCUGUUUUUUUUUUCUUCCCUCUACUUUAAGUCAUUAUCUAACGUAGAUAUCCCUUGUAUUCUUUGUCCUUUCUAUGGCAAUCGAGUCAAUUGAUGGCAAGCCAAAAAAACAAAAAGAACAGCUAUCCUGUCUUACUCGAUUGCCAUCCCUCCUGUUAAACACCAUUAAGAAAAGGAAAAUUUUAGUUAAGCUUUAAAACAGCCAUGUUUUAACGAUGUUGGUGAUGGUGCUUGUGCAGGCCCUUCUUGCUACAAUUACAAUUAUUCUUAGUGCAACAAUUAAAGCUGGUGGGUGAUAAAGCACACCUCUUUUGACUGAGAGAUGUAUAGGUUCCCAAAUAAUAUGUAUAUGCUCCCCCCCCCCUCCCUUUAUUUUAUUUUAUUUCCAGUAAGUUAUUGUUUAUGAUAAUUUGCAACAAAUGUUUUUGUCAUUAUUUUGUUGGUGAAUGAUAAUAAGAUUAAGCUUUACUUUCUUAAGCUCCAAUUCCUUGGACGUUGGUGAUUUUUUUAUUAUAGUUGAGUCCUUGUAUGGUAUUAAUAUAAUUUAUGUCGCUUAAAAUUUAUAACUAAAAAUAUAAAAUUUAAAUUUUACUUCAAUUUAUUUGUAUUUAUAAAUGGUUAAUUCAAACUUAUUUUUUUCCUCAUUAUAUUUUAUAUUUAAAUUAACAUUUAAACUAUUUUUCAUUAGCAAUGUUGUUAAGAAUUAUAUUUUUUAGCACCAACAUCAAACUUACUAAAAUUAAAUUUUUAACUAUUUUAAAAAAAAUAUUUUUAGCUAUUUAUCAUCAUAGAGAAAAAAAGGUGACGUCACCACGCCUCAUGCUUCGACACCACAAACUAGACUCUCAUCACCUGUAUUUAUCAUCGAUUCAAAUUCCAGAACUACCUAAAAAUAUAUCUUCAAACUUCCUCUGGUUAAGUUCAUUGAUAGUCAACUUACUAUUAUUUCUAAAAAAAAAAACAAAUAAAUUGGUUAAUAGUAAUCUCAAUGAUUCAAUUUUAUUCUUACCAAUAUCUGUCCUUUAGAAAGGGGCUUAUAAAAGGGAUAGAGGUGAGUAAACUUGAGCUUCAGCUUUCCACAAACACCUUAAUUUGAAGACACAGUUCUCUCAUACUAAAAAAGACAUGGAAGUUUACCUUGUAAUUAGAGAUUUGGUUUCAUUGCUUGUUGUUGGGUUAUUAAUGAUAUGGGGAUGCAGAACUUUAAACUGGGUAUGGCUGGCCCCAAAAAGGCUCGAAAGCUGCUUGAGACAACAGGGUUUUGCAGGGAAUCCUUACAGGUUCCUUUCUGGUGACAUAAAAGAGCUCUCAACUAUGAGCAGACAAACAAGAGCCAAACCUAUGCCUCUUAGUGAUGAUAUUGGGCCUUAUGUUGUUCCUUUUCAACAUCAAACUGCUAACCAGUAUGGUAUGCUUUUUUUGUUUAAUCUGCAAUUUAUGAUAAUUCUUUGUUAUUUAUGUAUGGAAUUUAUUGGGAGGAAAUGCAGGAAAGAAUUCAUUUACGUGGUUUGGUCCAAGACCAAGGGUGAACAUUACGGACCCUGAAAAAAUAAGAGAAAUACUUAACAAAUUUAAUGACUUCCAGAAGAUACAUACCAAUCCACUGCUUAAUUUGCUUGUAAGCGGCCUUGCUAACCUCGACGGAGACCGAUGGAGCAAGCGUAGAAAAAUCAUAAACCCUGCAUUUCAUCAAGAUAAGUUGAAGGUAUAGAAUAGUGAUGGGUAAUCAGACUUUACAGAAAACAUCAUACUUAAACCUAUGCUUUCCUGAUUUAGAAAUAAUUGGAUGCAGAAUAUGUUGCCAGCAUUUUAUCAAAGUUGUAGUGACAUGUUAAGCAAAUGGGAGAAGAUGGUGUGUACAAAAGGAUACAGUGAGUUAGAUGUGUGGCCUUAUCUCGUAGAUUUGACAAGAGAUGUGAUUUCCCGAUCUGCUUUUGGAAGCAGCUUCGAAGAAGGCAAACGAAUUUUCCAAUUACUAGAGGACCAACUCGUUCACAUAAUCAAAUUAAUACAAACUGUUUACAUUCCAGGAUGGAGGUAACCCUCAACUUAAUUUACUUGAAAAAGGUUGCAAAUGUUGGAAUUGGCUAAAUUCGUGUUUGUUUUCUUGAAGGUUUUCGCCAACGAAGACAAACAGGGAGAUGAAGAUGAAACACAGGGACAUAAAAGAGUUGCUUAUGGAAAUGAUAAAGAGAAGGGAGAAGGCAAUUAAAGCAGGGGAAGAGAGCAAUGAGGACUUGUUGGACAUACUUGUGGAAUCCAAUAUCAGAGAAAUGGAAGCAAAGAAUAUGGGGAUGAGCAUUGAGGAUGUGAUUGAGGAAUGCAAGCUGUUUUACUUAGCUGGCCAAGAGACCACUUCGGUCUUACUGGUGUGGACUAUGGUUUUAUUAGCAAGGUAUCCCGAUUGGCAAAGUAAAGCAAGAGAGGAGGUUUUGCAUGUUUUGGGUGACAGUAAACCUGACGCUGAUGGCCUUAAUCGUCUCAAAGUUGUAAGUCCCUAGCAUGUCUUUUGAAGGUCCGAUCAAUGAGGUCGACAACUCAAAAACUUUGUUUCUUUUUUCGCUAAUUCUACAGGUAACAAUGAUAUUGUACGAGGUUCUAAGGCUGUACCCACCGGUGGUUGAGCUAGAACGUUCCGUUCCAAAAGAAAUAAAACUGGGGAAUUUGUUGUUACCAGUAGGAACAGAAGUUUCGGUUCCGAUCCUGCUGAUCCACCAUGACAAAGAUCUUUGGGGCGAUGACGCACGGGAAUUUAAGCCAGAGCGGUUCGCGGAAGGGGUUUCCAAAGCAACAAAGAGUCAAGUCACGUUUCUGCCAUUCGGAUGGGGUCCUAGGAUCUGUAUUGGCCAAAAUUUUGCUAUGAUGGAAGCCAAAAUGGCGAUGGCUAUGAUUCUCCAACGCUUCUGGUUCGAGCUUUCCCCUUCCUAUGCUCACUCUCCUUACGGCAGGGCAACUCUUCGUCCACAGCAUGGUGCACAGAUAAUUUUACAUAAACUUGGCUGUAAUUGAAUUGUUAUGUAAACAAAUCUUUGUGAAAACAUAGCGUUUUAGUUUAUCGUCAAAGUCCGGUGUCUGUAAUGGUACAAAUUCGAUGCAUGAAUAGUAAAGUUUGAGAUGUUUGGUGAAGUCCGAAAUAAUAUGCAGAAAUUGAGUGUGGUAAUUAUCAAUCAAAUAAUUCGGUACAAAGACUUAUAUGGAAAUUAAAGCAGGGGGAGUUGAAAAUGACUACUCUGCUUUGGGCAUCAAUUUAGAAAGAUUUAAAGUACAAAUGUGUUAUUAGUUAAGGGAUUUGUUUUAAAGAGGGAAUGACAAUUAAACCUCAUGGUUGAUUUGUGGAAGGGAACCGAUGAUGGGAUGAUUAUUCUUAGUGGUAAAAAAAACUAUUGUGGAGGUUAUUAUACUUGUUAUCAUCGGCUUAAAAUUCGAAUGGGUUCAAGUCGGAUUAUAUCGAGCUUGUAAGAUGAGUUCACGGAUCAAGUUUGCAUAAUAAAAAUACUUAAAUGAAAAAAUUUCUAUUUUAGAGGGACCAGAGCCCCUACCAACUCCCGGCUCAGCUACUAAACAAUACCCAUAUCAUAUAAAUAAAUACCACAUAAAAAAAACUCAAAGAAAAACACUGACAAAUGAUAAAUAGAUAGAUGUUGGAUAAGUGUCCAAAAUAUGAUUUAAGUGAAGAUACAUGGGGUAGGUGUCACGGAAAUGUGAAUACAAGAAUACUACUAAUGGGAUGUGUACAGUUGAAUGUAGGGAGCAAAAAGAGGAGUGAAUCAUUUUGGUAACAUUGGGACAAGAAACAUAAUGAACAAAAUGGAAGCAGAGGAAGCUAGUAAAAGAAAUUUUUUGGGUCAUAUAAUUUGUUUGGCAUAUAUUUUUAUAAUUUUUAAAUAUCAUUUUGGACUUGAAUUAUAAUUUUUUUAUAUAUUAUCUUAAAAUUGUAUAAAUUUUAAGGAGUUAAAACAAAAUUAUUCUAUUUUUAGAUGGUUAAAGUAGAGAUGAUAAUGGGUUGAGCUAUUCGGCCCAGCCUGACGAUCCACCCGAAAAAUAGGAAGGUUUGGGUAAAAAUAUAGGCUCGAAAUAUGAAUUUGAGCAAAAAAAGAGGCCCGUUUAGAAAAUAGGCCGGGCCUCAGGUAAAACCUUUUGGGCCCAGACCUGACCUAAAUUAUAUAUUAAAUAUAUAUAUUUUUAUUUUUAAUCAAAUAUACUUUUGUUUUAUUAUUAAUUUGGUUAUUAUUUUAGUUCUAAUUUGUUUCAAUUUUAAUAUAACUACUUUUUAUUAUAUUUUCAAUUUGUGUAUUGUUUUAAGAAUUAUUUUAGUCUCAUUAUUUAUUUAUUUUUUAUUUUAAUAUUUGUUUUAAAAUUUUUUAUUUAUUGAAAUAAGCUAAAAAAAUUAAUAUGGGUUGGACCAGACCGGGCUCGGGCCUAGUAAUUUUCUUUUGGGCCGGACUUAAACAAAUUUUUAAGCCCAUAUUUUGAAUUGGGUCCUACACUAGAAAAUGGACCUAAAAUUUUGUAUUACCUUUAGGUCAGAGCUAUCCUCGUUUUGCAUUUCUUUGAGAUUCAGCCUUAUUUACUUUUGAUUGCCACUCAAUAGAGGGUUGAGUAGAAAUAUUUGGUGAAGCAAGCUAAGCUAUCAAUCAAGGUGUGCAUAAUUAUUUAAAUGUAAUUCUAAUAUUAAAAUAAAAUUUUUAUUAAUAUAGUAUCAACAAGCAUUAAAUGUAAUCAUCAUAUACUAUUAAAUUUUCAAUAAGAGAAAACAUGCUUGAACUUUAAAAACGAUGUUACUAAAAACAUUAUCACAAAUCUUGAAAUAUAAAAAAUAUUUUUUAAUAUAAUAAAAAAUAAUUUUAAACCCGAGAUGAAUAAAAUUCUAAUUUUAAUUAAUGAUACCAACAACAAAUCAAUAUUUAAAUUAAAAUUUAUCUUAAUUUAAUAUAAUAAAAUUGGACCUGAAUAUUGAAUUUUUGAGUCUUGGGCAAAGUAGAGGUGCUCAUGGGCCGGGCUGGGUCGGGUUUGGGAAAAAUUUCGGCCCGCAUCCUAGGCUCGGGCUCGGCCCGACCCAAAUAUGGGCCUAAAAUUUUGUCUAGGCCUAGCCCGACCCGGCCCGACUUAUUUUUUUUAAUAAACACCAACAAUUUAUUUUGAAAAUAAAAAAAUAAAAAAAGUAUUUUAAAAAUAUUUUAAAAUUUUUAAAAAAUAUAUAUAUUUAUUAUAUAUUCGGGCCGGGCCAGGCCCGAGCCAAAAAAGUGGCGCCCAAGGCCCGGCCUGUUUUCUAAACGGGACUCAUUUUUUACCCAAACCCAUAUUUCGGGCCUAUAUUUCUACCCGAAUCUCUCAUAUUUCGGGCGAACCGUCGGGCCAGACCGGGCCGCCCGGCCAUGAACACCUCUAGGACAAAGUCACUCAAUGAAUGCAUGGAAAGAAAUAAUGCAACUUGGUGAUAGCUUUUGUUGGAGUUAUAUGCUUUUUUUUUACGUAGUGGAACUUUCGGUGGAUUUUCAAGUUUCAUGAACUUUAUACCCUAUGCUUUACGUGAAAAAAAAUCAUUGGACUUAAAAGUCUGCCAAAAGUUUCACUAUAAUAAAUAAAUAAAUAACAUUGCUACAAGACUUCAACAUAAAGUUACAAUAAGAGCUUAUAACUCAACAAAGGCUAUCAAUAAAUAAUCUCAAACAAAUUAAAGAGAAAUGUUGAGAGUACCACUCGAAUAGUGAUUAACUUUAAAAAUUGAAAACCCAAAGUUAUAAUAUCCCAAACGAAAUCAAACCAUAAACAUUAAAUUUUUCGAGUCUACUAGAUACUGCAAAAAAUUCAGCUCCAACAGACACCAAAUGAACCUAUGAUCGAAGAAAAUACGAAAAUUAGUCUAGCUAAAUCAAGCUGCCAAACUUACUUUUUAUCUUAUCUUUAAUUUGCUGUGAAAUUCAAAACUAAGGUUUUGUACUUAGAACAACUUUCAAAAAGUUAAUUUUGAAAAAUGGAUUGAAUUUUCAAAAUAGAUGAUAUUUUAUUGUGUUAAAAUUUUAUUCGUUGUUUGAAAAAAAAUUUAAAUCAUUUUCUUAGAAUUAUUUUUAGUGAAACAAACAUAUCAUAAAUAUAUUUGUUAUAAAAUAUUUAUAUUAAUAUUUUCUUUUAACAAUUAAAAUAUAUUUUGUGAUAAGGUAUAUUUUAUAAUAAUUAAUAUCAUAUAUACUUAAUAAUAAAUCAUGUCUAAUUAAAAUUUAAUUUCAAUUAAAUAUAUUAAUAAAGCUACAUAUAAUCAUAUUUUAUAUAAUAAAAAUAUUAAUAUAAAUAUUUUUUUAAUAAUAUAUUAAAGAAUAUUUAAAAUUUAAAUUUAUUAUUACUAAGAUUAAUUAUUAAAAUAAAAAUGUAAUAUUAAAUAAUUUAUCCAAUGAUAAGUUAUAUUAAUAAUUUAUUAUAUUAUUAAAUAUAAAUAAUUAAAUAUGUAUGUUUAAUAAUAUUAUGUUAUAAUAUUUAUUAUUAAUAUUUUAAUAUUUUUAAACAACCAUGUUUUAAAGAUGGUGGUGAUGCUGAUGGUGCAGGCCCCCUUGUUACAAUUACAAUAUUUUUAAGUGGGAUGCAUGUAAUAUAUUGUUAGGGUUCUAGAGUGUGUCAUCUUUAAAAGGGUUAAAUUAUAUAUUUAUAUAAUAUGAUUAUUGUUUAUAAACAUAAUAUUGUAGAUAAACUUUUAUGCAUGUCAAUAUGUAUCCUACUCUGGGGUUAAUAUGUAUUUUUAGAUAUGGAUUCACCUAUAUAAUAGUAUGAAUCCAUCAUGCGGUCUCAUGAAAUAUACAAACACAUAUCGUGCGAACACAAAGUACGAACAAUAAAAAGUACAAAUCAAGACCAAUUGAGUAAUUGAAUAACAGAUAGGUAAUAAUGACUAUCCCCUCUUGUUUGAAUUUAUUUUAUUUCCAGUGAGUUAUCGUUUAUGAUAAAUUUACAACAAAUGUUUUUAUCAUUAUUUUGUUGGUAAAUGAUAAUAAGAUUAAACUUUACUUUCUUAAGCUCCUUCAAUUCUUUGGACGUUAGCAAGUAAACUUGAGCUUCAGCAUUCCACAAACACCUUAAUUUGAAGACACAGUUCUCCCAUACUAAAAACAACAUGGACGUUUACCUUGUAAUUAAUGAUACGGGGAUGGAGAGCUUUAAACUGGGUAUGGCUGGCCCCAAAGAGGCUCGAAACGUGCUUGAGACUAGAGGUCCAGGCAAAUUUUUAGGCCCAUUUUUUAGGCUUGGACUGGGCCCGACUCGAAAUAUGAGCUUAAAAAUUUGUCUAAGUUCGGUCCAAAAGAAAAUUGUUAAGCCUAAGCCUGGCCCAUAUUAAAUUUUACAACACCAAAAAACUAUAUAUUUAAUAUAUAUAUUUGAUUAAAAAGUAUAUUUAAUUAAAAAUAAAAAUAUAUAUUUAAUAUAUAAUUCGGGCCGGGCCGAACUCGGGCCAAAAAAGUUUUACUCGGGGCUGGUCCGUUUUCUAAACAGACCUCGUUUCUUUGUCAAAAUCCAUAUUUUAGGCUUAUAUUUUUACCCGAAACUUCCUAUUUUUCGGGUGAGCCGUCAGGCCGGACUGGGUAGCCCAACCAAUGAUCACCUCUACUUGAGACAACAGGGUUUUGCAGGGAAUUCUUACAGGUUCGUUUCUGGCGACAUAAAAGAGCUCUUCACUAUAAGCAUACAAACAAGAGCCAAACCUAUGCCUCUUAGUGAUGAUAUUGGGCCUUAUGUUGUUCCUUUUCAACAUCAAACCGUCAACCAGUAUGGUAUGUUUUUUAAUUUAAUCUACAAUUUAUGAUAAUUCUUUGCUAUUUAUGUAUGGAAUUUAUUGGGAGGAAAUGCUGGGAAGAAUUCAUUUACGUGGAUUGGUCCAAGAUCAAGGGUGAACAUUACGGACCCUGAAAAAUAAGAGAAAUACUUAACAAAUUUAAUGAGAUCCAGAAGGUACGUACCAAUCCACUGCUUAAUUUGCUUGUAAGCGGCCUUGUUAACCUCGAAGGAGACCGAUGGAGCAAGCAUAGAAAAAUCAUAACCCUUCAUUUCAUCAAGAUAAGUUGAAGGUAUAGAAUAGUGAUGGGUACUUAAGACUUAAUUUACAGAAAACAUCAUACUUAAAUCUAUGCUUUUCUGAUUUAGAAAUGAUUGGAUGCAGAAUAUGUUGCCAGCAUUUUAUCAAAGUUGUUGUGACAUGUUAAGCAAAUGGGAGAAGAUGGUGUGUACAGAAGGAUACAGUGAGUUAGAUGUGUGGCCUUAUCUUGUAGAUUUGACAAGAGAUGUGAUUUCCCGAUCUGCUUUUGGAAGCAGCUUCGAAGAAGGCAGACGAAUUUUCCAAUUACUAGAGGACCAACUCGUUCUCACAAUCAAAUUAAUACAAACUGUUUACAUUCCAGGAUGGAGGUAACCCUCAACUUAAUUUACUUGAAAAAGGUUGCAAAUGUUGGAAUUCGCUAAAUUCGUGUUUGUUUUCUUGAAGGUUUUUGCCAACAAAGACAAACAGGGAGAUGAAGAUGAAACACAGACAUAAAAGAGUCGCUUAGGGAAAUGAUAAAGAGAAGGGAGAAGGCAAUUAAAGCAGGGGAAGAGAGCAAUGAGGACUUGUUGGACAUACUUGUGGAAUCCAAUAUCAGAGAAAUGGAAGCAAAGAAUAUGGGGAUGAGCAUUGAGGAUGUGAUUGAGGAAUGCAAGCUGUUUUACUUUGCUGACCAAAAGACCACUUCGGUCUUGCUGGUGUGGACUAUGGUUUUAUUAGCAAGGUAUCCCGAUUGGCAAAGUAAAGCAAGAGAGGAGGUUUUGCAUGUUUUGGGUGACAGUAAACCUGAUGCUGAUGGCCUUAAUCGUCUCAAAGUUGUAAGUCCCUAGCAUGUCUCUUGAAGGCCCGAUCUCUGAGGUCGACAACUCAAAAACUUGGUUUCUUUGUUUCGCUAAUUCUACAGUUAACAAUGAUAUUGUACGAGGUUCUAAGGCUGUACCCACCAGUGAUUGAGCUAGGACGUUCCGUUCCAAAAGAAAUAAAACUGGGAAAUUUGUUGUUACCAGCAGGAACAGACGUUUCGGUUCCAAUCCUGCAGAUCCACCAUGACAAAGAUCUUUGAGGCGACGACGCACGGGAAUUUAAGCCACAGCGGUUCACGGAAGGGGUUUCCUAAGCAACAAAGAGUCAAGUCACGUUUCUGCCAUUCGGAUGGGGUCCUAGGAUCUGCAUUGGCCAAAACUUUGCCAUGAUGGGAACCAAAAUGACGAUGGCUAUGAUUCUCCAACGCUUCUGGUUCGAGCUUUCCUCUUCCUAUGCUUACUCUCCUUACAACAUGGCAACUCUUCGUCCACAGCAUGGUGCACAGAUAAUUUUACAAAAACUUGGCUGUAAUUGAAUUGUUAUGUAAACAAAUCUUUGUGAAAAUAUAGUGUUUUAGUGUAUCGUCAAAGUCUGCCUGUAAUGGUACAAUUCCGAUGCAUGAAUAGUAAAUCUUGAGAUGUUUGGUGAAGUCCGAAAUAAUAUGCAGAAAUUGAGUGUCUUGAAUGGAUGUAGUAUUUAAUGGUGGACAUAGUUGAGGGACUAAUGUGGUAAUUAUCAAACAAAUAAUUGCAUAUGGUACAAAGACUUGUAUGGAAAUUAGAGCAGGGCGAGUUGAAAAUUACUACUUUGCUUCGGGCAUCAAUUUAGAAAGAUUUAAAGUACAAAUGUAUUAUUAGUUUAAGGGAUUUGUUUUAAAGAAGGAAUGACAAUUAAACCUCAUGGUUGAUGUGUGGAAGGGAACCAAUGAUGGGAUGAUUACUCCUAGUGGUAAAAAAAAAAACUAUUAAGGUGGUUAUUAUAGUUGUUAUCACCGGCCCAAAAUUAGAAUAGGUUCAGGUCGGAUUAUAUUGAGCUUGUAGAUGAGUUUGCAUGAUAAUAGGUGUUCACAGAAAGAUAUCUAUAGUUUCCUACAAAGUCACAUGUGAGAUCGUGCAUUGGGACCGCAUAAAAAUGUUUUAUGUUUAGAAUAUGAUACGUGUCUAUGUGUAUGGAAUCUACCUAAUAUAUCAUAUUAAUUAAUAGUAUCAAUUGCGGAGCCAAAAAAUUAUUUCUGAGGGGUCAGAAUUAAAUUGUAUAUUUUUACAAAAAUAAAAAUUAAAUUUCACUAUUUUAAUAGUUUAUUUCUUUUUAAUUUUUAAAUGAUUAAAUUAAAUUUUUAUAAAUUUUUGGGAUCAAAGUACAAUUUUAUCAUUUCUAAUUUAAAAUUUUAUAAAAUAUAAAAAGUUUAUAUGAAAAGUUUUCUAUUUUAGAGUGGCCAAAGCCCCUGCCAACUUCCGACUCGAUCACUAAACAAUAUAAAUAAAUAAAUACCACCAUCUAAAAGACUCAAGAAAAACACUCAACGAUAAAUAGAUAGAUGUUGGGUAAAGAUACGUUUGGAUGGGCGGUGCGUUUACUUGCGGUUAGUAUAAAAAUAGCGGUGGCGGUUAGAUUAGAUACUAUAGCAACACUGUAGCGUAAGACAAAAAAUAAGCUAAACGCACUGCACUGCACUUAAUCGCCCAUCCAAACUCACCCUAAGUGUCCAAAAUAUGAUUUAAGUGAAGAUACGUAGGGUAGGUGUCAUGGAAAUGUAAAAGACAAGAAUCCCACUAAUGUAUGGGAUGUGUACAGCUGAAUGUAGGGAGCAAAGAGGAGUGAAUCAUUUUGGUAACAUUUGGACAAGAAACAUAAUGAACAAAAUGAAAGGAGAGGAAGCUAGUAAAAGAUUUUUUUGGGUUAUAUAAUUUGUUUGGCAUAUAUUUUUAUAAUUUUUAAAUAUCAUUUUGGAGUUGAAUUAUAAUUUCUUUUUAUGUUUUAAAACAUAAUUAUUCUAUCUUCAAAGGGUUAGAGUAGAGGUGAGCAUGGGUCGGGCUACUCGGCCCGAAAUGUGAGAGAUUUGGGCAAAAAUAUAGGCUCAAAAAAUGGACUUGGACAAAAAAAUAUAAGGCCCGUUGAAAAAUGGGCCGGGCAUUGGGUAAGGCAUUUUUGGCCCCGGGCCCGGCCCAAUCCUAAUUCACUAAAGGACAAAAAAAAUCUGAUUUUUAAAUAUUAUUUUCUCCCUAUUUUGCUACCAUUUUACUAUUAUGUUGCUACUAUUUUGUUGUUAUUUUUUGGAUAUUGUAUAAAACUUAUUUUAUUGUUAAUUUUGUUAUUAUUUUAAAGACAUUUGUUAAUUUUGUUAUUAUUUUAGAGACAUUUGCUUGUUAAGUUGCAUCUAUCUUAGUGUUAUUUAAGUAUACAUAUUUUUUAAAAUUUAUUUUCAAUUUAUUGGGAAAUAUUUAUUUUGAUGUUUUUAGUAUUUUGGAUGUAUUAUAUAUAUUAAAAUUAUAUAAAAAUUAAUAUGGCCGAGCCGAGUCAGGCCCAGAUUUUAGCAUUUUUAUUCAAGUCGGGCUUGAGCAAAAUUUUAAGCCCAUUUUUUGGGCCAAACCAGGCCUGGGCUUAGCAAAUGGGCCUAAAUUUUUAGUCAAGCCCGACCUAAACCCGAUCCGGCCCAUACUCACCUCUAGAUCAGAGCUGCCCUCGCUUUUCAUUUCUUUGAGAUUCAGUCUUAUCUACUGUUGAUUGCCCACUCAAUUGAGGGUUGAGUAGAAAGAUUUGGUGAAGCAAGCUAAGCUAUCAAUCAAGGUUGGAGAAAGCUUAGGAGGUCACAAUGCAUAAUUAUUUAAAUGUAAUUCUAAUAUUUAAAUAAAAUUUAUUAAUAUAGUAUUAACAAGCCCUAAAUGUAAUGAUUAUAUACUAUUACAUUUUUAAGAAGAGAAAACAUGUUUGAACCUUAAAAACAUCAUUAUUAAAAAUGAUAAUUAAAAAUUUUAAAAUAUAAAAAAUAUAAUUAAAAAUUAAUUUUAAACCCGAGCUGGAUAAAAUUCUAAUUUUAGAUAACGAUACUAAUAAGAAAUCAAUAUUAAAAUGAAAAUGAAAAGUAAUUUAAUAUAAUUUUUGAGUCUUGGGCAAAGGCACUCAAUGAAUGCUUGGAAAGAAAUAAUGCAACUUGGUGAUAGCUUUUGUUGGAGUAAUAUGCUCUUAUUAUAGUUUUAUGUUUUUAUCUUGCAAAAACAACAUAUUGGAGUUUUCGGCAUGAUUUUUUCUUAAUACUUUACAUGAAAAAUAAUAAUGGGACUUAAAAAUCUAUCAAAAGCUUCACCAUAAUAAUAAUAAUAAUAAUAAUAAUAAUAAUAAUAAUAAUAAUAAUAAUAAAUUGCUACAAUAUUACAACACGUUACAAUAAGAGCUUAUAACUCAACAAAGGCUAUCAAUAAAUAAUCUCAGGCAAGCUAAAGAGAAAUGUUGAGAAUACCACCCGAAUAGUGACUGACUUUAAAAGUUGAAAACCCGAAGCUAUAGUAUCUCAAACGAAAUCAAACCAUAAACAUUAAAAUUUUCAAGUCUACUAGCUACUGUAAAAAAUGCAGCUCCAACAGACACCAAAUGAGUCUUUGAUCGAAGAAAGUACAAAAACUAGUCUGGGUAAACCAAGCUGCCAAACUUACUUAUCUUAUCUUUAAUUUUGCAGUGAAAUUAAAAACUAAGUUUUUGUUUAUUUCACUUGGAACAACUUUCAAAAAAUUAUUUUUGAAAAAUGGAUUGGUUUUUCGAAAUAGAUGAUAUUUUAUUGUGUUAAAAUUUUAUUCGUUGUUGGAAAACUUUUUUUAAAUCAUUUUCUUAAAGUUAUUUUUAGUGAAACAAACAUAACAUAAAUAUAUUUGUUACAAAAAAAUUAUAUUAGUAUUUUCUUUUGACAAUUAAAAUUUAUUUUAUGAUAAGACAAUAUUUUGUAAUAAUUAAUAUCAUAUAUAUACUUAUUAAAAAAAUCUUGUUUAAUUAAAAUUUAAUUAAAAUUAAAUAUAUUAAUAAAGCUACAUAUAAUCAUAUUUUUUAUAAUUAAAAUAUUAAUAUAAAUAUUUUUCAAUAAUAUAUUAAAAUAUUAAAAUUUAAAUUAUUAUUACUUAAAUUAAUUAUUAAAAUAAAAAUUUAAGAUUAAAUAAUUUAUUCAAUGAUAAGUUUUAUUAAUAAUUUAUUGUAUUAUUAAAUAUAAUUAAUUAAAUAUGCAUAUUUAAUAAUAUUACGUUAUAAUAUUUUAAUAUUCUUAAACAGCCAUGUUUUUAAGAUGCUGGUGAUGGUGAUGGUGCGGGCCUCUCUUGUUACAAUUACUAUAAUUUUUUGUGCAAUAAUUGAAGUUGUUGGGUGGUCAAGCAAACCUCUUUUGACUGAGAUGCAUAUAAUAUACCCGCAUGUCCCCGCCUCCUAAAAUUUAAAUUUGCUAUUUGAAUCUUUAAAAUUUUUAAAAAUUUUAAAUUCAUAAAAGUAAAAUUAUACUUUGACCCUCUAAAAUUAUAAAAAUUUAAUUUAAUCUUUUAAAAAUUAUAAAUAUAUAGACUAUAAAAAAUUAAAAUUUCAUUGGGCCCCUAAUAUAUUGUUCAGGCUUCACCCUUGAUACUGAUGUUGACUAUUUUAGAGUAUGUGUCUUCUUUAAUAGGGUUAAAUUAUAUAUUUAUAUAAUAUAGUUAUUGUUUAUGGACGUGACAUCGUAACUAGGUUCUUAUGCAUGUCAACAUAUAUCCUAUUUUAAGGUUAACACGUAUUUUUAAAUAUGAAUUCACCUAUAUAAUGGUAUGAACCAUCAUGCAGUCUCAUAAAAUAUGCGAAUAUAUGUCGUGCGAACACAAAGUACAAACCACACAGAAUACGAAUUAAGACCCAAUUGAAUAAUCGGAUACGAAUCAGUAAUAAUGAAUUUCAUAACAGCCACCAACCCCUCUUUUGUUUUAAUUUAUUUUAUUUCCAGUAAGUUAUUGUUUGUGAUAAUUCACAACAAAUGCUUUUGUCAUUAUUUUGUUGGUAAAUAAUAAUAAGAUUAAACUUUACUUUCUUAAGCUCCUUCAAUUCUUUGGAAGUUGGUGGUUUUUUAUUCUAAUCUUAUUUUUUUUAUUAAUUUCUUUUUUUAUAAUAAAUGUGUUUAUAGAUCAGGUUGGAUUAUAAUUGAAUCAUUGUCUGGUAUUAACAUAAUUUAUAUCGAUUAAAAUUUAUUCGACUGGAAAUAUAAAUUUAAAAUUUUACUUCAAUUUAUCUUAAUUUAUAAAUUGUGAAUUUAAAUUUAUUUAUUUUCUCUCAUUAUAUUCAGUUUUUCGGAUCAUAUUUGGCCCAGAACAAAAACUAGAACAAAAAAACAAAUAUAUAUGUUUUCCAAAAAUUAAAUUGUUAACUUCAAAAAAAUAUAUUUUUAGCUAUUUAUCAUCAUAGAGAAAAACAAAUAAGGUCACCUCGCCUUAUGCUUCAACACCUCAACCUAGAUUCUCAUCACCUGUAUUUAUCAUCGAUUCAGAUUUUUAUUUUUACUAUAUUCUAGAUCUACCUAUAAAUAUAUCUUCAAACUUCCUCUGGUUAAGUUCAUUCAUAGAUAGGUGAGUAAACUUGAGCUUCAGCUUCAACAAACACCUUAGUUUGAAGACACAAUUCUCUCAUACUAAAAAUAUGGAAGUUUACCAUGUAAUUAGAGAUUUGGUCUCAUUGCUUGUUGUUGGUUUAUUAAUGAUAUGGGGAUGGAGAGCUUUAAACUGGGUAUGGUUGGCCCCAAAGAGGCUCGAAAGGUGCUUGAGACAACAGGGUUUUGCAGGGAAUCCUUACAGGUUCCUUUCUGGUGACAUAAAAGAGCUCUCAACUAUGAGCAGACAAACAAGAGCCAAACCUAUGCCUCUUAGUGAUGAUAUUGGGCCUUAUGUUGCUCCUUUUCUUCAUCAAACUGUCAACCAGUAUGGUAUGUUUAAUUAUUAUUUAAUCUUCAAUUUAUGAUAAUUCUUUGUUAUUUAUGAAUGGAAUUUAUUGGGAGGAAAUGCAGGAAAGAAUUCAUUUACGUGGAUUGGUCCAAGACAAAGGGUGAACAUUAUGGACCCUGAAAAAAUAAGAGAAAUAUUUACCAAAUUUAAUGACUUCCAGAAGGUGCGUACCAAUCCACUGCUUACUUUGCUUGUAAGCGGCCUUGUUAACCUCGAAGGAGACCGAUGGAGCAAACAUAGAAAAAUCAUAAACCCUUCAUUUCAUCAAGAUAAGUUGAAGGUAUAGAAUAGUGAUGGGUACUUAAGACUUAAUUUACAGAAAACAUGAUACUUAAAUCUAUGCUUUUCUGAUUUAGAAAUGAUUGGAUGCAGAAUAUGUUGCCAGCAUUUUAUCAAAGUUGUUGUGACAUGUUAAGCAAAUGGGAGAAGAUGGUGUGUACAGAAGGAUACAGUGAGUUAGAUGUGUGGCCUUAUCUUGUAGAUUUGACAAGAGAUGUGAUUUCCCGAUCUGCUUUUGGAAGCAGCUUCGAAGAAGGCAGACGAAUUUUCCAAUUACUAGAUGACCAACUCGUUCUCAGAAUCAAAUUACUACAAACUGUUUACAUUCCAGGAUGGAGGUAACCCUCAAUUUACUUGAAAAAGGUUGCAAAUGUUGGAAUUGGCUAAAUUCGUGUUUGUUUCCUUAAAGGUUUUUGCCCACAAAGACAAACAGGGAGGUGAAGAUGAAACACAAAGACAUAAAAGAGUCGCUCAGGGAAAUGAUAAAAAGAAGAGAGCAGGCAAUUAAAGCAGGGGAAGAGAGCAAUGAGGACUUGUUGGACAUACUUGUGGAAUCCAAUAUCAGAGAAAUGGAAGCAAAGAAAAAGGGGAUGAGCAUUGAGGAUGUGAUUGAGGAAUGCAAGCUGUUUUACUUUGCUGGCCAGGAGACCACUUCGGUCUUGCUGGUGUGGACUAUGGUUUUAUUAGCAAGGUAUCCCGAUUGGCAAAGUAAAGCAAGAGAGGAGGUUUUGCAUGUUUUGGGUGACAGUAAACCUGAUGCUGAUGGCCUUAAUCGCCUCAAAGUUGUAAGUCCCUAGCAUGUCUUUUGAAGGUCCGAUCAAUAAGGUCGACAACUCAAAAAUUUGGUUUCUUUUUUCGCUAAUUCUACAGUUAACAAUGAUAUUGUACGAGGUUCUAAGGCUGUACCCAUCAGCGACUGAGCUAGGACGUUCCGUUCCAAAAGAAAUAAAACUGGGAAAUUUGUUGUUACCAGCAGGAACAGAAAUUUCGGUUCCGAUCCUGCUGAUCCACCAUGACAAAGAUCUUUGGGGCGAUGACGCACGGGAAUUUAAGCCAGAGCGGUUCGCGGAAGGGGUUUCCAAAGCAACAAAGAGUCAAGUCACGUUUCUGCCAUUCGGAUGGGGUCCUAGGAUCUGCAUUGCCCAGAAUUUUGCUAUGAUGGAAGCCA